GGCGAGCCAGCCAGCCGCAAACAGCGCUCGCCCAGCCACGGUGCAGAUACGCGGGCAACCUGUCGAACAGAAGACGAGCUGCUGCUCUUCUUGAAAUGCAGGCAGCCGCCAUCCAUGUUACCCAAAUGGAGACGCAAACUUGGCCGCGCCAUCCUUGAGUCCAUGCUUCUACAUAGGCCUACUACAUCUUACACCUUCAUUCCAUUCUUUCUAGUGUACUUAUUAGCUCUUGAAUCGUUGGACUUGUAACACCGGAUGGAGUUUGGAGACAGUAUCUUCUUCUAGUUGUGUAUCUUGAAUGGUUAUAUGUUACGAUUUGCAGCUGUUGCUUUUCUUCCCUAAAUUUAAGGCGAUUUCUACUUUUACUUGACCAAAAUGUUCGGUUCUUCAAAAUAUUAUCUGACAGUAUGCUUAUCUUUGUGGUAAAAAAGGUCCUGGUUAUAGUUUUCAAGGUGACUUGUUGAUUGUUGAAGGCAGCAUUAGGAAUGUGCACAACAUGACAAGUUAAUUGCCAACAUUAAAUCAGUUGGGGCAUGUUUGGUUGCCUGCAUCUUUUGUCUCAGUGGGCCAGGUUGAGUUGCCUGUAUUUGUGCUAUUGGUAUGCAAAGCAGAGCUGUUUUGCUCAUCCCGUGGUGGUCUUACACACAAAUGCAGCACUUCAUAUCAUACAUAACAUAAGAACAACAUAAUACAAUUAACAGUACAAAUAAAAACAAUAGCUAAAUAGUUCAGAAUAGCUAAUUAGACCAUAGUUUAAGACAUCAAAGGCAUCCCAUGCCCCUGCACGACCCUAGGGUGUUGAACCCUGAGCAAAAUAUAUAGUUUUGCACUAAGUUGAGCAAAAUAUACAGUUUUGCAGUAAGUUCAGACGAUCAAGCCUAGCCCGGAGAGCCACAUGACGAGCAAGUCGCUGUGGAUGAUUGUGUGGCGCCGACAGAAGUAGUCUCAACUGCUCCCGAGCACCAUCUGCCCCUGAAAUGUAUGGCCCUACACCUAGAACUCACACCACUUGUUGGCAGAGGCUGACAACACCAGGAGGGUUGACGACUGCCAUUUCUUUAUCACCGUCCUAAAGGCAGGCGGGAUGACCAGCAUGGUGAUCUCUUCCUCGUUCUUGAUUUGCACGUAGAACCCGACUGACGUCCGUGUAUAUAGAGUAAAUUGCUCAAAGCCACUACAUUUGUGGCUAGAGUACUCUAAAACCACCACUUUUGCCAGAAAUCACAAAAAACCACCACUUCCGCGGCAAGUGAGUAACAAAUCACACUGAUUUGGAAUUGAACGCAUCUAACAGCAAAACUGACAUGUGGGACCCGUCUAUCCGGGCUGAUGUGGCAAAGACUAGUCCUAGUCAAUGGUUGACCUGCUAAGGUGGACGGGGGUCCUACCUGUCAGCCGCACCUAUUGUCUUCUCUCUCCUCUCCUUCUUCUCGAUAAAGCGGAAUCCCAGCCGCCACGCCAUGGCCGGCGCAGAGAGAAGCAGGCCGCGCCCGCCUAGCUCCCCUCCUUCUCCUAAUCCAGCGGAAGGCGCCCGCCGGUGCCGGAGCUCUACGCCGCCGGUGGCGCCACGCCCUGCCUCCCCCAUUUCUCCUAGAUCCGGUGGGAUCCCAGCGCCGGCAAGCCAAGGUCGGGCGAACUCCUCCUAGCCUCGACGCCCCGCCCCGCUACGACAGCCACUGCUGCUGGCCAUGGCCAGAGGCGAGCUCCUUCCCCUCACGCCACAGGCAACCUCUCCCAUCCUUGUCUUCCUCGCGAGCGCUGGCACGAGAGCCACGGGAGCCAGAGGCGGGGAAGAUGUGCUGCUCGCCAUGGCAACGCUGGUGGCGGCGACGCACCGGGAACCCCAAGGCGCGGCUAGCGGACUUCUUCGCAGGCUUCGGCUCCGGCGGCGUGCUGGUGGCGCGCGACACCGACGACGCGCGUCGACUCUCUCCCUGUCUUCCUCGCGAGCGCCGACACGAGAGCCACAUGAGCCAGGGCGGGGAAGGUGUGCUGCUCACCGUGGCAACGCUGCUGGCGGCGGCGCACCGGGAACCCCUAGGCGCAACUAGCGGACUUCUUCGCAGCCUCCGGCGUGCUGGUGGCCACGGCACCGACGACGCACGUCGACUCUUCUCCGCGGAGGACGCGCUAGUGAGUGGGGAGGCCUGGUGAGAGGGGACCGGCUCGCCGUGCGCAGAGGAGGGGCGGAGCUCGUCGAGGUGCGGACGGAGGGGCAACAUCGCCGGAGAAGUGCUGGACCGACGGAGUAGGUGUUGUGCGUGCACAUGAAGUACUCGACGAAAUGCCAGAGCCUAGUCACCUGUCUACGUGUUUAUUCUUUGCCAAGUCAGCCUGCAUGUGGGCCAGGCAUGUCAGUUUUUCACUUAGUCACGGCUGACAGCUCGUUUAGUGCAUUUUGUUACUCACUUGCCGCGGAAGUGGUGGUUUUUUGUGAUUUCUGACAAAAGUGGUGGUUUUGGAGUACCCUAGUCACAAAUGUGGUGGCUUUCAGCAAUUUACUUGUGUAUAUACGGUUCAAAUCUCGUUUUUAUACAUCCAUCCAUACGCUGAUGAGGCAUGCUAGGGUGUCAGGGACAAGGCGUGUGGCCUGCUUUUGUUUUGCGGAAAACCCCCCAAAAUAGUUGUUUUCUUAUAAAAAAGGCCCUCAAAGAAAAACUAAUAAAUUGUAAAAUUAACUAUUAAUCAAUUUAUAAUAUCUAAAAAUAGUCCGGGGUUCGAACCAGCGACAGAGGUGUGCGUGGCUAGCCAGCUGACCGGUUCAAAUUUGAAGGUGUUUGGUUCGCAAUUUUACACCCGGUAUCUGAUUACAUCGCAAACCGAUACCGUUAAUCGUGUUUGCUUCGCUUUGCAGAUCCCACAUAGACACGUCCCAUCACAGUUUACGUUACAGCCAGAGCGAGCCGACUCGGGCGAAUUCUUCUGGCUUCGAUCCCCAAUCCCGGCCCAGUCCCGUGCUAGCUGCCUAGACGUGGGGUUCCUGUUUGUUUCAUUUCUUUUUACGCUGGGGCUCUCAUUUUCUUGCCGGUAUCCAUUACCGUUAGACACUUAACCAAACAAGAAUGGAUUUUGGCCGAUAUCGUUUACAUCAACGGAGUAAACCCAUUACGUUUACGUUUCCGUUCCACUUCUGGAACCAGACACCUUAGUGUUAAGAAAGGAUUCGUAUGAUCCUAAAAAAAAGGAAUCGUAUACUUUGUAAACAUAAAGCUGAACGACAUAAACUAAACUUUUUUAUUCGCAGCCGCCCAUACUACUCCGACCGACAACAUCAGAUGGCAAAAUGAUAGAUUUAGGUUUAUGACAUAACGAGCCCUUCCUGAAGGCGUUGCUGUUGAAGAAUCCCGUCAUUCGCGCGGUGCCAUGACAUAGUUGAUGCGGAUAUGGUCAUUGUUGUAGUCUACCUAUUAUGGAUUUGGUCGCUCAGAUUUUUUUUCUUCAUCGUCUACGCGUGGCUUUGGUCUUAUAUGACUUUGCUAUUUGCUGACGUGAUGUUGUGUGCGUGCGUUAGUGUUGGCUGUGUGCAUCCUAGCUAUGCAGAGGCCGGGUGUGCUCAUUAUGUUUGUAUCCUCUUGAUGCCUCAUUUUAAGCUAAUAAAAUACAUUCUUUGUCGAGAAAAAUGACAUAACGAGCCCGUGUGGCUAAAACGGACCACAGUGUGGCUCAGUUUUGAACGUGUUUGUUUUUUUCAUUUCAUUUUUAAAAUAUAUUAAUUAUAAUUGUGUGUUACAAACAAUAUACAAUAUUUAAAACAAAUUACGUUAAAAUGUUUAUACUAUUUCAUAAAAUACAUAUGCAAUAUUUUAACAGAAAUAUACAUAAUAAAAUUAUGAGUUAAGAAUAUAUUUUAUAAUUUGAAAAAAAUGUUUGCAUUUUAAUAAAAUAUUAAUGUAAUUUUAGAAAUGUUCAUAUAUUUUAAAAAAUUCUCAUAUAAUUUUGAAAUUUCCACAUUAUUAAUAAAUUAUUUAUGUAGUCUAUCAGUGUGUUCAUGCUUUAAUUAAAAAGGUGUUAUUUUAAAAGGUUUAUAUAGUAUAUAAGUUUGUGCGUUUCUAUAAAAAAUAAAUGCAAGCCUAGUGCGCCAUUAGACUGCGUAUCCUCACAUGAAUAAUAGUUGAAUCAUCUAAACAUUUUGAUCUUCAUAAAUAGUUUCAAUUGUAUGAAUAUAUUUUAAAAUAACACAUGAUUUUAUUUCAGGAUACACGUGAAUUCUUUUGAUACAUGACAAUUCAUUGGUUGGAGUGACAUCCGUGCCUGGUCUACAAGCUUUGGUCCGAUGUGCAGAUCACAGAGCCGGUGCUGUUUUUGCUGGAUUAUUAAAUUCCUUUUAUUUAUUUUGUUCGGUCCAAUGUUUAUAAAGGUUAUAAAUCAUUAAAUAUUAGCAAAUGUGAAGUUGUCGAGCACACGCUCUGGACUGGUAGGUUGCAGGCUCGAGCCACCACAUGACAAGUUUUAGUUUUUAUUUUAUAGUUUAUCAGUUUCUCCCCGAGGGCCUUCUUGUAAGAAAAAUAAUUUUGGGAGUUUUCCGCAAAAACCAAGCCAAACACCCUUGUCUCUGGCAGCGGGUCCCAUGGCAUGCUGGCACGCCUCGUAAGUAUACAAACAUCAUUUAAACCAAAUAUGCACGUCUAUGCCAAGUUAUGAAACCGGUUCAAUGUAUUUUUCAAGGCACUAGAAUGCAUAUUCAUGACAAGUUCAAGCACCACAGAUGUAUUUACCUCGGAAAGUAAUAAAAAACACACACAAGAAAAUCAGAAAAAAAAACCCCGGGCCAAAACUAGAACAGCCAGCGAGAUUUCCAGAAUGGUCAAAAACUUAGUCUGGCCACGGAUUACUUUAAGGGAAUCUUGGGUCAGCCUGCCCCCUCGAUGAACACAGUGGACGUACACUCACUAUACACUUCACUUGAUCUAUCUGCCCUGACGGUACGGUUUUCUUGGGCUGAAAUCAUACAAGCCAUCAGCUGCUCACCCAAUAACAGAAGUCCAGGCCCUGACGGUUUCACCAAUGAGUUUUACAAGGCUUUCAAGUUGCUGCUAAAGGAUGACCUGCUCCACUUUUUUUAUGAUUUCCACAGAAAUGUGGUUGAUCUUACUGGUAUUAACUCCGCUUUCAUCACCCUGCUACCUAAAAAGAUACGCCCCUAGAGAUGCGGGACUUCAGGCCGAUUUCCCUCGUACAUAGCAUACCCAAACUGGUUUCUAAGGUUCUGGCUUGUAGGCUGAAAGCAUGGAUUCCUCUCUUGAUUCACUCUCUCCAGUCUGGCUUCUUGCGGGGCAGAUCGAUUAUAGAAAACUUUACCCUGGCUGCCGAAAUGAUCCAAUACGCACACAAACGGAAAAUGCUAGUCAUUGCUUUGAAGUUGGAUUUUCACAAAGCUUUUGACAGCGUCAGUUGGUCCUGUUUGCACAAAGUACUUGAAGCCAGAGGGUUUUCUCGGCUGUGGAUUAGUUGGAUUCAAAUGCUUUUGUCAACCGGCAGCUCUAAAGUCCUUAUUAAUGGCCAGCUGGGUGCCCCCAUCCGGGCUAAGCGUGGUUUUCGGCAAGGCGAUUCCUUAUCCCCUUAUCUUUUCAUUAUCGUUGCGGACGUGCUACAGAGAAUGUGCUGCAAAUUGUUCCAAGAUGGUUCCUUGCUGCACCCACUUGGUUCAGACAGUUUCUUCCCGGUUCUGCAAUACGCGGAUGACAUGCUGAUUCUUUUCCAAGGCACUACGCACCAGGCGGCAGUUGUUAAGUCAGCGCUCACAACUUUCUCUGCUUUCUCUGGGCUCACCAUAAAUUUCCACAAGAGCACUCUCGUACCUGUUGCCGCGGAGACCAUCACUGCUUCGGCCAUCGCGCAGAUCCUAGGCUGCCCCGUUUCAUCCUUUCCAUGCAACUACCUGGGCCUGCCUCUCUCUCUGCACAAGAUUACGCAUGGUAUGUUACUGCCUGUUAUACACAAGGUCGACCGUCGUCUUUCGGGCUGGUUAGCUACUUUCCUAUCCUUAGGGGGUAGAUUGACCCUUAUCAACUCAGUGAUCGUUGGUAUCCCAAGUUAUUUCAUGUCAUGCUUUCCCUGGCCCAAGGAAUCUCUUGGAAAAUUGGAAAGUCUCUCACGUGCUUUUUUCUGGCAAGGCAAGAAUAAGGUCAAGGGGGGUCAAUGCUUAGUAGCUUGGGAUACAGUCUCGUCACCUCGUAUCAAUGGCGGUUUGGGUAUCCGUCAGCUGCAGGCUCACAACCAAGCUAUGAUGUGCAAGUCUGUCUCCAAAGUUAUACAAGGUUCGGACAUACCAUGUUAUAACUGGUUCGCCACACAUUAUUGCCGGGCUAUCCUUCCACAAAGUGCUAGUAGCAGAGACACUGCCAUCUGGAAAGGGUUCAAAGAUCUUGUUCCUAUGGUCAUCAACUCCUCUAAAUGUGUUCUGGGGUCUGGUCUUUUGAUUUCAUUCUGGAAGGACCAGUGGCUUGAAGCGGGGCGUUUAUACCAGUUGUUCCCCAUGCUGUAUUCCUUCGCGAUCCAGCCAGAUUUCUCCGUGCACUCACAACACUCCAACGGUUCAUGGGCUAUUCAGCUACACCCUAAUCUCUCUCAAACAGCCUCAGCCGAGCUUGCUGUCCUGCAUGAUUUGUUGCUGGGCAUUGCUCCGAACUUACUGCAUGAGGACCAACGGACUGCUUCUGUGAGCUCUGGACAACUUUGCACUGGUUAUUUCUACAGGCUACUCACUUUCCGGGGGGUUUUGUCAACUCUUGGCACCUGGGUUUGGGAGGCAAUGACCCCCCUCAAGCACAGAAUCUUCCUAUGGCUUUCUUUCCGUGAUCGUCUAAACACUAAGGAUAACAUGGUAAAGAAGGGUUGGUCCGAGGCUUCCCCGUUUGCGCAUUGUGACACUUGCCCCGCUGUUGAGACCAUCGAUCACUUAAUACUACGAUGUGCAUCCGCCAGUGUUCUUUGGGGCAAGUUGGAACUUGACGUUUUGGCUUGCUCAACUACUAACGUUCUAUCUUUUAUGGAGCAAGCGCAACACCAGCUCAGUUUCAAGAAAAAUGGAAUGUUGCUUUCACGGCUUGUGCUGUCACCUUUUGGCAUGCUAGGAAUGACAGAGUCUUCAACUCAAAAGACUGGUCUGUAACAUACACCUGUUUAUAUGCAGCAGGCAUGCUCCGUCUUUGGAGUCUCAGAACUCAAAGCCAGCGUACCAGGGAGGUUCUCCAGGUUUGGAGACACAAGCUGCUGCAUAAUUCGUAGACGCCUGAUGUAAUCUUCCCCUCCUCUCUUCCUCCCUCCCUUCUUUCCCUUUUUUCGAUGCUUGUGCUUUGCACCUUGGUGCACCACACAAGCUGCACUUGUACUUGUACCUGCUACUUCAUCAGGCUCUGGCCUGUUUUGAAAUAUAAGGUCGGCAGCCUGCCACCUUCUUUGUUUUAAAAAAAAGAACAGCCAGCGAGCGAAUCAUCAAUCACGAAGCGAGCCAGAAGAAGCAUGUGCCUCGGAUCGUGGGGAGCGCCGCAACCUUUCCGUCGCUCGAAACUGCGUGCUCUGCAGUAACUCCAGGGAAAUGGCUGGCCAUCUUGCAGUUGGCUACCAUUUCUCUCGUGAAGUUUGGUGGCCACGCUGAGGCGUUGCGGUCUUGCUCACCACACAGACACCGACCAUUUACACGUUGUGUGCCUGGUGGCCUCACACUCGGAAUGUACUCUCCAAACCGGCAUGCAAAAGAUUCGACAUCCUGGCACUGCUCACCCUCUGGAAACUAUGGACUUUCAAUGGCGCCCCGAGCACCACUAGGCAGGUCUACGCCGUCAUCGCAAUGGAGGGCGACUUAUGGAAGAAGGCAGCACCGCUGCUGGGUUGCAAGCUAUUUGGAAACAGUGGCGUGUGUGUAGAUUGGUAGGCAUAGUUUAAAUUCGAAAGAUGCGGGACCAAACUCUUCUAUCUGGUGUAACUCACGGUGCCAACUCUCGUCCAAUUAACAAGAUACUAUAUUGAAUCCUUCAAAGAAAACACAAGAUAUAUUGAAACCUACCGACUGCAUGUGAAGCUAGUAAAUACAUUAAUUGGAGCUAGCUUUUGGACCAUACUCAUGUGUGGUGUGCGGCUAUAUAUUGCACACACAUAUAUGUGAAAUUCAUAAUUUAGUUGUGCUAGCAACAAAAGUAGAAGGGAUAUAUCAGGGUCAAUAUACAAUAGUUCAAUCUACUGGGUGUGCAACCACUACGGUAUUAGAGAUUGGUCAUUUAGCUAUACUCGCAGUGACCAUACACAUUGGAAAAGGAGACAUCUGGAAAUGAGGGGAAACAAUAUGCUUAGAACUAGAUCGAAGAUAUCUAUGGCGUCGAGCACCCUACAUGGUAGGACACCAUAUAGGACACCAUGUAGUCUGUUGCCUCAAGCUUUCUUUUGUUUUGAAAGAUCCAUCUGGUGCCUGGCUUUAUAUUGAUCAAAGCAGGGAGCAUAUGGGAAGAGUACAAAGGUGUAUUGUGAUCCAAGGAUCAAUGAGAAAAUAAAAAAAAGAGGCGCCACUAGGCAACCCUUCCAGCUCCUAACAAGCUUGCCAUGAUACUACUAAGUCUUGGCUAAAUUCUCGCACUUUCAUCCCCAAAAGGGGGCUCAAUGAAUUUUACACUCGCCUGGCACCAGAGUUCAAAAUUGCGUCUGACAACUAUAAUGCCGCUCACCGAAGCAAUCUUGGCUCGGAAAGUGCACUCAUUUCUUUCUUGCCAGAUCCUCCAAAGUAUUAGCAGCGCUAGGUCUUCGGCGGCUUUUUGAACUUUGAUUGGGCCGCGUUGAUCAAACACACUCAAAAUCAUAGUCUUUACUAUCAAACACAUGCGAACUGGCUGGGAUUUAUGAAAAAGCCCUCUCGACUACCGUUGCUUAUGAAGCUGCUUUUUCCUCAACGUCAGACGAUCUGUUUUCAUUAUUUGAAAAUAAUAAUAAUUUGCGCCUAGCUGGUGUUGAAUGUUUCUUUUGCUGGCACGCAAGCAGAGGAUAUUCACCAACCGCCUCCACCGAAGCUUGUCUGUGUUGUAAAGAAGCCGAAUCAAAAGCUCAUCUUCUCAUACAUUGCUCAGUUCCUAGGGUGAUGUGGACGAUUAUUGACUCUCUCAACAUUACUCCGGACGACUACACCUCCUUAACUCCUUUCAUGUUGAGUCAUCUCCGAGCCGGCAAAUAAAGUAAGGAACGCAGUAAUUAUGGCUCGCUUAUUGAAUAUCUAGAAGUGCCGGAGCGCACAAGUUUUCAGGAACUAGAAUGAAGACCUUCAAGUUGUCAUCUCUAGGUCUGCAAAUGAUAUUUUUCGUUGGUCAAACAGAUGUGAAAAUGAAUCCAAUCCAAAAGGCGAAUAGUCUAUGACAAUUGACAAAGACUUAAUGUGUGUGUCUUUGUUUCUGGAGUAGUUUGGGUAGCUUUGUUCUUAUCUCCCCGCUUCUUUGUAUAUGGCAGUGACGGUGUCAAAACCGGCGGAUCUCGGGUAGGGGGUCCCAAACUAUGCGUCUAAGGUCAAUGGUAACAGGAGACAGGGGACACAAUGUUUUAGCCAGGUUCGGGCCCUCUCUAUGGAGGUAAUACCCUACGUCCUGCUUGAUUGAUCUUGAUGAAUAUGAGUAUUACAAGAGUUGAUCUAUCACGAGAUCAUAAUGGCUAAACCCUAGAGGCCUAGGUUGUAUGGUUAUGAUAAUGUAUAUCUCCCUCCGGACUAAGUCCUCCGGUUUAUAUAGACACCGGGAGGAUCUAGGGUUAGACAAGGUCGGUUACAAAGAAAGGAAUCUACAUAUUUGGUCGCCAAGCUUGCCUUCCACGUCAAGGAGAGUCCCAUCCGGACACGGGUGCCAUCUUCGGUCUUCGUAUAUUCACAGCCCAUCAGUCCGGCCCAUGGCUAACAGGCCGGACGCCCGAUGACCCCUUAGUCCAGGACUCCCUCAGUACCCCCUGAACCUAGCUUCAAUGACAACGUAUCCGUCGCGUAGAUCUGUCUUCGGCAUUGCAAGGCGGGUUCCUUCCUCCGAACUCCAAGAUAGUCUUCGGACGUAUUUGAACGUGUCCGGACCUUUGUAUUGAUCUUAUAUUUAUUGACCUUUGUAUUGCUGCUCAAUGUUCUAAGCAUGGAUAUAAUGACUCUCUCAUUUUGUUAUUAUUGCCAUGUAAAUGUUGUCAUUACUUGUUUAUUUGGUAUAGUAAGUACAUUUGAUUGAGACUAAUAUCCUGUUACUUGACAUGGCAGUGACUAUCUCUUUAAGCUUCUGCUCAUCGGAGACUCAGGUGUUGGCAAGUCAUGCCUUCUCUUAAGAUUUGCCGUAAGAAUCCCUAUCUAAAGCAUGAUUUGUCCACUAUCUUUUAUAGGUCUUCCCUUUUUUAAUAUGCAUCUUCAUCUUAAAAGUUUGAUACAAGUUGUCUUCGGGAUAUCAUGGAAACUGUCAAUUUAUUUUUAGCCUCAGUAAACUGUAUGAUUUCCCACUACUUAAUACGAAUGAGGAGUUCAUUGUUGGUAGCUACUGUUUCUUAACAACAUGGAGAUGACCCCUAUAACAUUCUUGUUGUUACUAGUUAAUUUACUCUGACCUCCUUAAUAUUGACUCUUUUGGCAGGAUGACUCGUACCUGGAGAGUUAUAUCAGUACUAUUGGUGUUGAUUUCGUAAGUAUAUUUACUUUCUUGGUCUGAGUGUUGAUGUUCUGGCUACCUUAAUUGAACUUGUAGUUUUGUUUUCUUCCAACUUUGUCGAUAGAAAAUACGUACCGUGGAGCAAGAUGGAAAGACUAUGAAGCUGCAAAUCGUGAGUCUAUUCUUUCUUUCAUUAUGUCCAGUAUGCAUGUACCAUCAAAUCCAGAUUGUACAUCGAAUCCAGAUUUGACAAAAUAGAAGACUUUAUCGGGAAACAUUUCAUUUAUAGCCCUCUUCUGUUUUGUGGAGUUUGCUAGAUUUUCCCUUUGCAUAAUAUAGCAUGCCGUUAUUCAUCAGUAUUUAUGUGGUUGUUAGUUGAGGCCAGUUCACAGGAAACAGAAACUCCACUAUGCCUGAAUAUGUAGGCAGUUGCACAACCCCUUUUUACCUUUUGGAUUUUUUAGUUCCAUCCAUUUAAAUUACUGUUGAACAUAAAGAAUAAGAGUAGUUUAGCCCAUUAAAUUAAAUGUUAUAAAGUUUCUUAGUUCGCAUAAAGAAUCGCACUUUCAAGAUGUUUUUAGAUACCAAAGUGAUGCCCAUUUUGAACAUCAUAUUUAGGGGCCUGAUAGUAUGUCAUUUAAAUACUUGGGUGGUACGGUAGAUCAUGCUGCACCUACUGUUGGCAUUUGGCGAUUCUUCCUUCCUUUUGUGUGACACAUUACAUUUAGUGAUGCAAGAUAUCAUUUUCCUUUUCUUUAAACCCCUCUUUGGUACCUUUGUUUUUAUCAGUGGGACACUGCUGGGCAAGAACGCUUCAGAACUAUUACUAGCAGCUACUAUCGAGGGGCUCACGGGAUCAUUGUAAGUUUGUUUAUGUGAAAUCUUAUUUUUAUUUUUCACAUGCUAUUUAACAUGCAUAAAUGUCCACUUUUCAUAUAUUUUGAAUACAUAUAUACAAAUGGGGUUGCAGAUUGUCUAUGACGUGACAGACCAGGACAGCUUCAACAAUGUGAAGCAGUGGUUGAACGAGAUUGGUCACUAUGCUAGUGAGAAUGUUAAACAAGCUUCUUAUAGGGAACAAAUCUGAUCUCACUGACAAAAGAGUUGUAUCAUAUGAGACAGCGAAGGUACCUUAUGCUUUACUCAUAUCUGCUGAAGCAUUUUUUCUGCUCUUUGUGUUUACAUUUGGUGUAUGCAGGCAUUUGCUGAUGAGAUUGGCAUCCCAUUCAUGGAGACCAGUGCAAAGAAUGCCUUGAACGUUGAGCAGGCUUUCAUGGCUAUGUCUGCUUCAAUCAAGGACAGGUGUGUGUUCCCAGACGGUUUAAUUAGCACAGGCCAUCCUACCAGUACACUUUUUUUUAACUACCAUCAUUUUACACUUUAUUUAUUGCUCAUUGAUGCUCUGUUCGUAUAGUAUCAUAACCAAAAUUGUCCUACACUCUUUAGCAUGUUGCUGUUAACUGUUCUAUGUUAUUCCUCACGGUGUUGUUCUAUAUACACCUCAUAGAAAGAGCAUAUAAUUAUGAAUACAAAUCUUGGUUUCCAGGAUGGCGAGCCAGCCAGCCGCAAACAACACUCGCCCAGCCACGGUGCAGAUACGCGGGCAACCUGUCGAACAGAAGACGAGCUGCUGCUCUUCUUGAAAUGCAGGCAGCCGCCAUCCGUGUUACCCAAAUGGAGACGCAAACUUGGCCGCGCCAUCCUUGAGUCCAUGCUUCUACAUAGGCCUACUACAUCUUACACCUUCAUUCCAUUCUUUCUAGUGUACUUAUUAGCUCUUGAAUCGUUGGACUUGUAACACCGGAUGGAGUUUGGAGACAGUAUCUUCUUCUAGUUGUGUAUCUUGAAUGGUUAUAUGUUACGAUUUGCAGCUGUUGCUUUUCUUCCCUAAAUUUAAGGCGAUUUAUACUUUUACUUGACCAAAAUGUUCGGUUCUUCAAAAUAUUAUCUGACAGUAUGCUUAUCUUUGUGGUAAAAAAGGUCCUGGUUAUAGUUUUCAAGGUGACUUGUUGAUUGUUGAAGGCAGCAUUAGGAAUGUGCACAACAUGACAAGUUAAUUGCCAACAUUAAAUCAGUUGGGGCAUGUUUGGUUGCCUGCAUCUUUUGUAUCAGUGGGCCAGGUUGAGUUGCCUGUAUUUGUGCUAUUGGUAUGCAAAGCAGAGCUGUUUUGCUCAUCCCGUGGUGGUCUUACACACAACUGCAGCACUUCAUAUCAUACAUAACAUAAGACCAACAUAAUACAAUUAACAGUACAAAUAAAAACCAUAGCUAAAUAGUUCAGAAUAGCUAAUUAGACCAUAGUUUAAGACAUCAAAGGCAUCCCAUGCCCCUGCACGACCCUAGGGUGUUGAACCCUGAGCAAAAUAUAUAGUUUUGCACUAAGUUGAGCAAAAUAUACAGUUUUGCAGUAAGUUCAGACGAUCAAGCCUAGCCUGAAGAGCCACAUGACGAGCUAGUCGCUGUGGAUGAUUGUGUGGCGCCGACAGAAGUAGUCUCAACUGCUCCCGAGCACCAUCUGCCCCUGAAAUGUAUGGCCCUACACCUAGAACUCACACCACUUGUUGGCAGAGGCUGACAACACCAGGAGGGUUGACGACUGCCAUUUCUUUAUCACCGUCCUAAAGGCAGGCGGGAUGACCAGCAUGGUGAUCUCUUCCUCGUUCUUGAUUUGCACGUAGAACCCGACUAACGCCCGUGUAUAUAGAGUAAAUUGCUCAAAGCCACUACAUUUGUGGCUAGAGUACUCUAAAACCACCACUUUUGCCAGAAAUCACAAAAAACCACCACUUCCGCGGCAAGUGAGUAACAAAUCACACUGAUUUGGAAUUGAACGCAUUUAACAGCAAAACUGACAUGUGGGACCCGUCUAUCCGGGCUGAUGUGGCAAAGACUAGUCCUAGUCAAUGGUUGACCUGCUAAGGUGGACGGGGGUCCUACCUGUCAGCCACACCUCUUGUCUUCUCUCUCCUCUCCUUCUUCUCGAUAAAGCGGAAUCCCAGCCGCCAUGCCAUGGCCGGCGCAGAGAGAAGCAGGCCGCGCCCGCCUAGCUCCCCUCCUCCUGAUCCGGCGGAAGCCGCCCGCCGGUGCCGGAGCUCUACGCCGCCGGUGGCGCCACGCCCUGCCUCCCCCAUUUCUCCUAGAUCCGAUGGGAUCCCAGCGCCGGCAAGCCAAGGUCGGGCGAACUCCUCCUAGCCUCGACGCCCCGCCCCGCUACGACAACCACUGCUGCUGGCCAUGGCCAGAGGCGAGCUCCUUCCCCUCACGCCACAGGCAACCUCUCCCAUCCCUGUCUUCCUCGCGAGCGCUGGCACGAGAGCCGCGGGAGCCAGAGGCGGGGAAGGUGUGCUGCUCGCCAUGGUAACGCUGGUGGCGGCGACGCACCGGGAACCCCAAGGCGCGGCUAGCGAACUUCUUCGCAGGCUUCGGCUCCGGCGGCGUGCUGGUGGCGCGCGACACCGACGACGCGCGUCGACUCUCUCCCUGUCUUCCUCGCGAGCGCCGGCACGAGAGCCACAUGAGCCAGGGCGGGGAAUGUGUGCUGCUCACCGUGGCAACGCUGGUGGCGGCGGCGCACCGGGAACCCCAAGGCGCAACUAGCGGACUUCUUCGCAGCCUCCGGCGUGCUGGUGGCCACGACACCGACGACGCACGUCGACUCUUCUCCGCGGAGGACGCGCUAGUGAGUGGGGCGGCCUGGUGAGAGGGGACCGGCUCGCCGUGCGCAGAGGAGGGGCGGAGCUCGUCGAGGUGCGUACGGAGGGGCAACAUCUCCGGAGAAGUGCUGGACCGACGGAGUAGGUGUUGUGCGUGCACAUGAAGUACUCGACGAAAUGCCAGAGCCUAGUCACCUGUCUACGUGUUUAUUCUUUGCCAAGUCAGCCUGCAUGUGGGCCAGGCAUGCCAGUUUUUCACUUAGUCACGGCUGACAGCUCGUUUAGUGCAUUUUGUUACUCACUUGCCGCGGAAGUGGUGGUUUUUGUGAUUUCUGACAAAAGUGGUGGUUUUGGAGUACCCUAGCCACAAAUGUGGUGGCUUUCAGCAAUUUACUCGUGUAUAUACGGUUCAAAUCUCGUUUUUAUACAUCCAUCCAUGACGCUGAUGAGGCAUGCCAGGGUGUAAGGGACAAGGCGUGUCGCCUACUUUUGUUUUGCGGAAAACCCCCCAAAAUAAUUGUUUUCUUAUAAAAAAGGCCCUCAAAGAAAAACUAAUAAACUGUAAAAUUAACUAUUAAUCAAUUUAUAAUAUUUAAAAAUAGUCCGGGGUUCGAACCAGCGACACAGGUGUGCGUGGCUAGCCAGCCGACCGGUUCAAAUUUGGAGGUGUUUGGUUCACAAUUUUACACCCGGUAUCUGAUUACAUCGCAAACCGAUACCGUUAAUCAUGUUUGCUUCGCUUUGCAGAUCCCGCAUAGACAGGUCCCAUCACAGUUUACGUUACAGCCAGAGCGAGCCGACUCGGGCGAAUUCUUCUGGCUUCGAUCCCCAAUCCCGGCCCAGUCCCGUGCUAGCUGCCUAGACGUGGGGUUCCUGUUUGUUUCAUUUCUUUUUACGCUGGGGCUCUCAUUUUCUUGCCGGUAUCCAUUACCGUUAGACACUUAACCAAACAAGAAUGGAUUUUGGCCGAUAUCGUUUACAUCAACGGAGUAAACCCAUUACGUUUACGUUUCCGUUCCACUUUUGGAACCAAACACCUUAGUGUUUAGAAAGGAUUCAUAUGAUCCUAAAAAAAAGGAAUCGUAUACUUUGUAAACAUAAAGCUGAACGACAUAAAUUAAACUUUUUUAUUUGCAGCCGCACAUACUACUCCGACCGACAACAUCAGAUGGCAAAAUGAUAGAUUUAGGUUUAUGACAUAACGAGCCCUUCCUGAAGGCGUUGCUGUUGAAGAAUCCCGUCAUUCGCGCGGUGCCAUGACAUAGUUGGUGCGGAUAUGGUCAUUGUUGUAGUUUGCCUAUUAUGGAUUUGGUCGCUCAGAUUUUUUUUUUCAUCGUCUACGCAUGGCUUUGGUCUUAUAUGACUUUGCUAUUUGCUGACGUGAUGUGUGCGUGCGUUAGUGUUGGCUAUGUGCAUCCUAGCUAUGCAGAGGCCGGGUGUGCUCAUUAUGUUUGUAUCCUCUUGAUGCCUCAUUUUGAGCUAAUAAAAUACACUCUUUGUCGAGAAAAAUGACAUAACGAGCCGUGUGGCUAAAACGGACCACAGUGUGGCUCAGUUUUGAACGUGUUUGUUUUUUUCAUUUCAUUUUUAAAAUAUAUUAAUUAUAAUUGUGUGUUACAAACAAUAUACAAUAUUUAAAACAAAUUACAAUAUUUAAAACAAAGUAUUUUUCAAGUUUAGGCACUAGAAUGCAUAUUCAUGACAAGUUCAAGCACCACAAAUGUAUUUACCUCGGAAAGUAAUAAAAAACACACACAAGAAAAUCAGAAAAUAAAACCCCGGGCCAAAACCAGAACAGCCAGCAAGAUUUCCAGAAUGGUCAAAAACUCAGUCUGGCCACGGAUUACUUUAAGGGAAUCUUGGGUCAGCCUGCCCCCUCGAUGAACACAGUGGACGUACAGUCACUAUACACUUCACUUGAUCUAUCUGCCCUGACGGUACGGUUUUCUUGGGCUGAAAUCGUACAAGCCAUCAGCUGCUCACCCAAUAACAGAAGUCCGGGCCCUGACGGUUUCACCAAUGAGUUUUACAAGGCUUUCAAGUUGCUGCUAAAGGAUGACCUGCUCCGUUUUUUUGAUGAUUUCCACAGAAAUGUGGUUGAUCUUACUGGUAUUAACUCCGCUUUCAUCACCCUGCUACCUAAAAUGGAUACGCCCCUGGAGAUGCGGGACUUCAGUCCGAUUUCCCUCGUACAUAGCAUACCCAAACUGGUUUCUAAGGUUCUGGCUUGUAGGCUGAAAGCAUGGAUUCCUCUCUUGAUUCACUCUCUCCAGUCUGGCUUCUUGCGGGGCAGAUCGAUUAUAGAAGACUUUACCCUGGCUGCCGAAAUGAUCCAAUACGCACACAAACGGAAAAUGCCAGUCAUUGCUUUGAAGUUGGAUUUUCACAAAGCUUUUGACAGCGUCAGUUGGUCCUGUUUGCACAAAGUACUUGAAGCCAGAGGGUUUUCUCAGCUGUGGAUUAGUUGGAUUCAAAUGCUUUUGUCAACCGGCAGCUCUAAAGUCCUUAUUAAUGGCCAGUUGGGUGCCCCCAUCCGGGCUAAGCGUGGUUUUCGGCAAGGCGAUUCCUUAUCCCCUUAUCUUUUCAUUAUCGUUGCGGACGUGCUACAGAGAAUGUGCUGCAAAUUGUUCCAAGAUGGUUCCUUGCUACACCCACUUGGUUCAGACAGUUUCUUCCCGGUUCUGCAAUACGCGGAUGACACGCUGAUUCUUUUCCAAGGCACUACGCAGCAGGCGGCAAUUGAUAAGUCAGCACUCACAACUUCCUCUGCUUUCUCUGAGCUCACCAUAAAUUUCCACAAGAGCACUCUCGUACCUGUUGCCGCGUAGACCAUCACUGCUUCGGCCAUCGCGCAGAUCCUAGGCUGCCCCGUUUCAUCCUUUCCAUGCAACUACCUGGGCCUGCCUCUCUCUCCGCACAAGAUUACGCAUGGUAUGUUACUGCCUGUUAUACACAAGGUCGACCGUCGUCUUUCGGGCUGGUUAGCUACUUUCCUAUCCUUAGGGGGUAGAUUGAACCUUAUCAACUCAGUGCUCGCUGGUAUCCCAAGUUAUUUCAUGUCAUGCUUUCCCUGGCCCAAGGAAUCUCUUGGAAAAUUGGAAAGUCUCUCACGUGCUUUUUUCUGGCAAGGCAAGAAUAAGGUCAAGGGGGGUCAAUGCUUAGUAGCUUGGGAUACAAUCUCGUUACCUCGUAUCAAUGACGGUUUGGGUAUCCGUCAGCUGCAGGCUCACAACCAAGCUAUGAUGUGCAAGUUUGUCUCCAAAGUUAUACAAGGUUCGGACAUACCAUGUUAUAACUGGUUCGCCACACAUUAUUGCCGGGCUAUCCUUCCACAAAGUGUUAGUAGCAGAGACACUGCCAUCUGGAAAGGGUUCAAAGAUCUUGUUCCUAUGGUCAUCAACUCCUCUAAAUGUGUUCUGGGGUCUGGUCUUUUGAUUUCAUUCUGGAAGGACCAGUGGCUUGAAGCGGGCCGUUUAUACCAGUUGUUCCCUAUGCUGUAUUCCUUCGCAAUCCAGCCAGAUUUCUCCGUGCACUCACAACACUCCAACGGUUCAUGGGCUGUUCAGCUACACCAUAAUCUCUCUCAAACGGCCUCAGCCGCGCUUGCUGUCCUGCAUGAUUUGUUGCUGGGCAUUGCUCCGAACUUACUGCAUGAGGACCAACGGACUGCUUCCGUGAGCUCUGGACAACUUUGCACUGGUUAUUUCUACAGGCUACUCACUUUCCGGGGGGUUUUGUCAACUCUUGACACCUGGGUUUGGGAGGCAAUGAUCCCCCUCAAGCACAGAAUCUUCCUAUGGCUUGCUUUCCGUGGUGGUCUAAACACUAAGGAUAACAUGGUAAAGAAGGGUUGGUCCGAGGCUUCCCCGUUUGCGCAUUGUGACACUUGCCCCGCUGUUGAGACCAUCGAUCAUUUAAUACUACGAUGUGCAUCCGCCAGUGUUCUUUGGGGCAAGUUGGAACUUGACGUUUUGGCUUGCUCAACUACUAACGUUCUAUGUUUUGUGGAGCAAGCGCAACACCAGCUCAGUUUGAAGCAAAAAUGGAAUGUUGCUUUCACGGCUUGUGCUGUCACCUUUUGGCAUGCUAGGAAUGACAGAGUCUUCAACUCAAAAGUAUGGUCUGUAACAUACACCUGUUUAUAUAUGCAGCAGGCAUGCUCCGUCUUUGGAGUCUCAGAACUCAAAGCCAGCGUACCAGGGAGGUUCUCCAGGUUUGGAGACACAAGCUGCUGCAUAAUUCGUAGACGCCUGAUGUAAUCUUCCCCUCCUCUCUUCCUCCCUCCCUUCUUUCCCUUUUUUCGAUGCUUGUGCUUUGCACCUUGGUGCACCAAACAAGCUGCACUUGUACUUGUACCUUCUACUUCAUCAGGCUCUGGCCUGUUUUGAAAUAUAAGGUCGGCAGCCUGCCACCUUCUUUGUUUUUAAAAAAAAGAACAGCCAGCGAGCGAAUCAUCAAUCCCGAAGCGAGCCAGAAGAAGCAUGGGCCUCGGAUCGCGGGGAGCACCGCAACCUUUCCGUCGCUCGAAACUGCGUGCUCUGCAGUAACUCCAGGGAGAUGGCUGGCUAUCUUGCAGUUGGCUACCAUUUCUCUCGUGAAGUUUGGUGGCCACGCUGAGGCGUUGCGGUCUUGCUCACCACACAGACACCGACCAUUUACACGUUGUGUGCCUGGUGGCCUCACACUCGGAAUGUACUCUCCAUACCGGCAUGCAAAGGAUUCGACAUCCUGGCACUGCUCACCCUCUGGAAACUAUGGACUUUCAAUGGCGCCCCGAGCACCACUAGGCAGGUCUACGCCGUCAUCGCAAUGGAGGGCGACUUAUGGAACAAGGCAGCACCGCUGCUGGGUUGCAAGCUAUUUGGAAAUAGUGGAGUGUGUGUAGAUUGGUAGGCAUAGUUUAAAUUCAAAAGAUGCGGGACCAAACUCUUCUAUCUGGUGUAACUCACGGUGCCAACUCUCGUCCAAUUAACAAGAUACUAUAUUGAAUCCUUCAAAGAAAACACAAGAUAUAUUGAAACCUACCGACUGCAUGUGAAGCUAGUAAAUACAUUAAUUGGAGCUAGCUUUUGGACCAUACUCAUGUGUGGUGUGCGGCUAUAUAUUGCACACACAUAUGUGAAAUUCAUAAUUUAGUUGUGCUAGCAACAAAAGUAGAAGGGAUAUAUCAGGGUCAAUAUACAAUAGUUCAAUCUACUGGGUGUGCAACCACUACGGUAUUAGAGAUUGGUCAUUUAGCUAUACCCGCAGUGACCAUACACAUUGAAAAGGAGACAUCUGGAAAUGAGGGGAAACAAUAUGCUUAGAACUAGAUCGAAGAUAUCUAUGGCGUCGAGCACCCUACAUGGUAGGACACCAUAUAGGACACCAUGUAGUCUGUUGCCUCAAGCUUUCUUUUGUUUUGGAAGAUCCAUCUGGUGCCUGGCUUUAUAUUGAUCAAAGCAGGGAGCAUAUGGGAAAAGUACAAAGGUGUAUUGUGAUCCAAUGAUCAAGGAGAAAAUAAAAAAAAAGAGGCGCCACUAGGCAACCCUUCCAGCUCCUAACAAGCUUGCCAUGAUACUACUAAGUCUUGGCUAAAUUCUCGCACUUUCAUCCCCAAAAGGGGGCUCAAUGAAUUUUACACUCGCCUGGCACCAGAGUUCAAAAUUGCGUCUGACAACUAUAAUGCCGCUCAUCGAAGCAAUCUUGGCUCAGAAAGUGCACUCAUUUCUUUCUUGCCAGAUCCUCCAAAGGAUUAGCAGCGCUAGGUCUUCGGCGGCUUUUUGAACUUUGAUUGGGCCGCGUUGAUCAAACACACUCAAAAUCAUAGUCUUUACUAUCAAACACAUGCGAACUGGCGGGAUUUAUGAAAAAGCCCUCUCGACUACCGUUGCUUAUGAAGCUGCUUUUUCCUCAACGUCAGACGAUCUGUUUUCAUUAUUUGAAAAUAAUAAUAAUUUGCGCCUAGCUGGUGUUGAAUGUUUCUUUUGCUGGCACGCAAGCAGAGGAUAUUCACCAACCGCCUCCACUGAAGCUUGUCUGUGUUGUAAAGAAGCCGAAUCAAAAGCUCAUUUUCUCAUACAUUGCUCAGUUCCUAGGGUGAUGUGGACGAUUAUUGACUCUCUCAACAUUACUCCGGACGACUACACCUCCUUAACUCCUUUCAUGUUGAGUCAUCUCCGAGCCGGCAAAUAAAGUAAGGAACGCAGUAAUUAUGGCUCGCUUGUUGAAUAUCUAGAAGUGCCGUAGCGCACAAGUUUUCAGGAACUAGAAUGAAGACCUUCAAGUUGUCAUCUCUAGGUCUGCAAAUGAUAUUUUUCGUUGGUCAAACAGAUGUGAAAAUGAAUCCAAAAGGCGAAUACUCUAUGACAAUUGACAACGGGGUUAUGCUUUCAAGACUUAAUGUGUGUGUCUUUGUUUCUGGAGUAGUUUGGGUAGCUUUGUUCUUAUCUCCCCGCUUCUUUGUAUAUGGCAGUGACUACAAAUUUAUAAAAGAAAAGGUUCAGGAUGGAUUUUAGCCCGCCGUAGUUACCCCCCACCCCUCCCCAUUACUGCUUAGUGGUACUGCCUGGCUUAAAAGGACAGAGUUCUUUGAUGCUCAACCACAUGUACCACUCCUACUAAUCCGAGCAGGGGACCACUAUUUAGUGGUGGUUUAUUCUAAUGCAGCAAACAUGGCUUCUAGUCAACCUUCAAGUUCAUCGAUUGAACACCUUCUCUCCUAUUGGCCGGCUAGCGGGCUGGGUGAACGAUCUCUUUGUUUGCUCCAGUCCAGAGUGGUGGUUGGUUUUGGCAAGUUAUGGCCUGUGUUGCUGAUGGUGUGAUCCUCUAAAAAGUACAAGAAAGAACUCCAUUAUAUUCUUUUUGCUAAUAAUGUAAGUUUUGAAUGGACCAAUCGGUCCCAUGAUUUUUUUACAUCUCACGUUAUGUGGAUCAAGCGGAUAUGUCGGUGGUACGUUCUUGUCAUGAUCGUCGGUAAUAUACUCGCCUGGAUCGUAACCCUCUACUUUCAGUAUUUGUGCCCGUCCGAAUCAUGUUGCACCUUAAAAAUGGUCUAUUAAGCUAGGAAAUACUUGGUAAAAAGAUGUAAAAUCAGUAAAAAAAUAAAAUAAAAAAUUCCAAAAAUGAACCAUGAGAUCUAAAAAUUAUUAUAUGUAAGAACUAGCAUGGUAGUCCAAGCAAUUGUGCAAUGAACAUCUUGAUUUUCCCUCAUUAUAAAUACACCUUUAGGGUACUUAAAAACAAUAAUUUUCAGUUAAAAACAUUGAAAUUUUACACACCACUGAGCAACAAGGCCUUUAGCUAAUAUUGUCGGGCAGAUUGAAAUUCAAAAGAUGAGGGACCAAACUUUUCUAGUUUAAGUCACCGUACCAACUCUAAUAUAAUUAACAAGAUAAGUUGAACGCUGCCAACUGCGCGCCAAGCUAGUAAAGACAUUAAUUGGAGCUACCUCUUGAACAGUACUCAAACGGUGUGCAGCUGUAUAUAUAUAUACACUCUAUGCAUAUAUGAAAUUCACAAUUUAGCUGCACUACCAACCUAAACAGAAAGGAUCUGUUCAACUUACUAGGUGUACAACCACUGCUGUAUGAGAUCGACCGUCUAACUGUACGUGCAUAAUUCAUAUAUGUAGGAAAUGGAGGCACCGGGAAACGAGGGGAAACCAUAUGCUGUUGUGCCACCUCUCAUCGCGUGUCACCGUUUUGUGAUUCACACCCAGGAUCGUAUGCACCACACAUCGUUCACUCCGAAAACUGCACGUGCUAGGCUAGCUUCUUCAUACAUUCGUCUCUUCACUACAUUGAAUAAUGAUAAAAUCUCUCCUCCGACCAUAAUAGGCAACCGCUCGUCCCUGCACACUUGAUCAGCAAGGAGGCCACGAAUACAAGGAAGCUUAGUAACUUUUAGGGCUAGUAAGCUUGCACGUGCAACAACAUGUAUAAUAUUUAGAUUUUAUUGAGUAAAAUUUGUUUUUGAAUCCUUAAAACCUAAUCCCCUAAUUCAGGACAAGAAACUCACUAAUUUCAAUUAUUAGCAUCCCCAAUCACAUUUUCCAAAUGGAUUGUCGGCUGUUUCUAUCAGCAAGACAUGGGGCACUCUUGGGCAGGUCUCUAAGCACGCUCGAGUCAUUCAUUAUGCAAAUUAGUGGUGAUGAUGAACAAAAUCUAAGGAUUGAGAGCGUAAUGAAGAGAAGAGAGUAGAGCAGAAACCAAUAGGCAAUGAAAGGGAGAAGGGUGACCAUCGACAUUCAGGAGGGAGUGUCGGUGUCAAAACCGGCGGAUCUCGGGUAGGGGGUCCCGAACUGUGCGUCUAAGGUCGAUGGUAACAGGAGACAGCGGACAAAAUGUUUUACCCAGGUUUGGGCCCCUAUGGAGGUAAUACCCUACGUCCUGCUUGAUUGAUCUUAAUGAAUAUGAGUAUUACAAGAGUUGAUCUACCACGAGAUCGUAAUGGCUAAACCCUAGAGGCCUAGGUUGUAUGGUUAUGAUAAUGUAUAUCUCCCUCCGGACUAAGUCCUCCGGUUUAUAUAGACACCGGGAGGAUCUAGGGUUACACAAGGUCGGUUACAAAGAAAGGAAUCUAUAUAUUUGGUAGCCAAGUUUGCCUUCCACGCCAAGGAGAGUCCCAUCUGGACACGGGUGCCGUCUUCGGUCUUCGUAUAUUCACAGCCCAUCAGUCCAGCCCAUGGCUAACAAGCCGGACGCCCGAUGACUCCUUAGUCCAGGACUCCCUCAGUACCCCCUGAACCUGGCUUCAAUGACAAUGUAUCCGGCGCGUAGAUCUGUCUUCGGCAUUGCAAGGCGGGUUCCUUCCUCCAAACUCCAAGAUAGUCUUCGGACGUAUUUGAACGUGUCCGGACCUGUAACACAACACCACACACAACCGCGGAGAGAAUAUAAUAUUCCACGAGUCCAAUCUGAUGACAACUUUUAUAACGUGACGUCACACUCGCCCAGUUUUUCGAGCCGUUUCCUGUCCCGCCGUUCCACGUUUUGAGGCGCGGUUGCUAUUGGCACGCUCUGUCGAAACAGAGAUUGUGUCCCUUUAUUGCGGGAUUCUCAUUAACACGAGUGUGGGUAACCCAACUGUUCUGUUGGAAAGAUCCCUUAGGAAUAGGCAGGCUUUCAGGCUCAAGAGGAGGCGUUUAAUUCCUGGUGCCUUUAUAAAGGAACCAAGGGCCGUCCUUUUUGACGCCAAACUUCUCCUCAGCCUCUCGAACCUCGAGUUCUAGCACCCAAGGUUUUGACUUCGUUGCUCCGAGCUUCCCCAUUAUGUCCGGACCCAGCCCUCAAGGCCAAUGGGUGGCUUCCUCUAUUACAGAGGAGGACAUUAUGAAGCUUCGAGCGGCCAGAUACCUGACAGCGGAAAUCCACCACAGACUUCCUGCUCAAGGGAAGGUUAUCCCGACCCCCAGAUCUGGCAAGAGGGUCGUAUUCAUCUCACACUUCCUUCGAGGGCUAGGGCUCGCUCUUGAUCCCUUCAUCCGGUGGCUAAUGUUCUAUUAUGGACUAGAUUUUCACGAUCUAGCCCCAGAGUCUUUCCUCCAUGUCUCAGCGUUCAUCAUUACGUGCGAGGCCUUCCUUCGAAUCCCCCACACUUCGGCUUAUGGCUCAAGACCUUCAGUGUGAAACCAAAGAUAGUCGACGGGGAACAGGUGGAGUGCGGUGGUGCUGUAGUCAGCCAGCUCACCAACACUCCUUGGCCAAAAGACUCCUUUAUUGAAACUUCCAAUCAAUGGCAGCGAGAGUGGUUUUACGUUAUGGAGCCCCGCUGAGGGAAUCUUGGAUUAGGGGGUCUCCGGACAGUGGGACUAUAUCCUUUGGCCGGACUGUUGGACUAUGAAGAUACAAGAUUGAAGACUUCGUCCCGUGUCCGGAUGGGACUCUACUUGGCGUGGAAGGCAAGCUAGGCAAUACGGAUAUGGAUAUCUCCUCCUUUGUAACCGACCUUAUGUAACCCUAGCCCCCCCGGUGUCUAUAUAAACCGGACGGUUUUAGUCCAUAGGACAACAUACAAUCAUACCAUAGGCUAGCUUCUAGGGUUUAGCCUCUCCGAUCUCAUGGUAGAUCAACUCUUGUACUACUCAUAUUAUCAAGAAUAAUCAAGAGGACGUAGGGUUUCACCUCCAUCAAGAGGGCCCGAACCUGGGUAAAACAUCGUGUCCCCUGCCUCCUGUUACCAUCUGCCUUAGACGCACAGUUCAGGAACCCCUACCCGAGAUCCGCCGGUUUUGACACCGACAUUGGUGCUUUAAUUGAGAGUUCCUCUGUGUCGUCACCGUUAGGCUUGAUGGCUCCUUCGAUCAUCAAUAGCUAUGUAGUCCAGGGUGAUACUUUUCUCCCCGGAUAUAUCUUUGUAUUUGGCGGCUUCGCACUGCGGGUCAACUCGCUUGGCCAUCUGGAGCAGAUCGAGAGUUAUGCCCCUGGCCACCAGGCCAGGUUUGGAAGCUUAAACUACACGACCGACAUCCGCGGAGACUUGAUCUUCGACGGAUUCGAGCCCCUGCCGAGUGCGCCGCACGGUCACGAUGAGCAUGAUUUAGCUCUGCCAUCGGACAGUGUUCAGGAGACCGCACCGGCAACCGCUCUAACCCUCAAUUCGGAGCCAAUUGUGCCAUCCAUGGACGGGUGGAUAGACCCCGCCACGGAGGCGGCACUCUCAUCGGCGAUCGAGCCGAAUAUCGACCUUACCCUUCACACAAGAGCCUGACAUCGAACUGCCGAAUUCUUCCCCGGCCACGGACUCCGAACCGCCUGCGCCCAUGCCUAUCAGAUCCAACUAGGCGCCGAUCAUGGAGUUCACCUCCGCGGAUAUCUUUCAGCACUCGCCCUUCGGCGACAUACUGAGCUCAUUAAGGUCUCUCUCCCUGUCAGGAGAGUCCUGGCCGAACUAUGUUCGGCAGGAUUGGGACGCGGAUGACGAAGAAAUUCGCCGCCCACCCACCAUGCCCACUUAGUAGCCACUGUCGACGAUUUGACCAACAUGCUCGACUUCGACUCCAAAGACAUCGACGGUAUGGACGACGAUACAGGAGAUGAACAGGAACCACUGCCGACAGGGCACUGGACGUCCACUUCAUCAUAUGAUGUAUACAUGGUGGACACACCCAAAGAAAACGACGAGGAGGAACGGAAGGAUGCAGUGAAGGGUUGUUCCCUCGAGAAGCAGUCAAAGCAGCAACGUAAGCGCCGCUCCAAAUCCCGCCUCGGUAGAAACAGUGAUCAUAUAGACCCAGCGUUAGAGCAGGGUGAAGCAUCGCCCGACCAUGGCAACACGGAGAAUCAAACCGAACAACCCGACUCCGUCAAAGAUAACAGUCCGGACGAGAUCACACCGGACAGGCACCCGGAGCAACAGAAUGUCCAUCAAAGGCUUGUUGCCACUGCGAGGUGUCUGAAAAAGCAGAAGCAAAGGCUCAGGGCUGCACAAGACACACUCAGAAUCAGAUGGAGUGAAGUACUCAACACUGCAGCGAAGUACGACGGUAAUCGCCACACCAAGAGCUACCCGAAGCGAAAGUUGCUACCUGAAUUCGACGAGGAGGCCUUAGAUCCCCCACAAUUGAAAAACAAAACGGCCAUCCGGUCGGAUAGACGACCUCAUGGCCAACAUAGAGCGGCAAACGACGCCGCACAUAAGCCAGUACGCGAUCCACACGAGGGCUCGCAUCAAAAGGACGGCGCAACCAGAUCCAUAUACGGGCCACGCAAGCGCGCUCCAGUAUGCAAUGCAACACAACAAACAUCCGAACAUCACGGUACACCCAAAUACAGGGGUGCCGCACACCCCCUAUGUUUCAUCGAUGAGGUGCUGGACCAUGAAUUUCUAGAGGGAUUCAAACCUGUAAACAUAGAGGCGUACGACGGAACGACAGACCCUGGGGUCUGGAUUGAGGACUACAUCCUCCAUAUCCACAUGGCUCGAGGAGACGAUCUCCAUGCCAUCAAGUACUUACUCCUCAAGCUCAAAGGGCCAGCUCGGCACUGGCUUAAAAGCCUCCCCGAAAACUCCAUUGGAAGCUGGGAAGAGCUCAAAGAUGCUUUUCGGGAAAAUUUUCAAGGGACCUAUGUCCGACCACCGGAUGCAGACGAUUUAAGUCAUAUAACUGAACAACCCGGAGAGUCAGCCCGAAAGCUUUGGAACAUGUUUCUCACUAAAAAGAACCAAAUAGUCGACUGUCCAGACACCGAAGCCUUAGUAGCUUUCAAGCACAGCGUUCGAGACGAAUGGCUCGCCAGGCACCUCGGCCAAGAAAAGCCGAGAACAAUGGCAGCAUUAACAAGCCUCAUGACCCGCUUUUGCACGGGCGAGGACAGGUGGUUAGCCCGGUGCAGCACCAGUGACCCAAGUACAUCCGAAGUCAGGGAUGAAAACGAGAAACCACGACACAGCAAAAACAAGCGCCGGAAUAAAGAAGACAGCCCGAAGAGCACGGCGGUAAACGCCGGAUUCAGAAGCUCUCGGCCAAGUCAGCAAAAGCUGCCCUCCAAAGGCAACAGAGACGAACUAUCCAGCCUAAACAAGAUUCUGGACAAAAUAUGUCAGGUCCACACACUACAAAAAAUACACUUCCAUGAUGAUACGUGUUUGUCACAGUAGGUCGCUUUUUUUGUCAUGCAUGUACAUCCAUGACAAAUUUAUGACAGAAUGAAGAUAGUCAUACCUGUGCUGUCGUAGAAGUGUUUCAUGACAUUACCAAAAUUAUCAUCACGGAAGUGUCCACUUCCACGAUGAUAAAUCGCGCGGCACAGAAGUGCUUUCAUCAAGGGUGACCGACACGUGGCAUCCACCAUAACAGAACGCCGUUAAGCUAUCGGGUCGGGUUUUGGAUCCGAUAACCCGUUAACAGCCCCGACCAAUGGGAAAUUUCCACGUGUAAAAUUCUUAUUGGGCGGACGAAACACGUGUCAGCUCGUUAGUGGGUCAGAUAGGCGCCUAUGAUAUGUUGACACAUGGCACGGCCCAUCAAGUUUAAAUGGGCCGGCCCAACUAAAGGCCCACAAGAUUUUGCGGACCAUAAUGGGCUGGCCCAGCUAAAGGCCCACGAGAUUUUGCGGACCGUAAUGGGCUGGCCCAGCUAAAGGCCCACAAGAUUUUGUGGGCCAUAAUGGGCAGGCCCAGGUAAAGGCCCACAAGAUUUUUGUGUGCCAUAAUGGGCCGGCCCAGGUAAAGCCCACAAGAUUCUUGCGGGUCAUAAUGGGCCGGCCCAGCUAAAGGCCCACGAGAUUUCGCCGACAUUAAUGGGUCGGCCCAGCUGUAGGCCCACAAGAUUUUGAGGACCCUAGUAGGCAGGCCCAUUAACUGGCUGCCAUGUUUUGGGCCAAAUGCUGGCCCAUAUUUGAUCCGGUCCAUUAAUGGCCUGCCAUGCUCCGGGCCUAAUAGUGGCCCAUAUGAGAUCCGGCCCGUUAAAAGCCUACCACGUUCUGGGCCAAAUUACGGCCCAGAUCAGGUCCGGCCCUUUAAGAGGCAUUGGGCUCAAUUAUGGCCCAUAUCAGAUUCGGCCCGUCAACUGGAAACUAUGCUUUUGGGCCCACUUGCUAAAGGCCCACUUAGUAAUUCGGCCUGAUAUUAGUUUUGGCCUGUUAAGGGCCCGUUUAACAUUUUGGCCCUAUAUUAAUUUCGGCCUGUUAAAAGCUAGUCAUAUAGUUGGGCCUAACUACGGCCCUGUUUGCAUCCGGCCUGCUCGCAACCGAUAUCUGAUUGGGCCAAACAAGGACCAAGAUAAUUUUGGCCUGUUAAAAGCUAGUGAUUUGAUUCGCACAAUCAUGGGCCGGGGUUCAUUUCAUGCUGCUACGUAACUAGUAUGAAUUAAGAACAAAGCUACUCUAUACAAUAAAGAAAUUACGGCAUAGUAACUUAGAAUAAACCUACACUAUACAAUAAAGGGUUUAAGGUAUAUUACAUCCACUGGGCAUCGAAGUUCGCCACCAGUGAUCAUAAAGCGCAACGUAGAAACAGAUUACAAAAACAGGGCACCAUUGCAGCGUAACAAAAUAAUACUGAACCGAGACCACUUCCAAGACAGUUCAAGAAAGGUUAGCCUUGCGGGGGAACUACUGCGCAAGCUGCUGAGCAAGGCUGUGAGACCAGCCUAGCAUGUCGGUCAUAGUUUCCAGGUGUAGCUGUUUAGCGAUGAGGUUCUCAUUGGUGUUCUCCACAAUCUUUCUUAGAGAUAGGACUUCAAGUCGAAGUUGAGUUGCAGAAUGCCUUUCUGCUAGAACUUGGGACUGAAGAAGUCGAACCGAUUCAGACAACGAAUUCUGUGAGCUUGUCUGACUGUUAGUGUCAAGUAACUUGAACACUGCAUCAAGACAAGACUUUGGGGUUGUCUCGCUAUCUGUAAGAUGUUGUUCCUUCUUUGCUGCAAUAUAUGUUGGGUUUGUCUCACAGCCUUCAGCAGACUUGUGCAUGCCAUCAGGCAUAUCACCCUGAAACAAAGUAGAGAGAUGACAGGUUUUCCACGUGUAUAAUCAAAGAUGAUAGCUGUUCUAUCAAUUCUAUCCAAUUUCAAAUUAGAAAAUAAAGAGUAUGUUCAAAAUAUCAAUAGCAUAAUUUGGCAUUGUUCAUAAUGCGGGGAGCUUCACCACAUUAAUGGAUUACCAUGUCAACAUAACAAGAAUAGAUGAAGGGCAAAGAAAAUCAUUGUAUCUAUUUUGGAUAAUAUGCAUGGCAUGUUGUUCAUAUCAUCAGCCACAUCAAUAAGAUAAAACAGGAGAUGACAAGGUGCAAACGUGGGCUGCUUCACCACACACUGGAUUAUAGAUCCACAAAAACAAGCAUACAUAUAGGGAGUAUUAAGUAAUGUGCAUGGUAUGAAUAAGGAAUUUGGUUUUACAAGUAAAACUUAGAACUUACGGUUCUUACGAACAUGCAUUUUGGCAGAAACAGCAAACUAAACAGCAGUAAACGAUAGGGAGUAUGAGCAAAUUAAACAACAGUUGAGGAUAAAGGCUUUAGAAGGACUGACUUACAUUAACAGUUAACACCGGCUUUAUAAUGCCCUUCUCCAUGUCAAGGGAAGGAUAACUCAAGAAUUUCAGCACAGAAUCUUCUUCAUAAGCAUUGCCUGUACUCUACAUUUUGUAGAGAGUAAUUAUAGAUAUGAUAAUACUGGAAGGGGUAGAGGAUAAUGAAGAUAAGAUGCAGAUUGAUGCUACAUAAUCAACUACCAAUCCCUGGAAGUACAAGCGUUACAGGACAAAAUGUACUGACAAGAGCAAUGGGCUACACUUCUGCACUGGCAUUGUCUAUGUAUUCUACUUGUUGGUAAGAUUGAAUAUAGAUCUGAUCUUUUUUAGUAAAUGCUGGGCGAGGGAGAUAAGACGCAGAAUGCUACAAAAUGAACCAAUCCCUCUUCCCAUAAUACAAGAGUGUUUUGAACACUGGUGUACUGUACAAAACGUUCUUAUAUUACGGGACGGAGGGAGUAGCUGUUAAUGUAAGUACAGUGAUAGACCACGUUCAGUCCUUUCAAGAGGACUGCAGAGCUAAACCUCUUCAAAAGCAUUGGGUUGAUUCUAAAUUUAUGUAAGAGUCCAUACGGAUCUUAUAAUGUCCACCAAAUGGACGAUUACGAGGCUAACAUGUGCAGUGAUGCUACAUAAUCAAACAGCUAUGAAAGUAAAUAUGGUCAUACAGGGCAAGAGGUACUCACAAGAGCAAUGCAGUGUGCAGUAUAGUUGCGAGAUUCUAUGGUCCCUUGAGAAUGAAUGUUCUUCUGCUAACAGUUUUCGUACAAGUGAGACAUUAAGGCAAAUGCAGAAAUGUAGUUCAAAUUGUGAUGUGAUAUCAUAGACAGUACCUUACGCUGCAGCCGAGACCAAUGUGUAACAAGAUUAUUCCAGUCUCCGUCGGAUAAAUGUAGCACCGGAGACUUUACAGAAAUUUUGUUCAGAGGCUUGCCAUCGAAGUGCGCUUGCCUCAGGUAGGAACGAUACUUCAUCAAUGAGUGCUUGAAAUGGGCAACCAACCCUUGCUCAUCAUCACAAUCCAGUUUGCGCCUCGCCUAUUUAAAAGAAUGAAAUCUUGUGUCUUCUGUCAGCAGAAACAUAUGCAGUAAUGACCAUGAAUAACAUUAGUACAUUACUUACGCGUAAGUUGUGGAGGAAGACUGGAAAUUGUUCUGUGUCUGCGGUAUAAUCUUUCCAUGAAGGAAAGAUGCGCACAAAGUUCCUGACAACAACAUAAGCUUCAUCUUCUAAACUGGGAAGAAAUGGAACAGGGGUCCUAUUUGCUACAAUUGGGGCUCUCUCUGGUUCGAAAAGGGAUUUGGCAACUAGAUUUGGUGUACUCUUUGCUGGAAUGGGGGUUUUUUGCAUCGUACAGCUGGUGCUAUGUCAACUGGCAUAAUCAUAUUGUUUGCUGCAGUUGGGGUCUGCUGAGUUGGGGCAUCAGAAAUGACCAGUGUAGUAGGGCUAGAGUCUGCUAGAGUUGGGGUAUUUUGUGGGUCAGGUGAUAUUGCAACUACACCUAAUGGGCUAUUUGAUUUAUCAGGUGCCACUACCUUUUCCAAAACUUUGCUUGUGCUCCUCCACGAUCAGCAAUCGCCCUCUUCCUUUUGAAUGUCUGAUACACAAGAACAACAUUUGAAUGGAUAAAUAUGGUAUGAUGACAGAUGGAAUAUGUAUUGAAAAUGGAUAGGCAGGGCGUAUUCACAUAAACGAUGCGUAAACUAAGCUAAUGGCAGUUCAACAAAGUAGAAGCAAUGCAAAGCAUCAGUUGCAAGAUAUAUGCGAGCAAUGUAACCUUGGAAAGUUAGAGCAAGUACCUUGAUGGGUGAAUAAGAUAUGACAUCUUCCUCUGACUCCUCCACUAGGGAGAUACAUUGACUUAGGUCUCCCUCUAGCUCAGAAUCACUGUUAGGAUCAUAUUCGGAGCAUGAAUCUGUAGGUGGAGCGUGUUUGCAUUGCAUUGCAUCCAGACUUGAUUUCAGUCCCUUAAUGCCAAGUUUGACAUCCAUGGCAUUGUUCUGCUUUAUUCUUUUCAUGCGCACAAGUUCAUAAUCAUUAUGAUGGUGUUCAGAAUCUGAGAUUCAUGAAAACAUAAAAAGUAGUCAGAUUAUCUAUGGAAUGCAUUGCGGUUUCAACUCGGAGAGUGUCUCCCUAUAAAUCCCUGCAUAUGCAAAGUUCACCUCCCCAACCGUGCUGACCAGACCACACACAUAGAUACACACCCGAGCGGCGAACAUGCAUUUUUGAAACUAAUAUAGGAACAUUUAGCUGACCAAUUAAACAACUCUGUUUUAAUAAUAUCAGAUUCGUAUUUGAAGAACUAAGAUUGAUUAGCUUGAUGGGUGGAGUAGUGUUAUUAUGAAACGAAGCACGUAUUCUGAUCGUAUAGUGAUCAUAAAAGGGGGAAACUCUAAGCAUAUAAUUUUUAGCAAAAGAGGGUUUCCCCUCUGAUUUCUAUUAAAGAAACCACCACAGAACCAACAUAAUCAAUUAAACCCUAAGCAUGAUCAAUUAAACCGUAUUAUGGCUGUGCCAUGGCAAAAUUGAAGCUGCAAACCGGAGAAAUGAUAUUUAGCAUCCACUGUUUGCUUCGAACUAAGAAAUAAAUUCUAAGAGCUGAAAAGAAAGUAGAGUAACCAAGUUAAGAUCUAUUUUCUUGUUGAGAUCAAAAAGUUGACGAGAUAUGAAGUACCACCUCUCUUGCGGCGCUGUGUAGGCAUCGGGGGUGCGAUGGCUGUCGGUGGCGUUGAAGCAGAUCUGCAACGGUAGACGGGUGCAUCGGGGGAUAAGUCCCGUUGCGGUGGAAGAGAAGGUCGUGUGAGCAGCCCCGGCAAAGAGGACGACGGCGCCGAUGAAGCGAGAGGACGCCAUGCAAGGCUAUUGGUCCGUCGCCGUGGAUGAGAAACGUCCAUCUCUAGCAGUGGACAACGCGGUCUUGGUAGGCGCUCCGGCAUGGUGGAGGACGAUGGCGAUGGAUGUGGUGGAGGACGGCAGCGAUGGAUGGGGUGGCGGACGGAGGCUGGUGUGGGAAUGGGUGUUCUAGCGUGGAUGAUGUAUGAAUGGGAAAAUGGAGGGAGAGGUAUGGGGAACCAUGUUUUUGGGACGCGCUUGUCUGAAAUAUGGGAAAGUUACGAACUUAUCCCCUGUUUCAAAUUUGGACGUCUCGUCGGUUGGGGAUAGGACGGUAAUCUCGCAUCUCCCAAAUAUUUGCCGGUAACUAUUUUGGGCGAGGAGAGGGUGUUUUGCCGCCCACGGUUGGGCGCCCAUGGUGUAUGAACGGGGCUAGCAGGUAGGGUGGUUAUGUCACGUCUGAUGGAAGUUACACAUCUGCCCCUAUUUAAAAUAUUAGCCUACAUCUAUUUUGGACGAGGAAAGUUUGUCUUGCCGCCGACCAUGUAUGAAUGGGGAAUAAAGGGAGAAUCAAAUGAGUUUUGCCGCCCAUGUUUGACGCCCACCGUGUCGGAAUGGGCUCAAAGGCGGUCGUGUCACGUCUAAUUGAAGUUACUAACCUACCCCUAUUUAGAGAAGUGGAAAUCGGGCCGAUGGAUUGUUUGUGUAAUGGGUAGACAGUAAUUUCCAUCUCCCAAACACUUGGCUUCGGGCAGCCGAUGUGGGAGUGGACAUUUUGCUGUUUCUUUCGAAUUUUGGGACAAUAAGCAUCCACGUUUACCCUGACAACUAAAUUCGAAUCCAUUUUGUAUUCCUAUAUGAAUCUUUAUAAAUCAUUCUAUGUGUUUUUAUAUAUCUUCAAAAGGACGACAAAGAUGUAUUCCACUGUCAUAUAUGAAUAUGGUUUACAAAUGCCGAUACUCAAAUUCAGAAACUAGAAUCCAGUUUAAGGUGAAUUCGAAUAUUUGCAACACUUCAUGUCCAACUCAAAUGUCACACGCAGCAUAAUGUGUACUCCCAUUUAGAUAUGUGCACAAGCGAUGUAUCAAGAUUCAAAUACCGAGUCAAUCAACCAAGAAUGUACGGAACUAACAGACAUAUAAACACUUAUAGAGUAUAUGGAUCAAUAAUAUCAACUAACAUACAUAAGCCAGGUCGCUGUACUUUUUUUGGCUACAACAGCAUCCUUUUUUUAGCCAGCAUCUUGGCCCUUUCCGAUGCGUGCCACUUAUGGUCCAUCUAUACUAGUAUUGCUGAAUGCACAUUCAGCCCGAUUGGCAUAUUUGUAGGUCUGGCACAACAAUCCAAAUGAAAUGUCUCAGAGUCUUAUCAAUUAAUACAGACUUGUGCUCAAAUAAAAUUACAAACAAAAAACAAAAAAAAACAAUUAUUACAUGAUCUCUAAAGCAAAUGGUUUGAUUGAUUACAUGAACAGACAACACAAAGGUUAUUCAACUAUGGAAAGAACAUUUCACCUAUGAUUUACCAAGUAGGAAUUUAAUUUCCUUUUUUCCUUCAGGACCUUAACAAUCUAGUCAGUCUCAGCUUGCUUCUUUUGAAAUCCACCAAAUAUUUAAUGGUUGUCUUGAGUACUGCUUGUAAUUGUGCUGUUUGCUUCCUCAACAUGUCAACUUCAUCUCUAACUGCAGAAGCAGAAUCUCUUUCUACCACUAGUUUAGCCUCUAGAGCAUCAGUAGUUGGCAAUUCAUAAUGCACGAUUGGGCCGGUGCCACUGCUGUGGGAUGAUGCAACGUCCAUGGGGACCUCGCUCUUUGAUCUUGGGCUAACCUAUUUUGCCAUUAAAGUUCCGAUUGGAUUCAGAAAAGUUGAAUUUAGCAAAACAUCUCAACUGGGAGUUAUAAUAGCAAACUAGUUAAACAAACAAGGAAGUAAAGAGUUUCAAUUGGAUGCUGAAAAGUAGUUAUUAACAUCAUUGUAACCCGCUGUUGCAGCAGCAAAGCAGUUAAACAAACAAGUAGAUAUUUAAGUUAAGGCAAAUAGGUAAUUCUUAACAGUAAGUAUCAAACACAUAGAUAGGCGCAGUCUACAAUAUGAUUAACAUGAUGUGCCAUUAUGUAAUCAGUAGCAAACUAAAUUAAGCCAAGCAACGUAAUUGAACAAUUUCGCAAUAAGUGGCUAACUAAAAUUCCGAGAAGCAGGUAACUGAACUUAUGCUAGUUCUUUGUACAAGCACACUGCAACUUCUUUUUCGCUUACAUGGUUGUACGAAGGAGUCCAUGGCAUCAAUUGCUUGGAUACGCAGUCCUAAUACUUCUUUCUUCCCACAUUGCAUGGGUAAGUCGAAUGGUUAAUCUGGUAAGAUGGUGCGUCCUUGAUAUGUUAUAUGAGGACGUGUAGUCAGACUAGUUGUAGCCAAACACAUCACACUGGCUUUUACUGUAUAUUUCAUGCGAUUACUUUUGGCAUAUCGAGAUCUAAGCAAUCUACAAUAGGAUGAAAAGACUGGCAUCCUUCACAUUAUUGGCGAACUUAGUUCAUAGAAACAAGCAAUUCAACCAUUCUGUGGGUAAAUCAAAAGCGCCACUGGAAUAUUUUUCACUAUCCAAUCAUACACGCAAAAAGGGGCGACGCCACCAUAGGGGCUGGUAUGGGUGGCCGCCUCAGGUGGCUGGAAAGUGUGCACCUAGUUUGAGUCAUCCAGGUUGGCCCAUGCUAGUUUUGUUCGUCCCAACGCACGAGCAGGCAAUGUAAAAAAUGAAUAAAAAUGUUUCAAUUUGGAUGGACCAAAAACAUAAGUGCAAGGCAGGCCCUAUAGCAGGCUCGCGGCCCAAAUGAGCACCUCCCAUAUCGAUCGACAGCAGGAAAAAUCCCAAUUCAUUCGCUCCAGCCUCCAGUCUGGUUCGCUCCUAACCUAGCCGCCGCUGGACAGACCGACACGGCACUUCCCCGCGCCCUCGUUGGAGGGCGGUUGCUGGGCUUCAAGUGAACGGAAGGACAAGAAGAUGAAGAUCCAACCCUGGGUGUAGCCUACGUGGGAGGCAGCGGCGGCAGCACGGGCAUGGCAUCGAGCUUGCGCAAAUGGACAGUCGCUAAUUGCAAGAGUAGCAUGCGCAACAAGCAGGUACAUCACAUCCCUGAUUAUAUCUAAUUCAACUCUUCAAUUUCUGGCCAAUAGUUAAACCUGACGGUGUUGUAAAACUGCUUGUAUGUAGGGAAUCUAUGAGAAAAUGAAACCAAUUUCUACUUAUUUUAUAACUCCCCCAAUCAAUACUGAACUGACUAAAUCUGAUGUAUCUAAUCAAGUUUCCGGUGCAAACAUACAAGCUCAUGUUGUUCUUGAGCCUGAAGUGUCUAAUGAACAGACUGCUAAUGAAGGAUUUGAUGCAAACAUUUUACAUGCUCCUGGUGAUGAACAUAUAGUGUCUAAUGAGGGAUCUAAUGCAAGCAUUUUGCAAGCUCAUUGAAGGAUUUAGUGUCUAAUGAUGAUCUACUAUGUUGAGAGAGACAGAGAUUUGCAGGCAUUGAUGACAAGAAAAUUAUAGUGCAUUUUCAUAGCUUGAGGAAACGUCGAGGCCAUCUACCAGAAAGUCCCCGUAUCAUGACAACAUAGCAUAAAUACUUUUCUAAUCUGUUGUUUGAAACUAUUGGCAUACUUGUGCAUGAUAGAUAUAUUGAUAUGCAGUUUGCGCACUGGUUAUACGUGCAAUUACACUUCGAUAUUUUCAGCCAGAGAACGAAUAAUUCAAGCAGGUACAUACCAUGUUUGUAGUCCUUGUACACCAUGUUGCAUUUUACGUUUUUUGGUGCUUGCAUCAUUUAGUGUUUAUAAUCUGAACUACUUUGGAUCAUUAGCUGGUUUUCGAAGUGCAUGUAGCUUCACAUUUCUCAAGUUAUGUUGAUUUCCGGAGUGCAAGUGCCUUCGUAUUUUUUAAGUUAAAUGUUCGCCCUUGGUAACUUGAAUUCGUCGAUCAGCCACUGCACACAAAUCAUACACGAAUACCAGUACGAAUUAAAUGAAAUGGAGGGACUUACGCUAGCUCAUUGUAGAGGCUCACUUCAGCUCUGCUUGCGCUUGGGAUGUUCCAUGUACAAGUCCAUGUUACCACUUGCUUGGAUGUGCAGGCCUUGUGCUCCUUGCAUCCCCCUCUGCAUUUUUGACACGGCGAAUGGUUGAUCAAAUAAGAGGAAUCAACCUUGAUGUUGUACCGGAGGACAUAUACUUACAAGGUUAUACGGGUGUGCAAGAUGUGUACCAGAUCCCGUAGCGCCGUCAUGCUUCGCUAAAAUAUGGAUUUGCUUGUUUCAGAUGAUAUCUCCAGAAGAAAUAAGAGUUAAGGUCAGAGUUGCAUAUGCGUGUAAGCUAAGAGAGCAGUGAAAGGAUAUCCAAACAUCGUUGGAACAGUGCACAAGGGAGUGAUGUGUGGAUACCUAGUUCGGGCCGGCGUUUGGGCAUGCUCGCCUAGCUAGAGUCCGGGUCACUUCAGAGCCGUUGAGGGUGAUGCGCUGGCGUUGGCUGGUCGUGCACGGAUGCAGAUCUUGAGUGGCAGCGGAGCACUACGAUGCGGUGGACGAGACCGUUGGUGAAGCCCCAACGGCCUCAGGGGGCGGAGGUGCGACGAUGUGCUCGGUGAAGUAGCCCCGGUGAGCUGGGAGACGACAUCAGUGAAGCGCACCUGAUGCAGUGGAACUCGGUGUCUGUGAGGCACGUCGGUUGCGGCGGCCGACGUUGUCGGUGGACCACCCGGUGUGGUGGACGACGACGUAGAUGAGGUAGCUCUGGUGCGGUGGUGAAGCGCGACCAUCGUCUUCGUCGUCGUCGUCCGGCAUAGACGUGGGGAACGGUGGGGAAAGAGACGAGACGAGGGGCGAUUCGAGGGUUGGCGGUGAAUUAGGGAUUUGAGCAAUCUGGGCGUGGAAGGGGACGGUGGAGAAGAGAGAUUUUGCAGGGCUGGAAUUGGGGCCGCCAGAUAUUUCAAUCCGAAACAUGGAAGCGCGAACUUAUAUUGUCGUCGUCUUUUUUUUGGGGGGGAGGAAGGGGGGGUGGGUGGCUGGGUGCUACGCGUCCGUCCGACACACGCGACCACCCCGACAGGACUAUGCUUCGGUGCCUUAAGGCACCUGCCUUUGUGUCCAUGACAUAUGGGCCCAACAGGUGGCUGGCCCACAUGUCAGUGAUGCAAAGGUAGUUGCCUUUAAGGCACCGAAGCAGCGUCCACAACGACACGACCUUGGUUUGCCUGGUGUGCCUACAUUUGAGAAUGCAAAUGAAUCUUCUUUCAUUUGCAAACGAAUCUGUAUGUAUUACCAUGCCCGUGUUUUCCUUGCAAUAAUUAGUCAUUCGAAACGAGAUACUCCAUCCGUUCACUUUUGUAAGUCAUUUCAAACAACUUAAAAUGAACUGUUUUGCACAUUGUCUGAAAUGUCUUCAAGGUCUUAUAAAAGUGAAUAGAGGGAGUUUUAUAAAUUAAUUAAUGAGGAGUUAUUUGAAAAAAAAUCAAAACGGUACCCACGCUAACGUGGAUUAGAGUGUGUCUCACAUAAUUAGUUAUUUGAAUUAGAGUGUGUGUCACGUAGUUAGUUAUUUGAAUUAGAGUGUGUGUCACGUAGCGAUCUUCAAUUCUAACGUGGAUUUCGCAUUUCACUGUAUCCAUGCUACUUUUUUUAAUACAAAUGCAUAUGUAUAUGAUGAACACCAUGGUAGUGAGAAAACUUUUGGAUGGAUUCAAACAUAUGACCUACAGAAUAGCACAACAAACUGAGUCAAUGUCAACUUUUCGAAACUUAGUAUGGCACGAAUUCGAAAUAAUUACCCAUGUGCCUGCUCCUCGGUUCAAAUCUUACAAUGUACACCGAAUUGAAACAUCGAUAUUAAGUCUCGUAGUAUGUACAUUCAAAUGUUGUUUUUAGCCCCCCCCCCGCCGCGCACAAACGCCACAUACUUCCUGUAUCGGUCAAUCUUCCUCUAUUAACCACCUUAGGAUGCUACCGGUUUCCAACACACGUUCAUUCUUUCUCUCCAUGUUUCGAUCUCUAAGUCUCUCAACUACACAACCCCUUUUUCUACUCUGUUACCAAAUGUAUUUACCUCACACACCCGCCAUUGCACCCCAUGCCGAGCUCUCUCUCUCCCCCCUCUCCCUCUCACCCUAUCGCGCUAAAUACAUGCAUUGCCUAUCUAGCCCCCCAACCUCUCGUGCAUGCGCACGCAUGCACGUUGUAUAUCUAGGUCACUCCCUUGAGACUGUCUCACUCUUUCUUCCGCACGGCGGGCCACACUUGCUAAAUCUUGCUCUAUUCAUCCGAGUCUCGUUUAACCUCGUUUUCUUUCACACACAAAUGAUAUAUCUCCCUGUUCGGGCCUCGAUCGACACACUCUAUACUCUCUCACGCAGAUUGUCUAUCUAGGUCAGUCCAUCCAAGACGCCACCACUCUUUCGGCCUCAUGGUGGGCCACGCUCACUCAAUCUCUCUCUCUCUCUCUCUCUCUCUCUCUCUCCGUAUGUCUCGAUUGACCUUGCUCUUUCUCGGACAAAAAGAUAUAUCACCAUGUUUGAGCCCAAUUCGACUAUUCACAUUGUAUACUCUCUCACGCACAUCGUCUAUCUAGGUCACUCUCUCCAACCCAUCUCACUCUUUCGAUCGCACGGCGACCCUAUGUGAUCGGUUGACCUUGCUUCCUCCCACGCACAAAAUAUAUCUACACGUCUUCACUUACUGGUGGGUUCCAUGUGUGCUCUCUCUCUGUCUCGUCCCCUUCUGCGUUUAGACGCACAGGCAAACAUGAAGAACUCGCGGGCGAUGUUGCCGUUGACCAUAUCUAGACGCGUUCACAAGUCACGGCACCAGUUUCACGUACUAGGAGCACUAGUCAGUGUGUACGUGCAAUGCACGUUAAUUUGGAUGUAUAUUAAGUGCAUGCGGAUAUUAACUACUAGGAUAUUAUUCGCGUGUUGUCAUGUGAUUAGCACUAUUUUUGGCAUGAAAUUAACUGCACGCUAAACGUGUUGAGCGCUCGACAUUGAAGCAGUCUAGGUCGUUGGAUGACAAGGAAUACAUGUGGCUUGAUGACGUUUUAUAUUUAAUUUGAUAUGGCUCUAGCAGAACAUCCAAUCGAUCAAACCAUACAUUUCGUUCAGUCUGACUCCGACUUUAAAUUAUACGACGAUCGAUAUAAAAUAAACGGAAAUGAUAAACGUUCGGAUUUUAAGCAUGGCAAUACGAACGUUUUUCAUGGCAAAUUUAGAUUAUGCGGCGGCGGCGGGGGCGUCUCGCAGUGGGAAGCGGCUCCUCUGCCGUGCUCUGUGUGUCGUCGGGCCACUGACCAAUGGCGACGGCGGCGUCUUGCGCCGUUGUUGGCGUACUCCUGGACAUUGGCCUAGCUCCAAGGAAGGCCAAAAUGUUCUAGACUUCGGAGCGAGUCGACUGGCGGGAGGAGGCGACUAGCAUUGGUGCAAGAAAGCGGUCGACGGCGGCCAUCCAUGCCGCUGAGGGGGGCACUGGCACCCGUGCGGGGACAGGCGCUGUCAACGGCGCGGCGGAGACAUUCGUGUGCACAGGCACCGGCACGGGCGCGCACGUCAGUGCACGCGCAGGCGCAUGUGCUGGCAGGUGCACGGGCACCGGCACGGGCGUGCGUGUCAGUGCACGUGCAGGCGCAUGUGCUGGCAGGUGCACUAGCGCGUGAAAGUCGGCGGGCACCUUGUGGAACCCCGUGGGAUCAAGCUCGGCGACAAUGUGCAGCUCCCAGCCCAUCAAUGCCACGGGGAUGGGCGCUGGCGCAGUCGGGGCGACGGGAGCCGGAACGGGAGCGGGGACAGGCGCGGCGUCUUCCCGCAUGGCCAGUUCAAGCUCGUCCCAAAGCGCCUUAUGUUCUUGAGACUCCGGCUGGUUGUCUUCCUCAGGAAACUGGAACACUAAGGGCAGACCAUCGUGAUGCGGCAUGGCGUAAGUUUAGGUCAGGCUAGUUGGAGGUAGAUGAUAGGAGAAUCGGAGAGGAAGAGAGAGGAUUGUAGCGAUACUCCUUCCUUUCCGAUUUAUAAGGCUCAAUUCAAAAAUCUCACCAACCAAGGUAUAUGGUGAGUGGUGGAAUACUUUUUGUAGUUUGCAAAAGCACCCAAUUAAUGCUCUUGUUUUUCUCAAAAAAUAUGUUUACCAUUGCAUUAAUUGCAAUGCAUGCAUGCAUAAAUUACAUGCAUUGGUCAAUUUUCUCUUAAUACUUGCAUGCAAUGAUUUAAUUUAUCUUGGAAUUUGAACAUGUGAUGGGAAACAACAAAAUUGAGCCUUAUAAAAUGGAAAAACUAAUAUUUUGAGAUAAGCCCUAUAAACCGGAAAGGAGGGAGUACCGGGUAGUGCGGGGUUGAUUUUAAACCGCGGCGCCAGCGACAUUAAAAGUGGGAGCAGUUGGGACGACGAUGGGCGGUGGAGCCUGGUUAAAGGGCUCGCCUCCCGGUGAGCCUGCACAGCGGUCUGCUCGCACGCCUCCCUAACAGCCGGUGCAACGGUCUGCUCGCACGCCUCUCGUCGACUCACACGCUUGCUCGGACGGCACCUGCCGAUUGCCGAUGAGAAGCGGGGACUCAUGGUGGCACGUAAACGCCCAUGGUUUCAAUAGUGAAAGCGUUUGCCUUAACGUGACAGGUCUUUCUUACAAAAUACCUUGGCUCUUCAUUUGUGCAACUUGUCAUAAGUAGCUUGUCUCAAAUUGAAGAAAAAACUUACAAAAUAAUAUUUGUGCCAUAUCACGUGACCAUGCUUAGUUUCAAGAAUUUAUGGUCACUUUUGGAUUUUCAGAAAUUUAAGAUCCAGGAUUCGAAACAAUAUCAUAACCUGCAUCAUGCAAUAAAUUUUCAAGUCGUACAUCUGACCUGUUGUAUUUCUUAAGAAAGGAUUUGGUCAAACAUUUUGCUUAGUUAUACUUCAGACAAGUUAUAUAUGCAGAGUAAAAGGAUAAUCCCUCCGUACCAGUGCAUUGCCUGAUAUAUUAACUCAAGUAAUAUGCACGAACAAACGGGCUCAAUUCUGUGCUCAUCCUGGUGUAGUAGUAGUAGUAGUAGUAGUAGUAGUACUAGGCAAUGCAGUUGACGGGUGACCUUGACGAGCGGCGACCGAGGGAAUUGAACUGUGCUCGACACGGUAGGUAACGUUGUCUAGUUACUAAAGCAUCCCUCCGUUGUUCAUCGGUAGUCAUUAUGGACCGGGGACAUGAGGGGAAUUUCCUAGGGCUAGAAUUCUGGCCGCCAGAUAUUUUGACUUGAAACGCCGAGGCUCGACUGGUUGGGGUAAUGGGGUUGCCUAAUGUGCGUACCACGCACGCCACCGAAGGACACGAGCCCGCUUUUUUUUAGGAUCAACACGAGCCAAGGUGUGGCUGGUACGCCGUUGGGUCCUACCAUUCGAGAAUACGAAAUGAACCUUUUAAAUUGCCGAACGAAUCUAUGUGUAUUACAAUACCCGUAUUUUCCUUGCAAAUACUAAUCUCAACGUGGUAAUUGAUUUAUGAAGAGUUGUUGAAUUAGAGUGAGUUUGUGAUAUAGUGAUCUCAACGUGGAUUUCACAUUUCAUGGUAUCCCUAGUACGUUUUCCAAUGCAAUUUCAAAUUUAAAAGAUGAACAACAUGGAGGUGAGAAAACUUUGUAUGUAUUAAGCAUAUGACCACACACACACACACAGAGACACACACGCACGAACACAACAACAAUCCAAUAAGUAUAGUGCAUCUAUUUUUCCAAACCAUGCAUGUAUGACACGAAUUCAAAAAUACUCCUUCUAUUCCUAAAUAUUAGUCUUUUAGAGAGUUCAACAAGUGACUACAUACGGAACAAAAUGAGUGAAUCUAGACUCUAAAAUAUUUCGAUAUACAUCCGUAUGUGCCAGUCCAUUUGAAGCCUCUAAAAAGACUAAUAUUUGGGAACGAAGGGAGUAAAAUGUAAGACAUCCAUGGUCCUCAGUUCAAUAUUUAAAAUGAACAUGAAACUGAAACAUGAAUAUUAAGUCUAUUACUACAGUACAUGCAAAUGUUCUGUUAAGGCGGAGCUAUGAUUGUCGGGGGUCAACCCCUCGACCUUAGAUAAAAUUGUGGAGUUCUGUUUAGGGUUGUUUAGAUUAUAUUUGUCCCCACCCUCCCAGCCAUCGAUUGGUUGUGCACCGCCACCCCUCCUCCCCGGGAGAAUAUCAUGUGCCCCCAUACCUUAGAUGCUAUAUGCCGAUACGAGUUGCUUGGAGCUUGUAGAUCUGAGAUAUAGCAGCUCACAUGAUGUGUCUUAAUAUUUCCGCAGGAAACCUUGAUGAGUUUGAGAAUUGCACACAAUUUGUACAAAAACUAUUUAGAUGCCCUUUGAUCCCAUAUCCAACGACCUCGAAGCUCGUAUCACCGUAGCAUCUAAGAUGAAGGAGGGAUCAUAUUCUCCUGUAUGUAAGAAUAUCAUGUGCUACCACACCUUAGAUGCUUUGGUGAUACAAGCUCUUCGGAGGCGUUGGAUUUGUGACCAACACCUGCUCGGUGGUUCGAAUGGUUUUUUGCAAAAAAGCCCCAAAAGAGUUCGGCCACUGCUUACAAGCACAAAGACUGCUCAGAUGCCAUUGGAUCUCAGAUCAAACGACCUCCAAGCUCGUAUCACCGUAGCAUCCAAGCUGCGAUAGCACCUUAUGUUUUCUCGCAUAGGAUAGUAUUAUGUGCUCCCGCACCGUAGAUUCUAUGGUGAUACGAGUUCACUGAGAUCUAACGGCCCAUAAUAGGAGGUUUGAAUGUUUUUGCAAUAUACGGCUGAUAGAGUUUGGGAAAUGCGCAGAAAGUACAAGUACUACGCAUGUGCCAUCUGAUCACCGAUCAUAUGACCUAGAUGCUCAUAUCACCGUAGCGGGUAAUUAAGCUACGGGGAGCACCUAAUAUGAGCAUCGGGGAGCCGUUGGAUCGAAGAUGCAGCGGCACACACGAGGCCUGAAUGUUUUAUUUGCAAAACAACCUUUGGAGAGUUUGGAAAUUGCGCAUAAUUACGAAGACUACUCCCAAGCCAUUGGAUCUCACUUCCAACGGUGUAAAAACUCGUAUCACCAUAGUAUCUAAGCUGCGGGGUGGAUGUGAUAUUCUAUGUCGCUGUCAUUUUUGUUCGUAAACUUGCAAAAUACGUGUAACUCGUGCCGUUACUUGUCUAACCGCGCAAAGUGUUUGUUCAAAACAAACCAUCCUACAUUGAAAUAUCGGAACAACACACGGGGGUCCCACUUGUCAUUAAUCAAAUUUGGACCUAAAACUAACAAAUCUGAAAGACGAGAUUCAAACUGGCAACCUGGACUACAAAGCGUAAGUCGAUAGCCUGAAAAAACGAACGGUUGUUGGCUUUGUCCCAUAACUUGAUUUUAUUUAUACAGUACUUUCGUUGAGUAGAGUAGAGGGAGUGCCUCGUCAACACGUGCAUGACCGUUGUCUCACUUACUGGUGGGUCCCAGGUCUGCGAUCUCAAUCUCUCUUCUCUCCAUCGUCUAACCUUUGCACGUGCACACACGAAGAGCGGCGCUAGCUUGCCGUGGUGUUAUUACAACAAAAAAAGCUUGGAAAAUAGAAGAAUCGCUUAGAACAAGAGACGUUGUGGCUGGUCGAGACGGAGCUAACCACAUCUACCCUCCGUGCCACGUUUGCAUGAUGAAGCUGUGUGGCUAGUGGGGUGUUUUCGACCGAUUAGCUGGGUCCCGAGGUCGAACCAUAGGUACUACGUCUGAUACAGUAUAUUUUUACACGCACAUUUUUCCUCCAUGCCGAGACGUGGCACACCCUACCGCGUGGUUUCGGGGUCCUCCCAGGUGGUGCACGCAUAUAUUCUUCCUGACGUGGGAUGCCCUACAACGCGUUUUCUGGGUCCUCCUCGGUCGUAGCGCCGAAGCAAGUAAAUGAGUCGUCAAAUCACGAAAGACCACCUUUCCCGCCGAGUACAUCAGUGAAGCACGGUGGCUAGCUAGAUGGGCUAGUUCGACCGAUUAGCUAGGCCGCCGCCACAUUUGUUUUUCACCCCUUUUCUUAUCUACUUGCCAGCAGGUAAAUAUAAAUAUCCACCAUGGCGUUUCUCUGGUGUUUGGGUGCGGUAGGAUUUUCAUUUUUUUGAUUGACGGGAGCAGGCGCGACAGUAUUUUUAAUUUUUUGAUUGACGGGAGCAGGCGCGGCAGCAAUUAGUCACGAUGACUCCGCCUGUAAAAACCCACCGCUCCCUGAUGUGAGAAGUCAUCGACUGGUGUUUUACCCUGGUGAAAACCAAAAGAUUCCCCGUUCCCUCCGCCUUCCCGUAGAUUACAUUGCCUUUCAGCCGUUUCGCCCCCUUUGCUUCCUUUCCCCAUUGCUUCUACCUGGUGCCAUGGCGGCGCAUGAUCACGGAGUCCGAGGUGAGGCUCCUGACACAGGAGCUCCAUGCCAAGGAUGCGGAGCUCAGGGCCAAGGACGUGGAGCUCCGUGAGCUCAAGGAGGAGAGGAGUGUCAUGCUCCUCCGUUAUGUGUAGGAGUUCACGGAGCUUCAAAAGCGGCAGGCGUCCACCACAAAGAUGCUCGAGGCGUCGGCGGCGUUGCUGCAGAAAGUGAGAGAUACGAUAGGCCGUCAGGGGAGCCGACUGGAGCGUGAGCGGGCCGAUCGUGACGAGGUCCAGGAUCGCCUCAGCCACUUGGUGAACCAAGUUGCCACGCACGUGUUGCGGCUGCGUGAUGCCUACCGUCGUGCCAGCGCGACGAUGUCGGCCAUCGGGCUAAACCCGUUCGACUACCCGGUUGACUUCAACAAGUUGCGGCUUCCUGACCUGGUCUUCCUCUUCACCUAUAUCUCCGAGGAGCUGAGCCGUCUCCGCGCGAUGGUGGGGGCUGAGCUGGACAAGGAGGGGUUGUGGGCUGCCGUCGCUGUUGCCGGGCGAAUGCUUUCAGGGCUCUGUCACCGGAAUCCAUUCGUGCCAUUGGACGCCGUCUUUGACGAGCUGGUUCCCAUCGACCGGGAGCGGGCUCUGCGAGCGGUUGCAUCCUGCAUCACCAACGUCAUGCGCCUUGAGAAGCAGAGGGACUUCGGUGGUGUUUAGGCGCCCUCUACAUGGGCAUGUCCAUGUCUCGGCGCAACAUGACCGUUGGAUCAAACUCAGACGGUGCAGAUCAGUCACUAUAGCACAAAGCGUGUGGGUGUGUUUGGUUGCAUUCUCAUCUCAAUAUAGUUGUUUCCUCUUCGUGUAUUUAUUACAUAUAGGAGUAGUUGACAUGCGCACAACAUCAUUUGUUAUCGUUAUAUCUUACUACACACUAGCAACAAGAUUGUGUAGUACUGACGUAUGAACCACUGCACAUGCCUAGUAGUAGGAGCACUGUGUAUGUUCAAGUGGCUGCCGUGUUUCGCACUCCUCCGUCGUAAGAGUGGAAACGCUUGCUGUAAUCAUUUUUUCUUUUGAAAAACAGUGGACACACUCUACCGUGCGGAUCCUCCUCCAGCCAUGCACUAAAUUACUCACUUUCCCCAACGUGUGGGAUAGCCAGCAUCAGGGUCCACCAGCCAUGCACUAAAUUACUUUGUAGUAGAGUGACGGUAGACUACCCCGAUCGAAGCGCCGCAGUAAUGCCCAAUGAGCCGUCAAAUCACAAAACCCCCUCCUUUCCAGCAGUAAGUUGGACGGACGAAGCAACCAUCAUUUCACUCUUCUCUCUCAGCUUCCUCUCUACCCAACCAUCGCUUCUGCCUCAUCUUGUUCCUCAUUUCUUCAAGAAAACCCCGACCUGCUUCUGCCAUUGUUCUUCUCUCCCAAAGAAGGAAAGGUGAGCGCAUCAAUGGUGUUGAUUCUGGCCAAGGCCCGGUCUUGCAACCCCGAGACCGAUCCUAUAACUCCCUCUCUUUUCUUCUUUUGGGUUUGUGAUUAUGGUUUCUUUUCUUUUAUUUCUAUUUGACAGUUUCUUGAUGGACGCUGGAGCACCGGCCGAAGUGAUGUCUAUGGCUCCGGCCAAAACCGUCGAGGCUCAUGGUACAAAGAAGCGCAAGCACCCCGCCGAGACUACCGCAGACAAGCUCAAAGCCAUCGCCCUGUCCAAGCCCCCCUCUUCGGGAUCCCUCAUUAAGCAAGUCCAGGUAAUAUCUCUUCUUGACGAUCUUCUUCUCGAUCUUGAUCGUGUUUUAGUACUAGUAGUACAACUUUCCGGGUGAUCUUUCAUGUGAUUUUUGUGUGCCAAAUGAUGGUUCUAAAUUCCUCUUUUGACCAAAACAUGCGAGAGGUUGACACUAAUUUCUUAUAGAUUACUUUCAACUACUCCCUCUGUCCCAAAUUUCUUGUCUUAGAUUUGUCUAGAUACAGAUGUAUCUAAUACUAAAAUGUGACUUGAUACAUCCGUAUCUAGAAAAAUCUAGGACAAGAAUUUUGGGACGGAGGGAGUACUUUAUGAACAUCAAUGCUAGCUUUUAAGAGGGUAUAUUUGCCUCAGUAACUUGUGUUAUGGAUUUUGCAUGUAAUCCCUCUGCUCUCAUGCCUUUGAAGACAUGUUCUAGUGUCUUUGUUCACUCAUUUCUGUGCGUAUAUGUAGUCAUAUAUGGAGUAUAAUAUCGAAAAUCAUCUUAUAUUUUCUAAACGGAGGUAGUAAUAAAAUAUGGUUUCCGUUUGAAUUAGAACCAGGUCCGCGGUGGAGAUGAAUUUCUCAAAGUCAUGCCGUGUGAACUGGAAGACCUGAUGAUGAGUUCUACUGCCGAACUAUCCAGCUGCUGUGUCCUUGUCGCCACGUGUCCUGAACUAGUGUUUUCCUGUAGCAUCGUUGCCAAGCGUGUUCUCGAGGCUGUACUUGACCACAACAAUUUCCUGGCUGUGCCUUCGAUUACAAAGGGUGUGGUUCUUGUAAAGCUUCCCAACAAAUCUGAUGCGGCCUGUCUUCAUCAUCAUGUUUAUGAGUGGAAAGACCACUCUGUUAGGUUAUCCAAGGUUGACAAGAUGGUGAUGGUGCGUGUAGACAUCUCACACGAAGUGCAUGGCCUAGUCAGUUAUGCGGGGUUCAUCCCGUAGGUCGGUGGCAAGAAAUAGUCUGCAGAGUUUAGUUAGUGCAACUUUGCUUGUCUGUAGUAAGUACUAUUGUUCAGUACUUGAUUUGCGUUUGUGAACCCUGUAUUUCUAUUAGUAUUGCUGCUUUUGGUGUGUGGUCAGUCCUGAGAACGGUCUAUGUUAAUGUCUGUCCAGUCAAUUCAGUCUGUAUAUUUUGAAGUAUCCAGAUCAUAUUUUUUGUGAGGACGGUUUAUCAAUUAUGGUUACACUCCAAUAUCUGUAUGCAUUGCAGGGUUUAUCGCACCCACCAGGAUUUCCAGUCCCAUGGAUGUUCGGUCCAUACGAUUUGUCACGACCUUUGGACUGUCCUGCUUGUGGGAGUAGGCAGGGCCCCUGCAUGCCACGCGUAGUUGGACGAUCAAUCUUCUGUUUAGUACUUCAACAUAGUGAUUUCCUGGUAAGGAUUCACUUGUGUCACAUCAAGUAAAUCUUAUUGAUUUACUGUCUAAAUCUUAUUGAUUUAAUGUCAUGUUUUCUUUCUUUUCCUGCAAUUUUACGAUGCAGGUUUUGCCAUGUGACAUUCAUCACAGAAUAAACCGUUUGGUUUGCUCUACGAUGGCUAUUUUUGCAGGUUUCACUUCUUAUGUCGUGUCAGUAAUGAAGGCACUGUCCAUCACUUAUAUUACUGGAAAAAAUUGGAUCAGUCUGUUGUUUGAGUACAAGCUGAAUCCCUAUGAUGGACUGCAGUUUGGUUUAACAAAAAAUGCCACAAUUAGUCCUUCUGCGUUUAAAAGAAAUGAAGAAAAAAACUGGAUCAUGGUCACGGAUCCUAGUCAAGUUAGAAAGCUGAUCAUAGCAGACCAGACACGAUCGCCGCUGUCUCGCACAGAUCGAGCACCGACAGUUGCUCUAGCACUGGUAGCGGCAGCAGCUCAGUCUGAUCCAGCUGAGGAUUGGGCACCAACCGCGUCAGCGGAUCAGUCUGAUCUACCGGAGGAUCGGGCAACGACACCGGCACCUGCUCCGACACUGGCACCAGCUCUACAAGGAGCACCAUCUCCAGCAGCAGCGGCUUUGACACCUACACCAACACUUGCACUUGCAUCUGCUCCGGCCCGUGCAGUUGCACCGGCAACAGACUGGGCCGCAGUUUGCACUUCAUAUACCAAAGUCCUUACAAAAAUCGACAUGUCCACCUUCUUGGUAAGCAUUGGCCACCCAAGUGCUUCAUUCUUUUUUUCCAUGUUGUUUCACAUGAUUCACUGUGUUGAUCUAACUGUUUGGGUAUGUCUUCUUGUUUGCAAACAGAGAAUUCCUAGAGCAACGAGGGAGUCGUUCAACAAUCCGGGCGACCGCGGCCAAGUUUCUCUUACCAUGCGCAGCCUUGGUGUGAAUGAACCUACUCAAUAUAACGUAAGUACAAAGGAUGGUCGCAUGAUGAUUGAUGCUAAAGGAUGGUCAAGGUUCAAAUCUAAAACAUAUCUUGCGGUAGGGGAUGAUGUCAAAAUCGAACUUUCUCGGCAAGGAGAGCUGGUCCAAAUCAACUUUGAAAUUAGCAGCACGCAACUGCCGAACUGAUCUAUCCUCCGAGAGAUUUUGAUGUAAUAAUCUGGCAUGGUGAAACAAGUGUCCUGUGUGUAUAAGUAGUACGGCAGUAUUAUUUAUCACAUGGUAUAUCAUUGAUAGAAUUGCAACUCUAAUUGCUGGUUAGGAACUGUCGUUCGAUUUCAUUCCAACAGCUGCCGUGCUUUAUUCAAUUUUGUGUAUUCGCCUUGCGACAGCAUCUAAAACCAGCGCCGUACCGAUCGCUUGCAAUAUGAAAAGCACUGAGGUAGAACACAUGGGCCCCCAAACAUGCAGGGUCGGCCUACGGCCCAAUGUCCAGAACCGUGAGCCUAUCUGAGUAUUAUAUUCUCAGCUGAACCCCCAUAAAAAAAGCUGAACCCCAAUAAUGCCCGUGCGCUGCAGAGGGAGUAUAUUUCUCGGCAAGGUGAGCCUGUGAUAUAAAAGAAUUGUAUAUUUCUUUACAGAGGGAGUAUGUCUCUGUCAAAAAAUAUAUUUAUGUGUAACUAGUUACUCCUGUCUUUCUACUUCCUUUCGCUGAUAUGUGGGGCAACCGACAACGGGGUCCACGUGCCAUAUGCACAAAUUAGAGUGCACAACUUCACGGUAGACACACCCCGGUCGUAGCACCGCAGUAAUGCCCAACGAGGCAUCAAAUCACAACCCCCCUUUCCAGCUUUAGCAGUAAGCUGGACAGACGAAGCGGCAAUAUUUCACUGGGCCUGAAUCCCCUUCUCCCUCGUCUGCUUGUUCAGAGAAAACCCCCUCUCGGAGAUUGCAUAGGGUUUUCUCAUGGAGAACCAGGUACGAAUUCUUCAUCCAUCCCCGAUAAACCCAAGUUCCUUGGUCGCAGGUAAUCCUACGAUGGCAGCCGCCGCCGUUGAUGCAUUUUUCUUCCUACUGAAUCUAGUGUGUUUCAUUUGCAGUGCCCAAAGUGCGAGUACCCUACAAGUUUCCGCGCCCUCGGCGAGACGCCACACUUGUUCCUUCUCAUCCUAACACAACAUUUUGAAACGCGCACAGUAUGUUCCUAGAAUCGUCUUUUCUAUCCGGGAGGGUGGUUUUUUUUUGAACAUGCUAUGUUCUCAUAUUAUUUUUCCUGCAGUGUAUUAUUUGCUCUGCCAGAACACAUGUACUCAAGAUGCUCGGCCUUGCCAUAACUGAAUACACUAGUUUAAUGGUCACAGUGAAGACAAGCCAUGGAUAUAAGUUCCGAGUUGGGUUCAUGAACCAAGAAGAUCGCUGCUUUUUUUUAUGGCCGAACUUGGAUAAACUUUCUCAAGUGUUACAGACUGAAAGUUGGUGCACGAAUGUUGAUGGAAAUAGCAGAACCUAGUCUCAUCUUCACUGCGAUCUUCCACCCCGACGUCGUUCCAAUUGUUCAUCCAUGUUAGUUUUGUAUCUGGUUCUUGCUUGUUGCCUCGAUUACUUCUUAAUCCACGUAUUCUGUCUAACUAAUCACAAUUUAACUUUAAAAGUAGCAACGAAUCUCUCACGAAGAUGCUACUUCUAACUAAUAUUUUCUUAUAAUUGGUGGCACGUGUAGGUUUUUUCAGAGUUAAGCAGUCUGCUCGUUUGUUACUCUGUAAUAACUCGGCUGUUACUAAUGACACUGAAGUUGACUGGAUCGACAUCCACAAGUUCCUACACUUUAUUGAUCGUCUUGAGGUCCUUGUGGGGCGUUUCAAUGGUGGAAGGCCACGUGGGAUAUGUGUGCCACUGCUGCACUCAUUGAAUAGGUCCAACUAUGUCGAGAAACUUAUGGUACGAGCUGUUUUCUGUUAUAUAUGUUGUUCAUAAACUAUUGCUUAUACACAGUUUUACAGCUGUGAUCUUCUUGAAACAGGAACUGCCGAGUUCUAUUGUUCCUAUACAGAUGCCUGACCAUGGUCGGGUCAGACUUGCGCUUGGUCACAACAUGAUGUAUAUGUCGACCUACUCAAUUCCCCUUGGAGGUGAAAAGAUACUUAUUCAUGGGUGGUCUCAAAUAAUGAAGGCCCAUCCAUCUUGGAGAAUAGGACAGAAGAUUAUGUUCAUGCUUUUCCAUAGCUCUAAAGCGAAUAUCCUAUUUAUUGACCACGUUGCGAGAUGAAGCCGCUUUCAGACGGUUGUGGAUGCGCGGGGUGGCGCCUGGGCCUUGUCCUAGGGCUUGGCAGCCUCACCCUUGGUUAACUGUAGGCAAAGUAGCACUGUUCGAGGCAUGCUUUGUACGGUUGAACCUGUAUAAGUACUCUUUCUGCUUUCAGCUUUGGUUGUUAAGUGCCCUUGCUGGUUUCCGUUAAGGUUGUUAAGUACUCCUGCUGCUUUUACAGUCUGUCGUGUUUCUUCAGUCCUGUCUUCAUCCAGCAGCCAAAACCAAACCAGCGCCAGCGGGGCCGCCUGCUUCCGCCUCCCACGGCUGGCUGCGCCUCAGCACACGCAUCGCCGCCCCACCGUCUCCUAAAUCGUUAACGCCGACGUCCUUCGCGUGCUUUGGUGCGCUCACCGCGGCGCCGCCCUCUCGCGUUGUCAACAUGGUCAACAAACAGCAGGAAUUGGCAGAAGUACGUGGAGAAGAUGACAGUAGGGGCCCACCACGUCAGCGUAUGGAAAAAUAAAAUGCUUCCUCCUAGUGUUUUCCUGACAUCUGGGACCGACGACAUUGUGAGCGUAUAUAGUCAAUAGACAAGAGAACAUCACAAGAUCGGCUGACACCUGGGACGUAGCUACUCGAGCAGUAUUUUUUUGUUUGGUAUUGUUGAGACGGAGCAGGGUUUGAACUGGGCUGUGGCCCGUCUAGCCCAGGCUUAUAUUUUAUGUUCACCAAGUGACUAGCCCAGCUACUUUUUCUUUGUGAAAAUGAGCCCAGUUUAUUUUUUCUGAAGAAUACCCAAUCCAGGCCUACUUAUUUUUCUACGCCCUGAUGGGCUGCAACUCUUUCAAGACGCCUGCAAAUCUUGAAAGUAAUAUGAAAUGGGUUGUAAAUAUAAAAACAGAUGACAAAUUGGCAAUUACUUUAUAAUUUCUGAAUUUUAUCACAUUUUCAGAUUCCUAUUUCACUGGGCAUUAGCCUAAUUUAAAUAUAUCUUCAAAGUACUUUAAAUCUGGCUGGACAUUUCGGUAUUAAAAAUAGUUUGGAACCCAUAGAAAUAUGCAAAAUUGGCCCUGGCCAACCAAAACAAUGACUACAAUAAAUUGCAUAAGAAGUUUCCAUGAGCUAUAUAUAAAUUAUUAUAUAUAGCCAUGGUGCGCUCGGCGCGGCGUGGUCAACAUGGUCAAGGAACGGCUUCCAUCGGAUGUGGACUGUACGUGGAGAGGCUGACAGCUGGGUCCACGGCCGCAGCAAGGAAGUGCCUCCUUAUUACGUGCAAAAUAAUUAUUCCUCCACCUAACAGCAGGGACCCACCAGACGGGCCACCAGUAUUUUGUGAAAAAAUCAUUUCCCCCUGAUUGCUGGGACCCACCAGACGGGCCACCGUAUUUCGCGAAAAAAACGUUCCCCCCGCUGUCAGCUCGGCCCCACCGGAAGUGCCUCCUUAUUAUGCACAAAAAAAUGAAUACUCCCCCGGCUAGCUGGGACCCACCUUGGUGGGAGGCUAACUUGUGGGCCUACUAAGUUGACGGGGAUGAAGGGCUUUGUCAACUUAGUCAAUAUGAAUGAUUCUAGCUCCAUUGACCGUGCGAUGUCCAUCCAACGGCCGUAGUGCUUCUUUAACCUCUGGUCUUCUUGCUCCAGCCGCCCAAAGCAGCGCCGGUCAUGCCGCAUGGUCCUGCCUCCCGUGGCCGGCUGUGCUGCCACGGAGGCCUCACCGCCCCCUACUAUUCCCACCGCUGGCCAGGCCCUGCGGCGGCGACAGCCUCACACCGCAGCCGAACCAGUGAACCCUCGUACUCCUCUCCACGCGCGCAGGCUUCCACUGUCGCGUCUUCCCCGGCUCCCCGUCGUCCCCUUCCUAGGCCUCGCCGUCGUCCACCGCCCUGGUGCUCUCGGGGCGGCGUGGUCAAUGUGGUCAAGGAACGACUUUCAUCGUACGUGGACUGUACGUGGAGAGGCUGCCAGCUGGGUCCACGGCGGCAGCAAGGAAGUGCCUCCUUAUUAUGCAGAAAAUAAUAAUUCCUCCACCUGACAGCAGGGACCCACUGGACAGGCCACCGUAUUUCGCGAAAAAAACGUUUCCCCCCUGACUGCUGGGACCCACCAGCUACACCUUCGCACGCAAGGAAGUGCGUCCGAGCAAAAAAAAACGAUUCGCCCCCUCACUGCUGGGACCCACCAGCUACAUCUUCGCACGCAAGGAAGUGUAUCCGGGCAAAAAAACCAAAAUGAUUCGCCCCCCUGACUGCUGGGACCCACCAGCCCCCCGACUGCUGGGACCCACUAGCUACAUCUUCGCACCCAAGGAAGUGCGUCCGGGCAAAAAAAUGAUUCGCCCCCUGAUGCUGGGACCCACCAGCUACAUCUUCGCAGGCAAGGAAGUGUCUGACAGUCGGGACCCACCUGGUCGAAGCGUAUGUAGCGUUAACAUUCUGGUCGCGAACGUGUACGUACAUACUGGUCGAUGUAGAGGCGCGCACGUGUCGUAGUAGAGGCGCACACGUGUCAUAGUAGAGGCGCGCACGUAGCAUGUACACGUACGUACAGCGGCCAGGGUGCAAGAAAGAAAAUACGACCACGUAUGUGUACAUACGGGCGGGGUCUCGAACGCCUACUCGCGCAUACUUACGGCGAGGGCUCGUGUACAUGUCUGGGUCGGAACGGAGAAACAGCGUCGUCGUCGUGUUCAUGGGUCGGAACGGAAUGCGUGGUCGUGUUCAUCGGGAGGGCUUGAAUGGAAGAGGCGAUGGAAACGAGGCCUGGCGUACCACACAACGGAGGAAACAGACCUCCUACGGUCGAAACGGGGGUCCUGUUGAUCGGGAGGGGUGUGGCGUACCGCAAAACGGAGGAAACGGACCUCCUACGGUCGAAACGGGGGUCCUGUUGAUCGGGAGGGGUGUGGUGUACCGCAAAAUGGAGGAAACGGACCUCCUACGGUCGAAGUGGGGAUCCUGUUGAUCGGGAGGGGUGUGGCGUACCGCACAACNNNNNNNNNNNNNNNNNNNNNNNNNNNNNNNNNNNNNNNNNNNNNNNNNNNNNNNNNNNNNNNNNNNNNNNNNNNNNNNNNNNNNNNNNNNNNNNNNNNNNNNNNNNNNNNNNNNNNNNNNNNNNNNNNNNNNNNNNNNNNNNNNNNNNNNNNNNNNNNNNNNNNNNNNNNNNNNNNNNNNNNNNNNNNNNNNNNNNNNNNNNNNNNNNNNNNNNNNNNNNNNNNNNNNNNNNNNNNNNNNNNNNNNNNNNNNNNNNNNNNNNNNNNNNNNNNNNNNNNNNNNNNNNNNNNNNNNNNNNNNNNNNNNNNNNNNNNNNNNNNNNNNNNNNNNNNNNNNNNNNNNNNNNNNNNNNNNNNNNNNNNNNNNNNNNNNNNNNNNNNNNNNNNNNNNNNNNNNNNNNNNNNNNNNNNNNNNNNNNNNNNNNNNNNNNNNNNNNNNNNNNNNNNNNUAGGCAUCCACGCGCCAGCAUUUCUGUGGUUGGGGUUUUUGUUUUUUUUGAAAGGGGGGGGGGUUGGGGGGUUUUGGGGGGUUAAUUUAGGUGUUUCAUAUAUUGUGUUAGCUAGCUAUAAUUAAUAGAGAGAAGUGUCCUCUCUUAUGUCCGUGCUUGGUCGACGCUACGUACUAUACAUACGUAUAGAGAGGACUAGACACGCUAGCUAGCUAGUAAGCAAACGAAGGAAACAGAAGAUCGUCAUGAACAUAUAUGCAUACAGAGAGAAGUGAUAUCGACCACCUCUCCUUCUCUGAGAGAUUGGUCCAACAACAAGUUCUCAUAUAUCUAUCCGACACUACCGGCUAUAUAUAUAUACAAUAAUUAUCUCUUACAAAUAUAAUCAUACGGACUCAGGGUCCACAUAGUAUUCUCCGUCUUCAGGGAUCACUUGGUCAAGAAAGAAUGCCGCCAAUUCCUCUUGAAUUGCUCGCAUGCGAGCUGGUGCUAGGAGUUCAUCCCGCUUCCGAAACAUCUAAUUUAAAGAAGGGGGUCAAUAUAUAAAUAUAUAUGAAUGAAUGAAACUCAACACAAAUGAUGGUAAUAAAAUAAAAUUGUGAAUGUUGUUAUUUACGUACUUCAUAUUGUUCGUCAGUGUAGCCCCGCUCACAGGUCAUGUGGCGGAUGGACUCGCAAACGCAGUAUCCACAGAAAUCAUUCCCUUGUUCCUGCCACAACCACUUUACAAGAAAUAGAGGUCAAUCAAACUGAUAAGCAAGAAUGUCAAAUGGUAUUGAUGAAACUAGCGCUUGAAUGACUAGUAGAUGCGCGGAACAUGCUACUAUAGUACUUACUUUCGGGUGUCUAAAUUGCAGCUCCUUCGGCAGUCCCGGAGCUUUUCUGGUGAAUUUUCUCCAAACCCUGCCGGACAAAGAAAACAAUUACUUGAUAUAUCAGGAAAUGAACAAAGUUGCUGAUAUGGUGGAUAAUGAUCGAUUUAACUUACUUCUCGAGUAUUUGAGUCAUGUCUGCAUAGUCCUAGGGAUCUUUUCGUCUUGAGUCUAAGACGGUUACUAGUCCCUGCUCAAGCUUAAUCUCUAGGAGAAUAUAGUGGAAACUGCACAUGCAUGCAUAACUCAUCAAUUACAUUACUAUAAACUUGACUAAUAUAUAAGGGAAACCGAAUACACACAAGACAGUAACACUCACUUGAAGUUGUAAGGAAAGAGUAUUACAUCUUUGUUUUCAUUUAUUACCAACGAUCGUAGCAAGUUGGCCUCGGUAGCUGUGGCAUGAAAUUUAACCUGAGUUGCAUCUAUGAGAUAUGUGUUAAUGAACCCAAUAUCACCAACUUGUCUUUUCUUCAAUUCGGCGAUCUUCAAUCUGCAUAAUAUAGUGAGGAUGAUUAUAAAUACAUGCAAUGAAAGAGCUGAGCUAUAUAGAGAGACUUAAUGACAGAGGUAGUACUACUUACAGACAGUAGCAGGCGACCGUUGUUUUAUCGAGGGCCAAUUGAUUGAAAAACUGAUAGAACUCCUCAAAUGGAACAGGCAACAGUUCAAUUCCAACGAGGUCAUGCUCCUUUUUUACUUUCACAUACAAAGUACUCCUCCCCUCAGAGUCUCUGCAGAUUUUCAAGUACCAAUCAUGCAAUCUUCGCAUCAUCGUUGAUAGAGAUCUUUCAUCUUUGACGAGAGGCUUCCUGUACUCGUAUCUUUGUAUCUGCACCUCCAUGGGUUCAUAAUGUACAUCGUCGGGCAGGUAAUCUGCAAGAUUGCUAUGACCGGGCACCAUCCUCGGAUCAUUAGCGACAUUGUGGCUAGGCACCUUGAGCGGGGGGCAUGAUUGCUUCGCUUGUUCGCGGAGCUGGGCAAUUUGUUUCCCAGCUUGUCAGUCUUUCAGCCUUUGAUCACUGACAGUACUUCCCGACCGCUCCGCUUCGGCAAAGUCCUUUCCAAUAAUGCGCUCAUAGUUUCCUUUCGGCGGAGACUUGGGUGCUUUUGUCAGGGCAGCCAGAGUGCGCUUCGCUUUCACCAGAUCUACCUUCUCCUCCGGAAGUGGAUGUCUCUUUGCUUUCAACCCUUGAAACCAGUCAUCCACUUCGGUUUGUGCGAUCUCGGCGUUCUCCUCCGGGGUCCUCUCGUAUGGUAACUUCUCUGGAGUCUUCAGAGAAGGACCGAAUCUGUAUGUCCUCCCGCCUCUGGCUGUACUGCUAGACGCCGACCGAGCAGACGGAGCGGUUGUCUUCUUUACUUGCUUACGAGGCGGAGGAGAAGGACUACGACGCGCCAGAGCAGCCGGAGCGGCGGCAGGUCUCUUCCGCCCUUGCUGACGAGGCGGCGAAGGAGGAGGCUGGCUGCUCGGGCGCGUCGGCGCAGGCGGAGAAGGAGGCGGAGUGCCACCACGCGCUGGAGAAGGAGCCGGUCGAGUGCCCUGAUGGACGAGGCGGAGUGCCCUGACUCGCCAGAGGAGGAGGCGGUCGAGGAGGCGGAGUGCCCUGACUUGCCGGAGGAGGAGGAGGAGGAGGCAGAGGCGUCCAGUUCGGAAGGUUGAUGAGCUCCUUCCGCCAUAGACAUGGAGUCUUCAGAGCAGACCCCAGCCUAGUCUCCCCUUCACCGGUAGGAUGGUCAAGCUGGAGAUCCUCAAAUCCCUCUGUUAUUUCAUCCACCAUCACCCUAGCAUAUCCUUCUGGAAUCGGCCGACAGUGAAAAGUUGCGCCGGGUUCAGUAGGAUAAACAGAGCCAACAGCCGCCUUGACCUUCAAAUUCAUCAAUUGCGUCAUAAGGUGGCAAUUUUGAGACUCCGUGAUAGCAUCCACGGGAUAGCUGGCAGGAGCCGUCAAGGCAUGCUCCGGCUGAAGCAGCUCGGUGGAAGCCACGCUGCUUCUUCGCUGAGAUGGCAGGGUAGCUUCGGGGGAAGCUUUGGCAGUACGUUUGCUGCGAUUUGCUUCUCGUUCCUCUAUCGCUUGUACCCUUGCUUGCAGCGCCUGCAUUUGGGUCUUCUGCACUUUUUUCCUCCUCUCAUGGGAUUUGUAACCACCUGCGUCCGGAAACCCAACCUUCCACAGAAUGGAGCCUGGCAUGCCUCGUGUCCAGGGUGCUCAUGAUUCCUGAGGGCCAUUCUGAGCUCGUCAUUCUCUCUGUCUGGAAAGAACGCCCCUUGCUGCGCUGCUUCGAUAUAGUGCUAAAGCAUCCUGACUGGUAUGUCCAUUUGAUUGUUCGUCCAAAUGCACUUCCCUGUUACAGGGUCCAAGGUUCCGCCAGCCCCGAAGAAUCAAGUCCGGCAACGGUCUGGCCAGUUAAUUGUCUCUGGUUCGAUCCCUUUAUCAACCAGAUCAUUCUCAGUCUUGGCCCACUUAGGACGGGCUACGAGGUAGCCACCUGACCCCGUGCGAUGGUGAUGCUUCUUCUUUCGCAACAUUUUGCUUGUUUGUCGCCGACUUCUUCUUACUCUUUUUCGAUGUCUUGUGGGCCACAAAUGCGGGCCAGUGAUCUCUGAUCUUCUCAUAUCUGCCCUUGAAUUCUGGUGUCUCAUUAUUUUCGACAAACUUAUUCAGCUCUUUCUUCCACCUCCUGAAUAGUUCUGCCAUCCUCUUAAGAGCAAAAGACUUGAUUAAUUGCUCUUUAACUGGCUUCUCUGGAUUAUCCUCUGGCGGUAGGGUGAAAUUUGACUUCAGCUCAGUCCAAAGAUCAUUUUUCUGCAUAUCAUUGACAUAAGACACCUCAGGGUCUUCUGUAGCCGGCUUAAACCAUUGCUGGAUGCUGAUCGGGAUCUUGUCCCUAACCAAAACCCCACACUGAGCAACAAAUGCGCUCUUUGUCCGGAGGGGUUCAAUCGGUUGGCCGUCGGGCGCGAUUGCUAUGAUCUCAAACUUUUCAUCCGAGCUCAACUUUUUCUUCGGGCCUCGUCUCUUUACCGAAGUUGUGCUCGAUCCGGAGGGCUAGAAAAAAGAACAAAGACUUAAUUAAUAUGUGUACAUACCAAAACAAUGAAUGCAUCAAUUAGCUAGUCAGCAGAAGCUUAACUAAUAUAUAUACCUGGCCGGACUCGGUUCGGUCACCGAAGAUGUCAUCACGAUCUCCUUCUUGCACCGGCAUUGGGUCACCGGAGCCGUCCUCACGGUCUCCUUCUUGCACCGGCAUUAGGUCACCGGAGCCAUCAUAAUCAGCUGCUUCCAGACCAUCGGUCUUGUUGAGAAACAACGAGCAGAUGGCAUCACUUCCUCGUGCGAUUAUGCCCCCCAACAACUCUUCUUGUACUUCGUCUCGGGCGGUGUCCAUAGUUUCUACAAAUAUUGACAACAUGGCAAUUAUUAUUCAAACAUGACAGAUGGAUAUAUUAGUGGCAAAAACAUAGAACUAAUAUUAAUUAGUGGCCUCGAUGCAGCUUCUCUAGGGUUUGGGGUGGCCUCGACCCCUCGGCGAUCCUCGACCCCUCAAACCCUCGACGACCCUGGACCCCUCGACCCCUCGAACCCUCGACGACCCUAGACCCCCUCUUGACCCCCUCAUGUCGAAGUUGUCGGGUAGGGGGUAUAUCGACAACGACAUACCCAAUACAUGCAUACAUACAUACAUAUCACAUGCAUCCAUACAUAUAUGAACAAAAUUAAUAUCUACUAAUUAACAACCUAAAUAAAAAAACUAAUACAUAUAGGAAGAAGAAGAAAAAAGAAGAGAAGAAAGAAUAGAGGAGAAGACUUCCUCUUCUUCCUCUCCUCUUCUUCUCCCUCUUCUUCUCCCUCUUCUUCUCCCUCUUCUUCCCCUUCUUCCCUCGACCCCCUAAACUAGUUCUCAACCCUCGACCCCCUAAACUAGUUCUCAACCCUCGACCCCCUAAACUAGUUCUCAACCCUCGACCCCCUAAACUAGUUCUCGACCCCCCCUCAUGUCGAAGUUAUCAGGGAGGCGGUAUAUCGACCCCCCUCAUGUCGAAGUUAUCGGGGAGGGUUAUAUCGACCCCCCUCCUGUCGAAGUUAACGGAGAGGGGGUANNNNNNNNNNNNNNNNNNNNNNNNNNNNNNNNNNNNNNNNNNNNNNNNNNNNNNNNNNNNNNNNNNNNNNNNNNNNNNNNNNNNNNNNNNNNNNNNNNNNNNNNNNNNNNNNNNNNNNNNNNNNNNNNNNNNNNNNNNNNNNNNNNNNNNNNNNNNNNNNNNNNNNNNNNNNNNNNNNNNNNNNNNNNNNNNNNNNNNNNNNNNNNNNNNNNNNNNNNNNNNNNNNNNNNNNNNNNNNNNNNNNNNNNNNNNNNNNNNNNNNNNNNNNNNNNNNNNNNNNNNNNNNNNNNNNNNNNNNNNNNNNNNNNNNNNGGCGGCGACGGCGAGCACAGGCAGCCUGGCGGCGUCGUCGGGGCGGGAUCAAAGAACUGAACCAAAAAUUUCACAAGGAUGGCUUAUAUAGACGGGGCAUUGGUCACGGUUUGUGCCACAAACCGUGACCAAUGCAUCCUUUAGUCCCGGUUGGUGCCACCAACCGGGACCAAAGGCCUUGUGCGGCUACGGCGUCGAAAGUUUAGUCCCACCUCGCUAGUUGAGAGGGGUGCGCAGUGGUUUAUAAGCCCCACUGCCGCACCCCUCUCGAGCUUCUCUCCAUUGCAGGCUUACGGGCCUAAUUGUCACUGCUAUGCCUGUGGGCCUAUUGGGCCUCCUGCGGGCCUGAAUCCUGGCCCUUGGAUGGGUUUCUAGUCGUAUUCAGGCCGUGGUGGCCCAGUAGGUGGCAUUUUUUUGUUUUUUUGUUGCUUUAUUUAUUUAUUUUCUUUUGUUUUUUUCUUUAUUUUUUAAUUCUUUAUGCUUUUAGUUUUAGAAAAAUUAUAAACUUUUUGUUAAUGCCAUUAGUUUUCAAAUUNNNNNNNNNNNNNNNNNNNNNNNNNNNNNNNNNNNNNNNNNNNNNNNNNNNNNNNNNNNNNNNNNNNNNNNNNNNNNNNNNNNNNNNNNNNNNNNNNNNNNNNNNNNNNNNNNNNNNNNNNNNNNNNNNNNNNNNNNNNNNNNNNNNNNNNNNNNNNNNNNNNNNNNNNNNNNNNNNNNNNNNNNNNNNNNNNNNNNNNNNNNNNNNNNNNNNNNNNNNNNNNNNNNNNNNNNNNNNNNNNNNNNNNNNNNNNNNNNNNNNNNNNNNNNNNNNNNNNNNNNNNNNNNNNNNNNNNNNNNNNNNNNNNNNNNNNNNNNNNNNNNNNNNNNNNNNNNNNNNNNNNNNNNNNNNNNNNNNNNNNNNNNNNNNNNNNNNNNNNNNNNNNNNNNNNNNNNNNNNNNNNNNNNNNNNNNNNNNNNNNNNNNNNNNNNNNNNUUUUUUUGUUUUCUUUGUUGCUUUAUUUAUUUUGUUUUGUGAUUAACUUUACUAUAAAAAUAGUUUUUUCUUGUUUUUUUGAUUUGUUUUUUGCAUUAUUUAUUUUCUUUUGUUUUUUGCUUUAAUUUUUAAUUCUGUUUGCUUUUAGGUUAGCAAAAUUAUAAACUUUCUGUUACUGCCAUUAGUUUUAGAAAAAUUAUAAACUUUUUGUUAGUGCCAUUAGUUUUCAAAUUUGAAUUCUUUGAAAAUUGUUUGAAUCACAAGUUUGUGAUUAACUUACUAAAAAAAUGAGAAUAGAUGCACUUAUAGAGAAAAUUCAACCUAAAUUCCUAGUAAAUUUCUAUGAAUUUCAGAGAAAUUCACUAUGAAUUUAGGUUAAACUUUUUCGCUAUUAGGGCAUCUAUUUUCACUUUGAGAGGAGCUCAACAAGGCAGAGAGGGAAGGGCUUAUAAACCGGUGUGAGCCCCCUUCGGUUGGCGAGGUGGGACUAAACUCUGCUCACAACGAGGACCAACCCUUUAGUCCCGGUUGGUGGCACAAACCGGGACUAAUGGUCAUGGGCCAGGGGCGAGGAGCAAAAUUAUAAACUUUCUGUUAGUGCCAUUAGUUUUUGAAAGUUGAAAGUUGAAAGUUGGCAUGGGCCAGGGACUAAUGGUCAUGGUAUUACGAGGGCCGAACCAUAAGACAUGAAAGCAUUUCAAAUGAACUCUGAAAAAGUUUAAAGUUGGCAUGGUAUCAUAAUUUCACCCACAUAGCAUGUGCAUGUACAAAACGGACAAUGGUAGCAUGUUCGUGUGUUACAAAGUUGGCAUGGUAUCAUCAUAAUAGUUGCGGGACAAAGUCUUAACUUUUUCUUCGCUUGUGUCAUUUGCUUAUUGCACCGUAACCAUGGAUAAUCCUCAUUGUUUAUCAGGAUGCUUGGGUCAGCCUUGACAUUGAAGGGAGGAAUUUCAUGAAAUUUUCAUAAUCUUCAGACAUGUCUGUCUGGCCGUCCACUCCCAGGAUGUCCCUUUUUCCUGAAAGAACUAUGUGGCGCUUUGGCUCAUUGUAUGAUGUAUUUGCUUCCUUAUCUUUUCUUUUUCUCGGUUUGGUAGACAUGUCCUUCACAUAGACAACCUGUGCCACAUCAUUGGCUAGGACGAACGGUUCGUCAGUGUACCCAAGAUUUUUCAGAUCCACUGUUGUCAUUCCGUACUGUGGGUCUACCUAUACCCCGCCGCCUAACAGAUUGACCCAUUUGCACUUAAACAAAGGGACCUUAAAAUCAGGUCUGUAGUCAAGUUCCCAUAUGUCCGCUAUGUAACCAUAAUAUGUGUCCUUUCCGCUCUCGGUUGCUGCAUCAAAGCAGACACCGCUGUUUUGGUUGGUGCUCUUUUGAUCUUGGGCGAUCGUGUAAAAUGUAUUCCCAUUUAUCUCGUAUCCUUUGUAAGUCAAUACAGUCAAAGAUGGUCCCCUGGACAACAAGUACAACUCAUCACAAACAGUGUUUGUCACCUCUGAGACAUGUUUCUAACCAACUGCUGAAAGUCCUGAUGUGUUCACAUGUAAUCCAGUCGUCGCACUGCUCCGGGUGUUUGGAGCGCAGAACGUUCUUGUGUUCAUCGACAUACGAGGUCACCAAGGUAGAGUUCUAUAGAACUGUGUAGUUUGCUUGAGACCAAGAAUAUCCAUCCCUGCAUAUUAUUGAGUCUCUUCCAAGAGUGCCUUUUCCAGUCAGUCUCCCCUCAUACCGCGAUUUAGGGAGACCUAUCUUCUUAAGGCCAGGAAUGAAGUCAACACAAAACCCGAUAACAUCCUCUGUUUGAUGGCCCAUGGAGAUGCUUCCUUCUGGCCUAGCGCGGUUACGGACAUAUUUCUUUAGGACUCCAAUGAACCUCUCAAAGGGGAACAUAUUGUGUAGAAAUACGGGCCCCAGGAUGACAAUCUCGUCGACUAGAUGAACUAGGACGUGCGUCAUGAUAUUGAAGAAGGAUGGUGGGAACACCAGCUCGAAACUGACAAGACAUUGCGCCACAUCACUCCUUAGCCUUGGUACGAUUUCUGGAUCGAUCACCUUCUGAGAGAUUGCAUUGAGGAAUGCACAUAGCUUCACAAUGGCUAAUCGGACGUUUUUCGGUAGAAGCCCCCUCAAUGCAACUGGAAGCAGUUGCGUCAUAAUCACGUGGCAGUCAUGAGACUUUAGGUUCUGAAACUUUUUCUCUGGCAUAUUUAUUAUUCCCUUUUUAUUCGAUGAGAAGCCAGUCGUGACCUUCAUACUGAGCAGGCAUUCAAAGAAGAUUUCUUUCUCUUCUUUCGUAAUAGCGUAGCUGGCAGGACCUUUAUACUACUUCAGAGGCAUGCCGCCUUUUUCGUGCAAACGUUGCAGGUCCUCCCGUGCCUCAGGUGUAUCUUUUGUCUUCCCAUACACGCCCAAGAAGCCUAGCAGGUUCACGCAAAGGUUCUUCGUCACGUGCAUCACGUCGAUUGAGGAGCGGACCUCUAGGUCUUUCCAGUAGGGUAGGUCCCAAAAUAUAGAUUUCUUCUUCCACAUGGGUGCGUGUCCCUCAGCAUCAUUCGGAAUAGCUAGUCCACCGGGACCCUUUCCAAAGAUCACGUAGUGUAAAUCAUUGACCAUAGCAAGCACGUGAUCACCGGUGCGCAUGGCGGGCUUCUUCCGGUGAUCUGCCUCGCCUUUGAAAUGCUUGCCUUUCUUUCGACAUUGAUGGUUGGUCGGAAGAAAUCGACGAUGGCCCAGGUACACAUUCUUCCUGCAUUUGUCCAGGUAUAUACUUUCAGUGUCAUCUAAACAGUGCGUGCAUGCGUGGUAUCCUUUGUUUAUCUGUCCUGAAAGGUUACUGAGAGCGGGCCAAUCGUUGAUGGUCACGAACAACAACGCCUUAAGGUUAAAUUCAUCCUGUCUGUGCUCAUCCCACGUACGUACACCGUUUCCAUUCCACAGCUGUAAAAGUUCUUCAACUAAUGGCCUUAGGUACACAUCAAUUUCGUUGCCGGGUUGCUUAGGGCCUUGGAUGUGAACUGGCAUCAUAAUGAACUUUCGCUUCAUGCACAUCCAAGGAGGAAGGUUAUACAUACAUAGAGUCACGGGCCAGGUGCUGUGAUUGCUGCUUUGCUCCCCGAAAGGAUUAAUGCCAUCCGCGCUUAAAGCAAACCAUACAUUCCUUGGGUCCUUUGCAAACUCAUCCCAGUACUUUCUCUUGAUUUUUCUCCACUGCGACCCGUCAGCGGGUGCUCUCAACUUCCCAUCUUUCUUUCGGUUCUCACUAUGCCAUCGCAUCAACUUGGCAUGCUCUCCGUUUCUGAACAGAUGUUUCAACCGUGGUAUUAUAGGAGCAUACCACAUCACCUUCGCAGGAACCCUCUUCCUGGGGGCUCGCCGUCAACAUCACCAGGGUCAUCUUGUCUAAUCUUAUACCGCAAUGCACCGCAUACCGGGCAUGCGUUCAGAUCCUUGUAUGCACCGCGGUAGAGGAUGCAGUCAUUAGGGCAUGCAUGUAUCUUCUCCACCUCCAAUCCUAGAGGGCAUAUGACCUUCUUUGCUACGUAUGUACUGUUGGGCAAUUCGUUAUCCUUUGGAAGCUUCUUCUUCAAUAUUUUCAGUAGCUUCUCAAAUCCUUUGUCAGCCACAACAUUCUCUGCCUUCCACUGCAGCAAUUCCAGUACGGUACCGAGCUUUGUGUUGCCAUCUUCACAAUUGGGGUAUAACCCUUUUUUGUGAUCCUCUAACAUGCGAUCGAACUUCAGCUUCUCCUUUUGACUUUCGCAUUGCGUCCUUGCAUCGACAAUGACCCGGCGGAGAUCAUCAUCAUCGGGCACAUCGUCUGGUUCCUCUUGAUCUUCAGCAGCUUCACCCGUUGCAGCAUCAUUGGGCACAUCGUUUGGUUCCUCUUGAUCUUCACCAGCUCCCCCCGUUGCAGCAUCACCAUAUUCAGGGGGCACAUAGUUGUCAUCGUACUCUUCUUCUUCGCUGUCUUCCAUCACAACCCCUAUUUCUCCGUGCCUCGUCCAAACAUUAUAGUGUGGCAUGAAAUCCUUGUAAAGCAGGUGGGAGUGAAGGAUUUUUGGGUUAGAGUAAGACCUCGUAUUCCCACAUUCAGUGCAUGGACAACACAUAAAACCAUUCUGCUUGUUUGCCUCAGCCGCAUCGAGAAACUCAUGCACGCCCCUAAUGUACUCGCGGGUGUGUCUGUCAUCGUACAUCCAUUGCCGGUUCAUCUGCGUGCAUUAUAUAUAAUUAAGUGUCCAAAUUAAUAGAAGUUCAUCAUCACAUUAAAACCAAAGUGCAUACAUAGUUCUCAUCUAACAACAUAUAGCUCUCCAGAGCAUCUAAUUAAUUAAACCAUACAUUGAAACUAUGUAAAACAUUUCAAUGCGAAAACAAAUGUGAUCAUAAUCGCAACCAAGGUAACAAUUGAUCCAACGGCAUAAUGAUACCAAGCCUCGGUAUGAAUGGCAUAUUUUCUAAUCUUUCUAAUCUUCAAGCGCAUUGCAUCCAUCUUGAUCUUGUGAUCAUCGACGACAUCCACAACAUGCAACUCCAACAUCAUCUUCUCCUCCUCAUUUUUUUUAUUUUUUCCUUCAACAAAUUGUUUUCUUCUUCAACUAAAUUUAACCUCUCGACAAUAGGGUUGGUUGGCAUUUCCGAUUCACAUCCUACAUAAAUAAAAUCUAUGUCACGUUGGUCGGCAUAAUUUUCAUAAACAAUAAAUGAACCAAUAGUUAUAAAGAUAAUAUAUAUACCACAUCCGAAUCAUAGACAGGACGAGGGCCGACGGGGGCGGAUACCAAAACCAUCGCACUAUAUAAGAUGCAAUAAUAAAAGUAAGAAAAUAAUACAAGUAUCUAUGUAAACAUACAAGUAAGAAUAUUUUUCCUUUCAGAAAGAAGAUAAAACAAGAGGCUCACCACGGUGGUGCCGGCGAUGAGCUCGGCGCGGGUGAUCGACGGCGGUGAAGACGGGGACGGGGCGUGACGGACCGCUAAACCUAGACAAAUAUUAUGGAAAAUGGAGCUUGGAGGUCGAGCUUGAAGAGGAGAAAGCUUAAGUAGUGUGGCUCGGGCAUUCCAUCGAACACCUUGUGUGCAUAGGAGGUGAGCUAGAGCACCACCAAGCCCUCUCCCCCUCGGUCAGAGAAAAACAGAGCACUGGGGUGCUCUGCUCGUGAGCGAGGGGUAUAUAUAGGCACCUCAUUGGUCCCGGUUGGUGACAUGAGCCGGGACUAAAGGGGAGCCUUUGGUCCCGGUUCAAGCCACCAACCGGGAUCAAUGGUGGUGGGCCAGGAGCGAGGCCCAUUGGUCCCGGUUCAUCCCACCAACCGGGACCAAAAGGUCCAGAUGAGCCGGGACCAAUGGCCCACGUGGCCCGGCCGGCCCCCUGGGCUCACGAACAGGGACCAAUUCCCACAUUGGUCCCGGUUCUGGACUGAACCGGGACUAACGGGCUGACCCGGCCUGGACCAAAGCCCUGUUUUCUACUAGUGCACGGAUACUGUUCAUCUUCACCGUCCCAACCGAUCACCUUCGACCAUCGGGAUUACUCGGCAAGUAUCCGGCGUGCAGGAUGGGCUGCCUUGGUGUUAGACCCGAUAAUUGACGGAUACCACUUCACACGAGUCUUGAUGGAUGGUGAUAGUAGUUUAAACCUGAUAUAUCAGGACACAGUCAGCAAAAUGGGGAUAGACCCAACAACAAUUAGCCAUAGCAAUACUACCUUUAAAGGAGUAACGCCAGGCCCAGAAUCCCAUUGCACGGGCUCCCUGCUACUAGAGGUUAUACUUGGCUUCCCCGAUAAGUUCCGCAGUGAAAAUUUAACCUUCCACAUCACUCCAUUCCAAAGUGGCUAUCAAGAACUACUCGGACGCGAAGCUUUCGCUCGCUUUAACGCAAUACCGUUUACGCUUCCCUCAUGCUCAAGAUUCCCGGUCCACGUGGCAUCAUUACAGUAAAUGGAAAUAUUGAGUGAUCCUUGCGCGCGGAAGACCGUGUGGCUACCUUGGCAGCCGCACACUAAACGGCCUCACCAACUAAAGCAUCUGACAGGUCGUUAAGACCACGAACACGGUUGGACGAGUCCGGUGCAGCUAUAUGUAAUUGAUACAAGUUUGAUGGCUAUACCCCUAUUACAAUACAAGGGGCUCAACGCGCGUGCACAAGUGGCAAUCAGGCUCAACUUUACUCAUUUUGAACUAUAUAUUGUUUAUUUAGUAUAACUUACCUUUUGCACGACAACUUUUCAAUUAAGUUCCUCUCUUUUUUAGAUGACCAUCAUGCUACACCCGUCCAGAAUACGGCACAACGGAGACACAGGUGCAGACGUGCAGCAGGGACCCGUUCCAAGGAUUCUUUUUAGAUUAAGACCCUGCGUAAACCUUUUUUACUGUCUCUUGUUGAUACAAAUCCCUCGGAUUCUUAGUAUAAUUGAGAGGGAUGCUGACGUAUUGGCAUGUGGCCACGUCAGAAUAUUGCAUGUACCUGGACACCAGGGGCUUAUUACAAAGGGCACUGUUUAGGCCCGGCUUCCACCAUAAAGACCGAAUACCUUAGGGAGUGUUCGGUGUCGUGAGUUUGGCCUUAUAUGCAUCAGCUCCGAAUCAUGUUUUUGGUCAAAUGUUGGGUUUGCCCGGCUCAUGUGUUUUGCUGCCUUACGUUCCACUCUAUCGGCACCAGGAGAACUACUGCGAUUGUGCCCUGGUUCAUCCGGACGAGCACCUCAGUAGAGAAAGCUGAAAACUGACUGUCAUGAUAUAGCGUGAGACUAGUCAACCACUCGAUGACCUAGCGGAAUCUUCGGGAUUGCUCCGCCUUAACGAAGGGCCGUUUCCCGGCCAGGCAUGUACGCACCCCGAAUUCGGAUGAGUGCGGAGCCACCAGGGGCUAUAUAGUAGCCCCACUGUCAAACUCCUCUGGCUAAGUGAAAGUGUUAAAGCAUUAUAGUCCGAUUGCCUAGUUCGCUGCGCUAUCACCUCCUUAAUGGACCAAGACGUUGGAUCAAGUGUGAACGUGUGUCUUCUGCGAACACCCCCGCAUUAUAUGCGUGGGGGCUGAAGCCGACGACUGCCAUCUUUCAGGUUAUAUACAUAUAUACAUAAACGGCCGCACAGGAGGCAUCAUAGUACUUUCGGGCAAAAGUAUAAAUACAGCCUUGAUAAACUCAAUAAAACAUUGUUUUAACAAUGGGAAUACGUGUCACUCAAACAUAAUAUUCUUCAAGCACUGAGCCUCUAUCAAACGAGCGCCUUCAAGAACUCCUUCAAAGUAGUGCUCGGCAGCCACUCGGCCUAUGGCCGAACCCUGUGCCGCAACAGUGGUGGCAUCCAUCUCCGCCCAGUAUAUUUUGACACGGGCAAGGGCCAUCGGCGAGCCUUCUAUGCACGCCGACCUCUUUACAGCAUCGAUGUGAUGCACAACGCCAAGGAAUUGUUGCACUAAGCUAAAAUAGCUAUUCGGCCUUGGCCCUCCUGGCCACAAAUGAUCCACAAUGGACCUCAUGGCCAGUCCGGAUAAUCUAUGGAGCUCGGCCCAACCGGUCAAUCACUCAUUCAGCAACAGCGGACGGGCUGGAGCGUGAAACUGUGACCAGAACAAUUUAUCCACUUCAGGACCUUUCUGAUCCUUGAAGUACUCGGUCGCAUCCGCAGCACUUGCAGCCAAAUCCAUGUACUCAUCCGCAGAACUACAUAGCCGGUCCAGAGGAGCAUAUUUCGGAUCUCCGAACUUAGUCCGCAACAAGAAGGACUUCCCAGAAACGAUAUCCGCAGCUUGAUUCAGCUCCUCCUUGUCGCUCUAAUUUUGGAGCGGGCUUCCUUGGCAGCCACCCGGGCCUUCUCCAGGUCCGUCGCCUUCACCCGGUUUUCUUCUCCAAGAAGCCGAUAACAGUCAGCAACAUUUUUUUACUCCAUGGCCAUCUUAGCAAUUUUUUCUUUGCUCCAGCAAUGUGCGACCUGUUCGGCCCUUAACUCUUCGGCCGCCUUUAAAGCGGUCGCAUUACUACUCCUUGCUUGAUCCUUGGCUCGGGUAAGCUCCGCCCGAAGGGUCUCCACGGUGGCAGCUCCAUCUGCAGUCACAACAUAUUAAAGAUACUAGCAUCAUGCUGCUCUUAGUAUGUGACAUUCACUAGAAGAAUCACCUACCCUGUGCCUCGUCAAGCCGCUUAUUGACAAGCACGAUGUCGGCAUCUGCCGCAUCCAGCUGCCGCUUUAGUUCGGCAUACCCAUCAGUCCGGCUAGCCACCGGAGCCUCCACCACCUGCACAUAAAGGCAGUCUGGUUACUACCUGGGACUAUGAUCCUCCGUUUGCCACCGUUUUCGACGACAACCAGAGUCUCAAGGCUACUAUCUACACAGGGCACAUCUAAAAAUGUGUGGUACUUUCAAAAAUGUACAUCAUUUCGCGUACCUCAAAACCCGUCAGUAGACUCGUAAAGGCUUCAUGCGGCGCUUUUGGCAGACGAAAUCCUUUCAAUCACCGUACCCAUCAAUGUGUGGUGCUCUUCUGAGAUAGCCGCUUUCUCCAGCAGAUCCCUUCGUACAUCCGACCGCACACCAGACGGUGCAGGACUCUUUUGAUUUCUCUCUUUGAGAGCCGGAUACUGAGGACUUUGGGUGGCCACAUGAUUACCUUCUGGCCUUGCCGGAUCAGGAGAAGCCCUCCGCGAUGACACCUCGGGGUCGCCCUCUACGUAAGGCGGUGUGGCAGGGGGAGGCGUUUCGCUCUCCAUCAUCUCCGGAAGAAGAUCCCCCGAAGACGAGCUCUGCUGAGAAGGGCUAAGAUCCGAACUACAAGAUAAAUGCUUCGAUUAUUUUCCUCAGAAAUAGAGCAAGAUAUUUUCGUUAUUGAAUACCCUUUUACUUACAGCUUAGUAGAGGGCUGAUCCCCGCGCGGACAUUGUGCGGCAAGAGUACCCUCCAGGGCAGGUCCCUCUGGCGGAGAUUUCUUCUCCCGUUUGGAAACCUUAGUUUCCGGAUCUUCAGAGGUAGACCUCUUCCUUCCCCGGGGAGAGAGAAUGUCAAAUUCUUCCCCUUGGUUAUCCUCCCUCGCGGAGGUGCUCAUUCCCUCGAUGGGAAUAGGUAGCGACGGAGGCCCGCUUUCGCCCUCUUUAUUCCCCCCUUCAUCUUCCUUUGAGGGCACUAGACAAGGUGCUGGCUCGAGCAUCUUUUCCAGCACCGGAUUGUCCAAGCCUUCAGGAAGGGGGGCCGAACACCGGAUCAUCUUCGCCUUUGUUAUCCAGUCCUGGUUAAAGAGUGAUUCUUCAAAAUGAUGUCAUGAUAAAUAAAAAGACAGUGUGUUCGGCCAUGGGAUUACUUACUUGGGGAGCAGGGCAGUUGCAGCUCAGGCCCACGUCCUCGGUAGUGUCCGGACACUCUAUUUGGGGUCCGAAGAACGAUUUGUACAUCUCCUCGUGCGUCAUGCCGAGGAAAUUCUGAAUAGUGCGCGGUCCUUCCGGGUUGAAUUCCCACAUGCGGAGGGUCCGGCGUUUGCAAGGCUGGACUCGACGAACCAGCAUAACUUGCAUUACCAUAACCAGACUAAAAUCCCCCUCGAAGAGAUCUCAGAUACGGCUCUACAGUAUUGGCACGUCCUUGGCUGGACCCCCGAUCAGCCCCCUGCUGAUCCAUGACAUCAGUUGUGGUGGAGGGCCCGAGCGAAAGGUGGGGGAAGCUACCCACUUGGCACUUCGGGCAGCUGUGACGUAAAACCACUCCCGUUGCCACAAUCCGGACACCUCUGGAAAGGAACCCUUUGGCCAUGGAGCGUCAGCAAUUUUUCUUAUUAGAGCACCUCCGCACGCUACGUACUGCCCCUCGACCAUCUUUGGCUUCACAUUGAAGGUCUUGAGCCAUAGGCCAAAGUGAGGGGUAAUGCGGAGGAAGGCCUCACAGAUGACAAUAAAUGACGAGAUGUGAAGAAGGGAAUCCGGGGCCAGAUCUUGAAAAUCCAGCCCAUAAUAGAACAUGAGGCCCCUAACAAAAGGAUCCAGAGCGAGGCCUAGUCCUUGGAGGAAGUGGGAGAUGAACACAACGCUCUCAUUGGGUUCGGGAGUAGGGACGACCUGCCCUCGGCCGAGCAGCCUAUGCGAAAUUUCAGCGGUCAGAUAUCAGGCCUCCCUCAACUUCUUGAUGUCCUCCUCCGUGACGGAGGAAGGCAUCCACCUGCCUUGAAGGCUGGAUCCGGACAUGAUUGAAGGUCCGGGGCACCUGACCUGGGCUUUGGGUGUUAGAACUCGAGGCGGGGGAAGGAUUCGAUUGAGCACGGGAGGGAAAAAAGAAAAAGCCUUGUCCCUUUAUAAAGGGGAUGAAUAUCAGGCGUCCUCCUCGUAGCCGUUCUAGACUUACCUAAAAUCUAGGAGUCAUACCAACAGGCACGGUUGGGUUACCCACAUUUGUAUUGAUGAGAAUCCCGUGAUAAGGGGAACACGAUCUCUGCUUUGACAAGACGUGUCAAGAAACCGCCUCGCGUUAUGUGCGGGGCUGGUUAAAGAAAAAUGGUUCAAAUAAUUACCGGGCCGUGGCGUGAUGUCAUGCUGCCAAAACAUGUCAGCAAAUUGGACUUGUGGAAAUAUUAUUCUCUCUACAAUGGUAUGUGGAACUUAUUUUGCAGGGUCGGACACUAUCCUUGUAUUCAAACUCUUCCGUGGUGUAUUCGGAGGAGGAACCCGCCUUGCAAUGCCGAAGACAACACUGCAUGCCAGACUCAUCAUCAUUGAAGCCUGGUUCAGGGGCUACUGAGGGUAUCCUGGAUUAGGGGGUCUCCGGAUAGCCGAACUAUAUCCUUUGGCCGGACUGUUGGACUAUGAAGAUACAAGAUUGAAGAUUUCGUACCGUGUCCGGAUGGGACUCUACUUGGCGUGGAAGGCAAGUUAGGCAAUACGGAUAUGGAUAUCUCCUCCUUUGUAACCGACCUUAUGUUACCCUAGCCUCCCUCGGUGUCUAUAUAAACCGGAGGGUUUUAGUCCGUAGGACAACAUACAAUCAUACCAUAUGCUAGCUUCUAGGGUUUAGCCUCUCUGAUCUCGGGUAGAUCAACUCUUGUACUACUCAUAUUAUCAAGAAUAAUCAAGCAGGACGUAGCGUUUUACCUCCAUCAAGAGGGCCCGAACCUGGGUAAAACAUCGUGUCCCCUGCCUCCUGUAACCAUCCGCCUUAGACGCACAUUUCGGGACCCCCUACCCGAGAUCCGCUGGUUUUGACACCGACACCCGCAGCACCAAGUGGGUAGCUGCACUCACGUUUCGCCCUGGCCCACCGUUACAGCUUGCAUCAUGGGCCAACAAGGGGCUGGAUUGGGGAUCAGUUGAUGAAGUGCGGACUCUACAAAGUCGCAUACGAACCCUCCUCGAGAGGGAUAUCGAUCUUGUCAGCGUGAUUCAAGUAAUGUUGAUUCGCCGAAUCCUACCAUGCCAACGUACGCCUCUCUGUAUGUGGGAGUUCAAUCCAGAAGGACCACGAUCCCUCCAACACUUCUUCGGCAUUACGCACAAAGGGAUGUGGAAGUUGUUUUUCGGAAAACGAAAACAUUGGCCGAACACUAUUGAGGACACAUGCCUCGACUGUAACUGUCCGGAUACCCCGGUAAGCACUUGACUUCCGAACACCCUUUUUUUAAGUAUGCUGUAAUACAUUAUUGAGCAAACUAUCUCCUCCUAGGGCUGGAUAAACAAAAGCGGAGCUGAUUAGGUGUCCGCCCCCCCCCCCUUUCCGAAGGUUUAGCGGAUCCUGUAUUAACAAGGAUCCUAUCCCCGACACCGUACCAGAUGCUUGUGAAGGAGGGAAAGGCAGAGAGGACCAAAGAUGGCCCCCAUCCCGAUGGUGUGCCAGACAAGAUUCCAUCGUCCGAAGAAAAAAAUGACGGGAAAGUCAACGUCUCUUCCCCCCAUGGGAAGAAAAGGGUCACCUCCGAAGAUUGGGAGGAAAAGGCUCAUAAACGAGGCAAGAUGCCUUCGUCGGGUGGCUCGGGCUUGGAGGACAACGUCAUCGCACAGUCCCAUGAUGAGGACAAGCCUCAGGCCAACUCGUAAGUGAACAAGGGUGUUUUAAACACGUCACACCCCUUUCUUGUAACGUCUAGAAUAUAUGUUUUUUUGUAGUUCGGCACGCAGUCUUCUUCAACAAUCCUCUUCCUCGGGGGAUCUUCUCCCGAGAUGAUGGAAAGCGAGACACCUCCACCAAUCUCGUCGCCCAAUAGGGCGGAUGACUUCAAGGUGUCGUAGCGGAGGGUAUCUCCCGAUCAACAAGUGGUGCGAGGGAUGACGAAGACACAACCCGAAGGUGAUACUUCGGUGGCCCAUGGUCCGGGGACCAACAGUAAAGGCCCCGAACAUUCCGGUCUACAGCCGGAUAUGAAUAAACGGAUUCCUUGAAAGGGAGGCCGUACUCCUUCAGCAGCCUCCGGAGUCCCAGAGGCGCCGGAUAUAUUGACGAACAUGCUGCGACAGGCGUCCGUCUCAGAGGAACAUCGUACCUUGAUGAGCACGGUGAUAGAAAAGGUCCUGGCCGCGAAAAGCGGAUUGAAUGAGGCCUUCAUGGGCCUACUAGGAUGCUUCGAGGUUUGUACCGUAAUAUGUUCGAUUGUGUUUUAUUCAAGAAUACACCUGUGCAUAGAUAGUAGCCCCUAAGACUCUGAUUGGCUUCCCAAGGGAGAUGGUUAUAUGAUCAAAAGAUAUGCCCAGGAAGUAAUAUGAUUGUUGGAACACAGGAUGUGACCUCCCCGGAAACUGUCUGGACUGUAGAGAUUGUGGAUUUGCAAGACAAGAUUGAUGAGGCAGAUACUGAUAUCACGCUUAUCAACAGGCGUCUUGACGAGUCGCAAGGUACAUGUUCAAAGCAAUCCAUACAUAUAAGUUUUUUAAUAUAAGCGUGACACUGAAAGUUGCAUACUGGAAUAUGCAUGGUUGCAGAUGGUGGUGCCGCCGUUGAGAUUCUUCGGGCGGAGCUGGCCCGGGCCAAGGAGUAGGCCUGGUUUAGUAAUGUGGCUGCCAAAAAGGCAUCGACCAAGUUAAAGGCCGAACAAGCUGCUCAGCACCAAGACGAGGAGAAAAUAUCCUCGAUGGUGCUCGAACUAAAAAAUACUACCAGCCGCUAUGAAUUCCUAGAGAAGGAGAAUAAAGCCAAAGCGGCUGAGCUUGACAAGGCCUUGCGAGAGGCGAAAGAAGCGCGGUCCGAAUCUAGAGCGGCCCGUGAGGAGAUCCGGCAAGUUGGGAAGAUUGCCGCUGGUAAGCCAUUUUUAUUACAGACAAAGUUCGGCGAUCCGAAUUAUGCUUAGCUUAACCAAGUGUGGAGUUCUCCAGAUGUGUUUUUGGACAUGCCGAAGAGUUCAUCCGAUGCGGCGCAGUUUUACCAAGCGCAAGAGGGAUAUGCAAUGGAGAAGCUUUUCUGGUCAUAGUUUGGCGCAUCAAAACGCCCUCUACUGCUGAAUGAACAAAUGUCCCAACUGGUCGAGCUUCACAAGAUGUCCACAGCUGCCAUGAAGAACGUCAUACUUUAGCUAUGGCCGACUGAGCCGAUUCCGAAUAGCUAUUUCGGCUUGGUGCGGUGGCUUGCUGAUGCGGUGCCACGUAUCGACGCCGUGAAGUGGUCGACAUGCAUUGAAGGUGCACGGAUGGCCUUUGCCCGAGUCAAGACAUACUGGGGGAAGAUGAAGGCCGUCGAUGUUGCAUUGCAGGGUCCACCCAAGGGCAAGGACCAUCACGCACCAGAGCAAUACUUUGAGGACAUCUUAGAGGCUGCCCGCUUGAUAGAGGGUCAAUGUUCGAAAGGCAUAAUAUUCAAGUGAACUCUUUACAAAUUGUAAAAGACAAUUGUUAUAAUCAAUCUAUAUUUUGAUUUUGCCUAAAGGCUUUUGUUCCUCAUGUGCGGCUGUUUGUAUGUGAACUGAAAGUUUUCCAGUCAUCGGCUUCAGCCCCUGAUGACCCACAAGUAUAGGGGAUCUAUCAUAGUCCUUUGGAUAAGUAAGAGUGUCGAACCCAACGAGGAGCAGAAGGAAAUGAUAAGCAGUUUCCAGCAAGGUAUUCUCUGCAAGUACUGAAAUAAGUGGUAACCGAUAGUUUUAUGAUAGGAUAAUUUGUAAUGAGCAACAAGUAACAAAGGUAAAUAAAGUGCAGCAAGGUGGCCCAAUCCUUUUUGUAGCAAAGGACAAGCCUGGACAAACUCUUAUAUAGAUAAAAGCGCUCCUGAGGACACAUGGGAAUAUCAUCAAGCUCGUUUUCACCACGCUCAUAUGAUUCGCGUUCGGUACUUUGAUAAUUUGGUAUGUGGGUGGACUGGUGCUUGGGUACUGUCCUUACUUGGACAAGCAUCCCACUUAUGAUUAACCUCUAUUGCAAGCAUCCGCAACUACAACAAAAGUGUUAAGGUAAACCUAACCAUAGCAUGAAACAUAUGGAUCCAAAUCAGCCCCUUACGAAGCAACGCAUAAACUAGGGUUUAAGCUUCUGUCACUCUAGCAACCCAUCAUCUACUUAUUACUUCCCAAUGCCUUCCUCUAGGCCCAAAUAAUGGUGAAGUGUCAUGUAGUCGACGUUCACAUAACACCACUAGAGGAGAGACAACAUACAUCUCAUCAAAAUAUCGAAUGAAUACCAAAUUCACAUGACUACUAAUAGCAAGACUUCUCCCAUGUCCUAAAGAACAAGCGUAACUACUCACAAAGCAUAAAUAUGUUCAUAAUCGAGGGGUAUUAAUAUGCAUAUAGGAUCUGAACAUAUGAUCUUCCACCAAAUAAACCAACUAGCAUCAACUACAAGGAGUAAUUAACACUACUAGCAACCUACUAGCACCAAUCCCGGACUUGGAGACAAGAAUUGGAUACAAGAGAUGAACUAGGGUUUUGAGAGGAGAUGGUGCUGAUGAAGAUGUUGAUGGAGAUUGCCCUCUCCCGAUGAGAGGAGCAUUGGUGAUGACAAUGGCGAUGAUUUCCCCCUCCAGGAGGGAAGUUUCCCCGGCAGAACAGCUCCGCCAGAGCCCUAGAUUGGUCCCGCCUCGUGGCGGCGGAGUUUCUUCUGAGAACAUGGCUUAUUAUUUUUUCCCAUCGAAAGACUUCAUAUAGCAGAAGAUGGCCACCGGAUAGCCACUAGGGGGCCCACGAGGUAGGGGGGUGCGCUCAGGGGGGUAGGGCGCGCCCCCCACCCUCGUGGGCAGGGUGUGGCCCCCCUGGUGAAUCUCUUCCGCUGAGUAUUUUUUAUAUAUUCUGAAAACGUCUUCCGUGAAGUUUCAGGACUUUUGGAGCUGUGCAGAAUAGGUCUCUACUAUUUGCUCCUUUUCCAGCCCAGAAUCCCAGCUGCCGGCAUUCUCCCUCUUCAUGUAAACCUUGUAAAAUAAGAGAGAAUAUGCAUAAGUAUUGUCACAUAAUGUGUAAUAACAGCCCAUAAUGCAAUAAAUAUUGAUAUAAAAGCAUGAUGCAAAAUGGGCGUAUCAACUCCCCCAAGCUUAGACCUCGCUUGUCCUCAAGCGAAAAGCCAAAAUCGAAAAAUAUGUCCACACGUUUAGAGAUAGAGGUGUCGAUAAAAAUAAAAUACGGACAUGAGGGCAUCAUGAUCAUUCUUAGAACAACAACUUACAUAAUUCUUGUCAUAUGAUUCCUUAUGCUAGAUUAAUAAUUCAAUCACAAUUUCAACUAUGAAUCGUAAACUUCAUUGAAAACUAACAAACUAUAAUCUCAGUCAUUGGAGCAAUUGCAAUUUAUCAUAACAUAGGAAAGAGUCAAUAUAUAAGAGCUUUUCAGCAAGUCCACAUACUCAACUAUCAUAUAGUCUUUCACAAUUGCUGACACUCACACAAUACUUAUGGGUAUGGAGUUUUAAUCGGACACGGAGAAAGAUAGGGGCUUAUAGUCUUGCUUCCCAACAUUUUACCUCAAGGGUAAUGUCAACAAUAAUAGUUCAUGAAAACUCACAUCCAAUUAGCCAUAUAUACCAAGAUCUUUCCAACAUACUGUGCUCGCCAAAGGAUAAAGUGUAAAAAGGAAUGGUGAAGAUCACCAUGACUCUUAUGCAAGGUAGGAGAUAAAAGUAGAAGAUAAGCCUUUCGCAGAGGGAAGUAGAGGUUGUCAUGCGCUUUAAUGGUUGGAUGCACAGAAUCUUAAUGCGAAAGAACGUCACUUUAUAUUGCCACUUGUGAUAUGGACCUUUAUUAUGCAGUCUGUCGCUUUUAUUUCUUCCAUAUCACACAAUCGUAUAAAGCUUAUUUUCUCCCACGCUAAUAAGUCAUACAUAUUUAGAGAGCAAUUUUUAUUGCUUGCACCGAUGACAACUUACUUAGAGGAUCUUACUCAAUCCAUAAUAAAACUGGUUUAAGGGUAUUUGGAAGCACAAGUAGUAUCUCUACUUGGUGCGAUGAAUUUGGCUAGCAUGAGGGAGAAAGGCAAGCUCAACCAUGUUGUAUGAUCCAUGACAAUAUAAUUUAUCUCAGAUGUAAGAAACCAUAACCCAUUACGUUGUCUUCCUUGUCCAACGUCAACUCUUUUAGCAUGUCAUAUUUUAAUGAGUGCUCACAAUCAUAAAAGAUGUCCAAGAUAGUAUAUUUAUAUGUGAAGACCUCUCUUUCUUUAUUACUUCAUAUUAUUUGCAACGAUGACCAAAACUAUGCUUGUCAACUCUCAACAACUUUUAUUCAUCAUACUUUUUCUAUGUGAGCUCACCACUCUCCAUAAGACUCACAUGAUCUCUUUGUUUAUUUUUAUUUCUUUCUCUUUUCUUUCUCUUAGGAUCAUGGCAAAAUAAUCAAGCCCUUGACUCAACACUAAUCUUUAUUAUAUAGCUCACGGACUCGAUUACAUAGAAGGACUAUAAAGAAAAACUCACAACUAGAUCAUACUAAGACUUUUAUUCCACUAAAUCAAGAUAUUACCAAAAGUAUCGAACUAAGAAAAAUGGUAAAGAUAAAGAUAAAGGUGAUACGAUACCGGGGCACUCCCCCAAGCUUGGCAGUUGCCAAGUGGAGUGCCCAUACCAGAUGCUCAAUUAUUUUUUGUUGGUGCAUAAGGUGGAGUUGUUGAUGAUGGACAGUCGCACAUCGAGCGUAGGAGGUCUUCUAACUUGCGGAUAAUGCCCUUGAGUGCGAUGAUAUGCUCCUUCAACAAAAUAUUUUCACAUGUGAGAUACUUAUUUUGUAUAUGAGCUAACUCAAUCAUCUUGAAAGCUUCGAUUUUUUUUGGGGUAAGAAGAUUGUGAUCAAGUUGAAGGGCGUCUUCUGUUGCCGGAACUUGGUCCUCCAUGGCCUUCUUGAUCCCUUCAUCCUUGUUGAUCUCCAUGGGUUCUUAUCUCUUCAGCUCUAUCUUCAUUAGCCAAGCAUCAUUGCCCUCAUGGUUGGAGGAGGAGGAGGGAGACGACAUAGUGCCUGGCCUUGACAACCCUGACAGAAAACAACUCGAAACAAAGACAGGAGAUUUUUGCAUGAUACGGGAGUCAAAACCUCCGGGGGAUUAUAUAAUGAAUUUUUACCGGCCAAAAUACGUGUCGUGUAAGAAAACGGAGUCCGGGAAGUGCACGAGGAGCCCACGAGGUAGGGGGCGCACCAAGGGGGUAGGGCGCACUCUCCACCCUCGUGGAGCCCUCGUGUCCUUCCCGGACUGCUUCUUAUUUUUCUAUUUUUCUAAAUACUCCAAAACGGAGAAAUAUUCCCUUAAAAACUGUUUUGGAGUCGGUUUACUUACCGUACCACAUACCUAUUCCUUUUCGGAGUCUGGAGCGUUCCGGAAAGUGUCCCUUAUGUAUUCCUCCAGGGUUACGGUUUCAAUAACAUUGGUUUCAACAUUUAUGGGAUUACCUAAGAUAUAAUGUUUGAUUCUUUGACCGUUCACCACCUUCGGAUUUGUGCCUUCGAAGUUGUUGAUUUUUAUGGCACCGGAACGAUAGACCUCCUCGAUAACGUAAGGACCUUCCCAUUUAGAGAGAAGGUUUCCAGCAAAAAAUCUUAAACGAGAGUUGUAUAGCAAUACAUAAUCACCAACACUAAACUCACGCUUUUGUAUCCUUUUGUCAUGCCAUCUUUUAACUUUUUCUUUAAACAACUUGGCAUUUUCAUAGGCUUGGGUUCUUGAUACGUCUCCAACGUAUCUAUAAUUUUUGAUUGCUCCAUGCUAUAUUAUCUACUAUUUUGGACUAUAUUGGGCUUUAUUUUCCACUUUUAUAUUAUUUUUGGGACUAACCUAUUAACCGGAGGCCCAGCCCAGAAUUGUUGUUUUUUUGCCUAUUUCAGUAUUUCAGAGAAACAGAAUAUCAAAUUGAGUCCAAACGGAAUAAAACUUUCGGGAACGUGAUUUUCUCACUGAACGUGAUCCAGGAGACUUGGACCCUACUCCAAGGAGUCAAAGAGGCGGUCACGAGGGUGGGGGGCACGCCCACCCCCCUAGGGCGCGCCCCCUGCCUCAUGGACCCCUCGGUGCUCCACCGCCGUACUCCUUCCUCCUAUAUAUACCUACGUACCCCCAAACGAUCAGAACAGGAGCCAAAAACCUAAUUCCACCACCGCAACUUUUUGUAUCCAUGAGAUCCCGUCUUGGGGCCUGUUCUGGAGCUCCACCGGAGAGGGCCGUCAUCACGGAGGGCUUCUACAUCAUCAUAGCCCCUCCGAUGAAGUGUGAGUAGUUUACCUCAGACCUUCGGGUCCAUAGUUAGUAGCUAGAUGGCUUUUUCUCUCUUUUUGGAUCUCAAUACAAAGUUCUCCCCCUCUCUUGUGGAGAUCUAUUCGAUGUAAUCUUCUUCUUUUUGCGGUGUGUUUGUUGAGACCGAUGAAUUGUGGGUUUAUGAUCAAGUCUAUCUAUGAAUAAUAUUUGAAUCUUCUCUGAAUUCUUUUAUGUAUGAUUGGUUAUCUUUGCAAGUCUCUUCGAAUUAUCUGUUUGGUUUGGCCAACUAGAUUGGUAGUUCUUGCCAUGUGAGAAGUGCUUAACUUUGGGUUCGAUCUUGCGGUGUCCUUUCCCAGUGACAGAAGGGGUAGCAAGGCAUGCAUUGCAUCGUUGCCAUCGAGGAUAACAAGAUCGGGUUUAUUUCAUAUUGCAUGAAUUUAUCUCUCUACAUCAUGUCAUCUUGCUUAAAGCGUUACUCUGUUUUUAACUUAAUACUCUAGAUGCAUGCUGGAUAGCGGUCGAUGAGUGGAGUAAUAGUAGUAGAGGAAGAAUCGUUUCGGUCUACUUGUCAUGGAUGUGAUGCCUAUAUACAUGAUCAUGCCUAGAUAUUCUCAUAACUAUGCUCAAUUCUGUCAAUUGCUCAACAGUAAUUUGUUCACCCACCGUAGAAUACUUAUGCUCUUGAGAGAAGCCACUAGUGAAACCUAUGGCCCCCGGGUCUAUUCUCAUCAUAUCAAUCUCCAUCACUUUAAUCUUGCUUUGCUUUUUUACUUUGCCUUUUACUUUUUACUUUGCAUCUCUAUACCAAAAAUACCAAAAAUAUUAUAUCUAUCAGAUCUCACUCUCGUAAGUGACCGUGACGGGAUUGACAACCCCUAAUCACGUUGGUUGCGCGUAGCUAUCGUUUUGUGCAGGUAUGAGGGACUUGAGCGUGGCCUCCUACUGGACUGAUACCUUGGUUCUCAAAAACUAAGGGAAAUACUUAUGCUACUCUGCUACAUCAUCCUUUCCUCUUCGAGGAAAUCCAUCGCAAGCUCAAGAGGUUGCAAGAAGAAUUUCUGGCGCCGUUGCCGGGGAGUCUACGCAAAAAGUCAACAUACCAAGUACCCGUCACAAUCCCUAUCUCUCGCAUUACAUUAUUUUCCAUUUGCCUCUCGUUUUCCUCUCCCCCAGUUCACCCUUGCCGUUUUAUUCGCCCUCUCUCUCUCUAUCCUCCCUCUCUAUUUGCCUCUUUUUGCCCGCUUGCCUUUUUGUUUGCUCGUGUGUUGGAUUGCUUGUUUGUCGCGAUGGCUCAAAAUACUACCAAAUUGUGUGACUUCACCAAUACCAAUAAUAAUGAUAUCCUUAGCACUCCAAUUGCUCCUCUUGCCAAUACUGAAUCUUGUGAAAUCAAUACUGCUUUGUUGAAUCUUGUUAUGAAAGAUCAAUUCGCCGGCCUUCCUAGUGAAGAUGCCACUACUCAUCUGAAUAGCUUCGUUGAUUUAUGUGAUAUGCAAAAGAAAAAAGAUGUCAAUAAUGAUGUCGUUAAAUUGAACCUAUUUCCUUUUUCUCUUAGAGAUCGUGCUAAAGCUUGUUUUUCGUCUUUGCCUAAAAAUAGUAUUGAUUCUUGGAACAAGUGCAAAGAUGCUUUUAUCUCUAAGUAUUUCCCUCCCGCUAAGAUCAUCUCUCUUAGAAACGAUAUUAUGAACAUUAAGCAACUUGAUCAUGAACAUGGUGCACAAGCUUGGGAGAGAAUGAAAUUAAUGAUACGUAAUUUCCCUACUCAUGGUUUGAAUUUGUGGAUGAUUAUACACAAAUUUUAUGUCGGAUUGAAUUUUGCUUCUAGAAAUCUUUUAGAUUCGGCCGCGGGAGGCACUUUUAUGGAAAUCACUUUAGGAGAUGCUACUAAACUCCUAGAUAAUAUUAUGGUUAAUUAUUCUCAAUGGCAUACUGAAAGAUCUUCUAAUAAAAAAGUGCAUGCGAUAGAAGAAAUCAAUGUUUUGGGUGGAAAGAUGGAUGAACUUAUGAAAUUAUUUGCUACUAAGAGUGUUUCUUCUGAUCCUAAUGAUAUGCCUUUGUAUACUUUGAUUGAGAAUAACAAUGAAUCUAUGGAGGUGAAUUUUGUUGGUAGGAAUAAUUUUGGUAACAACGCUUAUAGAUGGAAUUUUAAUCCUAGGCCAUAUCCUAGUAAUUCUUCUAAUAAUUAUGGGAAUUCCUACAACAACUCUUAUGGAAAUUAUAAUAAGAUGCCCUCGGAAUGUGAGAAUAGUGUUAAAGAGUUUAUGAAUUCACAAAAUAAUUUUAAUGCUUUGCUUGAAGAUAAAUUGCUUAAAGUUGAUGAGUUGGCUAGGAAAGUUGAUAGAAUUUCUCUUUAGGUUGAUUCUUUAAAGCUUAGAUCUAUUCCUCCUAAGCAUGAUAUCAAUGAGUCUCUCAAAGCCAUGAGAAUUUCCAUUGAUGAGUGCAAGGAAAGAACCGCUAGGAUGCGUGCUUCCAAAGAUGCCUUUAUUAAAGCGCAUUCUUCCAAUUCCUAUGAAAAUCAAGAUGAAGAUCUAAAAGUUAUUGAUGUGUCACCUAUUAAAUCUUUGUUUUGCAAUAUGAAUCUUGAUGAAACUGAAUAUGAUCUUCUUUUACCUAGAAGGAGUUCUAAAAAUUCGGAGUAUUUAGAUCUUUAUGAUGAAAUUGAUGAAAGUGGGAUUGAAAGAAAUAAAAAUCUAGAUGUUGCUAAACCCACUAUAUUGGAUUUCAAGGAAUUUAAUUAUGAAAGUUGCUCUUUAAUUAAUUGUAUUUCCUUUAUGCAAUCCGUGCUAAAUUCUCCACAUGCUUAUAGUCAAAAGAAAGCCUUCGCCGAACAUAUUUUUGAUGCCUUGAUGCAAUCUUAUGAAGAAAAACUUGAGUUGAAAGUUUCUAUCCCUAGAAAACUCUAUGAUGAGUGGGAACCAACUAUUAAAAUUAAAAUUAAAGGUCACGAGUUUUAUGCUUUGUGUGAUUUGGGUGCUAGUGUCUCCACUAUCCCCAAAACUUUGUGUGAUUUGCUAGAUUUCGCAAUUUUGAUGAUUGCUCUCUAAAAUUGCAUCUUGCAGAUUCUACUAUUAAGAAACCUAUGGGAAGGAUUAAUGAUGUUCUUAUUGUUGCAAAUAGAAAUUAUGUGCCCGUAGAUUUAAUUGUUCUUCAUAUAGAUUGCAAUCCUUCUUGCCCUAUUAUUCUUGGUAGACCUUUCAUUAGAACGGUUGGUGCGAUUAUUGAUAUGAAGGAAGGGAAUAUUAGAUUUCAAUUUCCAUUAAAAAAGGGCAUGGAACAAUUUCCAAGAAAGAAAAUAAAAUUGCCAUAUGAAACUAUCAUGAGAUCCACUUAUGGAUUGCCUACCAAAGAUGGCAAUACCUAGAUCUAUCCUCGCUUUUAUGCCUAGCUAGGGGCGUUAAACGAUAGCGCUUGUUGGGAGGCAACCCAAUUUUAUUUUUAUUCCUUAAUUUUUGCUCCUGUUUCAUAAUAAAUAAAGUAUUUAGCCUCUGUUUUGGUUGUGUUUUUUGUGUUUAAUUAGUGUUUGUGCCAAGUAGAACCGUUGGGAAGACUUGGGGAAAGUCUGGUUGAACUUGCUGUAAAAAACAGAAACUUUUGCGCUCACGAGAACUGCUGCCAUUUUUAUUUGGGGAGUGAUAUUUAGUUAAUUCUUUUUGCAGAUGAUUAAUAGAUAAAUUCCUCACGUCCAGAAAUUUAUUUUAGAAUUUUUGGGGUUCCAUAUAUUGCUCUAGCUACCGAUUACUACAGACUGUUCUGUUUUUGACAGAUUCUGUUUUUCGUGUGUUGUUGCUUAUUUUGAUGAUUCUAUGGUUAGUAAAAUAGUUUAUAAUUAGAAGUUGGAAUACAGUAGGUUUAACACCAAUAUAAAUUAAUAAUGAGUUCAUUACAUUACCUUGAAGUGGUCUUUUGUUUUCUUUCGCUAACGGAGCUCACGAGUUUUCUACUUUAAGUUUUGUGUUGUGAAGUUUUCAAGUUUUGGGUUAAUUCUUGUGAUGGAUUAUGGAACAAGGAUUGGAAAGAGCCUAAGCUUGGGGAUGCCCAUGGCACGCCCAAUAUAAUCCAAGGACACCAAAAAGUCAAAGCUUGGGGAUGCCCCGGAAGGCAUCCCCUCUUUCGUCCACUCCCAUCGGUAAUUUACUUGGAGCUAUAUUUUUAUUCACCAACAUGAUAUGUGUUUUGCUUGGAGAGUCUUGUAUUAUUUUUGUCUUUGUGUUUUAGUAUGCCACAAUCAUCCUUGCUGUACACACCUUUUGAGAGAUCCAUACAUGAAUUAAAAUUUGAUAUAAUACUCUAUGUGCUUCACUUAUAUCUUUUUGAGCUAAGUAAUUUUGCUCUAUGUGCUUCACUUAUAUCUUUUGAGCUAUGUAAUUUUGCUCUAUGUGCUUCACUUAUAUCUUUUUGAGCUAAGUAGUUUUGCUCUAUGUGCUUCACUUAUAUCUUCUGAGCGUUAUAAUUUUGCUCUAUGUGCUUCACUUAGAUCUUUUAGAGCACGGUGGUGGAUUUGUUUUAAAGAAACUAUUGAUCUCUCAUGCUUCACUUAAAUUAUUUUAAGAGUCUUAAUAGCAUGGUAAUUUGCUUAAUGAUAACAUGCUUGGUAUUCAAUAUUUGUGAAACUUUCUUUUGAGUGUGUUGAAUACUAAGAAAAGUUGGAUGCUUGAUAAUUGUUUUGAGAUAUGGAGGUAGUAAUAUCAAAGUCAUGCUAGUAGAGUAAUUCUGAAUUUGAGAACUGCUUGAGUUAAAGUUUGCAAGUCCCGUAGCAUGCACGUAUGGUAAACGUUAUGCAACAAAUUUGAAACAUGAGGUGUUAUUUGAUUGUCCUCCUUAUGAGUGGCGGUCGGGGACGAGCGAUGGUCUUUUCCUACCAAUCUAUCCCCUAGGAGCAUGCGCGUAAUACUUUGGUUUUUGAUGGCUUGUAGAUUUUUGCAAUAAGUAUAUGAGUUCUUUAUGACUAAUGUUGAGUCCAUGGAUUAUACGCACUCUCACCCUUCCAUCACUGCUAGCCUUUACGGUACAGUGCAUUGCCCUUUCUCACAUCGAGAGUUGGUGCAAACUUCGCCAGUGCAUCCAAACCCCGUGAUAUGAUACGAUCUUUCACACAUAACCCUCCUUAUAUCUUCCUCAAAACAGCCACCAUACCUACCUAUUAUGGCAUAGCCAUUCCGAGAUAUAUUGCCAUGCAACUUUCCACCAUCCAGUUUAUCAUGACACAUCCAUCAUUGUCAUAUUUCUUAGCAUGAUCAUGUAGUUGACAUAGUAUUUGUGGCAAAGCCACCGUUCAUAAUUUUUUCAUACUUGUCACUCUUGAUUCAUUGCAUAUCCCGGUACACCGCCGGAGGCAUCCAUAUAGAGUCAUACUUUGUUCUAGUAUCGAGUUGUAAAUAAAUAAAAGUGUGAUGAUCAUCAUUUAAUAGAGCAUUGUCCCCAAAAAAAGGCCAAAGAAAAAAACAAGGCCCAAAAAAGAGAAAAUAAAUAAAAAGGGGCAAUGCUACUAUUCCGUUUUCCACACUUGUGCUUCAAAGUAGCACCAUGUUCUUCAUAUAGAGAGUCUCUUGAGUUAUCACUUUCAUAUACUAGUGGGAAUUUUCAUUAUAGAACUUGGCUUGUAUAUUCCAACAAUGGGCCUCCUCAAGUGCCCUAGGUCUUCAUGAGCAAGCAAGUUGGAUGCACACCCACUUAGUUUCUUUUGUUGAGCUUCCAUACAUUUAUAGCUCUAGUGCAUCCGUUGCAUGGCAAUCCAACUCCUUGCACUAACAUCAAUCGAUGGGCAUCUCCAUAGCCCAUUGAUUAGUCUCGUUGAUGUGAGACUUUCUCCUUUUUUGUCUUCUCCACAUAAUCCCCAUCAUUAUAUUCUAUUCCACCCAUAGUGCUAUAUCCAUGGCUCACGCUCAUGUAUUGCGUGAAAGUUUAUGAGUUUGAAAUUAUUAAGGUAUGAAACAAUUUCUUGGCUUGUCAUCGGGGUUGUGCAUGAUGAGAGCAUUCUUGUGUGACGAAAAUGGAGCAUGACUAAACUAUAUGAUUUUGUAGGGAUGAACUUUCUUUGGCCAUGUUACUUUAAGAAAACAUAAUUGCUUUGUUGGUUUGCUUGAAGUAUUAUUAUUCUUUAUAUCAAUAUGAACUUUUGUCUUAAAUCUUCCUAAUCUGAAUACUCAUACCACAAUUAAGAAGAUUUGCAUUGAAAUUAUGCCAAGUAGCACUCCGCAUCAAAAAUUAUCUUUUUAUCAUUUACCUACUCGAGGACGAGCAGGAAUUAAGCUUGGGGAUGCCUGAUACGUCUCCAACGUAUCUAUAAUUUUUGAUUGCUCCAUGCUAUAUUAUCUACUGUUUUGGACUAUAUUGGGCUUUAUUUUCCACUUUUAUAUUAUUUUUGGGACUAACCUAUUAACCAGAGGCCCAGCCCAGAAUUGAUGUUUUUUUGCCUAUUUCAGUAUUUCGGAGAAACAGAAUAUCAAACGAAGUCCAAACUGAAUAAAACCUUCGGGAACGUGAUUUUCUCACCGAACGUGAUCCAGGAGACUUGUACCCUACUUAAGGAGUCAAAGAGGCAGUCACGAGGGUGGGGGGCACGCCCACCCCCCUAGGGUGCGCCCCUGCCUCGUGGGCCCCUCGGUGCUCCACCGACGUACUCCUUCCUCCUAUAUAUACCUACGUACCCCCAAACGAUCAGAACAGGAGCCAAAAACCUAAUUCCACCGCCGCAACUUUCUGUAUCCACGAGAUCCCAUCUUGGGGCCUGUUCCGGAGCUCCGCCGGAGAGGGCCGUUGUCGGUGUCAAAACCGGCGGAUCUCGGGUAGGGGGUCCCGAACUGUGCGUCUAGGCCGGAUGGUAACAGGAGGCAAGGGACAUGAAGUUUUACCCAGGUUUGGGCCCUCUCGAUGGAGGUAAAACCCUACGUCCUGCUUGAUUUAUAUUGAUGGUAUGGGUAGUACAAGAGUAGAUCUACCAUGAGAUCGAAGAGGCUAAACCCUAGGAGCUAGCCUAUGGUAUGAUUGUUGACGUGUACGUUGUCCUACGGACUAAAACCCUUCGGUUUAUAUAGACACCGGAUAGGGUUAGGGUUACAUAGAGUCGGUUACAAUAGUAGGAGAUCUACAUAUCCGUAUCGCCAAGCUUGCCUUCCACGCCAAGGAAAGUCCCUCCCGGACACGGGACGAAGUCUUCAAUCUUGUAUCUUCAUAGUCCAGGAGUCCGGCUGAAGGUAUAGUCCGGCUAUCCGAACACCCCCUAAUCCAGGACUCCCUCGGUAGCCCCUGAACCAGGCUUCAAUGACGACGAGUCCGACGCGCAGAUUUUCUUCGGCAUUGCAAGGCGGGUUCCUCCUCCAAGUACUUCAUAGAAGAUUUUGAACACAAAGAUAGUAUCCGGCUCUGCAAAAUAAGUUUCCACAUAUUGCCAUAGAGAGAAUAAUAUUUACACCAAUCUAAUCUGCUGACAUAUUCCGUAGCGUGACACACCACGGCCAAGCCUUUAUCCGAGUCAUUUCAUUAUCCCACCUCAGCGCGUUAUGCGAGGCGGUUUCCUUGGCACGUCUUGUUAAAGCAGUGAUCGUGUCCCCUUAUCCUGGGAUUCUCAUCAAUACGGGCGUGGGUAACCCAACCGCGCCAUUGAUUACGGCGCUUGGAGAUAAGCGAGUUUUACCAGGCUGGUGGGGACAUGUAGUUGGGUCCACCCAUAUAAGGGGAUAAGGAUCCACCUUUUCACCUACGCCUUCUUCCUCCUUCGCCUAUCCAUUUUUGUGCACUCGAGCUCCAGCGCCCAAAUCUGCACUCCCCACCUCAACCUUCUCCAGCCAUGUCUGGAGCGGGAGGCAAGUGGAUGGUCUCCUCCGUCACGGAGGGACAUAUCAAAAAGCUGAGGAAGGCCGGAUACCUGUCUAACGAUAUCGCGUACCGGCUCCCCGAAAAGGGGCAGCUCAUCCCCACCCCUAGGCCCCAUGAGAGGGUGGUGUUCCUCCCCCAUUUCCUCCGCGGACUGGGCUUCCCUCUCCACCCAUUUGUCCGGGGGCUCAUGUUCUACUACGGCCUGGAUUUCCACGAUCUAGCCCCAAACUUUGUCCUCAACAUCUCAGCGUUUAUCGUCGUGUGCGAGGCCUUCCUCCGCAACCGCCCCCAUUUCGGCCUAUGGCUCAAGACUUUCAAUGUCAAGCCGAAGGUGGUGCGCGGCAACCAGGCAGAGUGCGGAGGUGCCAUGGUGGGCAAGAUGGCCAAUGUCCUAUGGCUCGAGGGCUCCUUUGUGGAGACCCUGAAGGGGUGGCAAUCGGGGUGGUUUUACAUCACCGAGCCACGUGACACCGAAUGGGUCGCACCCCCCGAGUUUUGAUCCGGACCCCCCACGUGGCUCACCUCCUGGAAGGAGAGGGGCCUGUCUUGGGGUAAAAAAGGAGAGCUGACCGGACUCCAAACAUGCAUCCAAACCCUGGCGGACAAGAAGCUCAAACUUGUCACAUAGUCCAGGUUAUGCUCAUCCGCCUGAUCCUCCCGUGUUAACAACGGGCUUUCAACCUGUGGGAGUUCGACCCGGCGCGGCACGGCACCAAACUCUGAGCAGGCUCUUUGACACGACAUACGAAGAUGCCUGGAAGGUGCUUUUCAAAGGCGCCGAGGCUCCCGCGUCCACUACCGAGGAUCGCGGAUUCAGUGCCCAGCAUCACGCUCUCGCGGUAAGAUGUUUUUUUCCUUUUAUAGGGUAUCAGUUUUUCAUAGUUUGACUCCAUGCGGGAUCUAAGCUCCCUUACCUCUGACAGGAUUGGCAGGUGACGUCCGGACAGAUCAACUGUCCGUCUGCUUUGCCCGAAGGCCCAGCGGACGCCCGCUUGGCGAAGCUGCUGGUUCCGGCACCCUAUGUGGUGCCGGAGAAGAAGGCUGUGAAAAAGGCCGUGGGGACUCGAAAGAGUGCCCGGCGCCAGGAGGUGUCGGAUCCAUCAUCCGAUGGUUCCGAGGCGCAUUCCUCCCAUGAAGACGAGGAGGAAGAAGAGGAGAACUCUCCCCCUCCAGCGGGAGGAGAGAAGAAAAGGAAGGUCGCCCUCUCUGGGGAGGCCGGAGGGUCCAAGAAGGGGAAAACCCUUCCUCCGGACUACUCCACCGACGCCGACGGCGGAGAGGAGUGGCAGCCCAGGGCCAAGCCCCUGGCAAAAUCGUAAGUAUCCGGAUACAAGAGUAAUUCAUAGUAUUCGUUUAUUGCACAGCUUUCCCUUACAUCGAAUAUGUUUAUGCAGCCCACCCAAAGACCGGCUCGACGCGUCAUCGAGCAGCUCAUUGGACUCGUNNNNNNNNNNNNNNNNNNNNNNNNNNNNNNNNNNNNNNNNNNNNNNNNNNNNNNNNNNNNNNNNNNNNNNNNNNNNNNNNNNNNNNNNNNNNNNNNNNNNNNNNNNNNNNNNNNNNNNNNNNNNNNNNNNNNNNNNNNNNNNNNNNNNNNNNNNNNNNNNNNNNNNNNNNNNNNNNNNNNNNNNNNNNNNNNNNNNNNNNNCACCGAAGUGUUGUCCCAACAGGUUCCAAGCCGGGAGGAGGUGGUCCUGGAGGCGUCGCAAGGCGACCUCCCGGACUCCAGGAGUAAAGGGGAUGAAACCCCCCAGGGCUCCAAGUCCGGCUCUAGGCCGGACACCGCUCCAGAACCUUCAAAGGUUCCAGAGUCCGGUGGUGGACCUCCUUCCAAGAGGAGCAAGUCCACUGUGCCGGCGGCCCCCGUCCAACCGGAGGCGCCGGACAAUAUGUUGGAGGCGCUCCAAGGCACCUCCAUCGACGAGGAGCACCGCACUAUUAUGAGUGCGGUGGUCCAGAAGGUUCAGUCCGCCAAGAGCGGACUGACUGAAGCUUGUACUAGCCUUUUGACAGGCUUUGAGGUAAGUAAAGAAUGUGUAAAUAAUACUAUCGCAUAGACAGUAGCCCCUGAUGCUCUCUUUGGCGUUCGGGAAGAAAAGCCGAAUAGAGGAUCAAAUAGAAUUCGCAGGAGUCUAACAAAAGUGAGUCAAUAUGCAUAUGCAGGCUUCCCUGCUUGCGUCUGCCGCACUGACUGCGGAAGUGGACACGCUAAAGCAGAACCUCGAGCGGUCCGAGCAAGAGCUCGGGCGUGCCAAGAAGCAGCUCGAGGAUAAUGAAGGUAAGAAAUACCUUGCUUUUAAAUAUAUAUAAAAAGGUACAAUUGCAAAGAAUGACAGGAUUAUCAUGGCUAUUUUAGGGGCCACAUCUGAAGUGGCGACCCUUAAGCAAGCGCUGGUCGAGGCCGAGAAGAGGGCGGCCUCAGAGCACACCGAGUGGGAGAAGUAUGAGGCCGAGGUUGGCAAGGUGAGGCAAGAGCUCCAGGCUCUCAUGGAAAAACAUGAGAGUUUGGAGCUUGACUCAAAGAUGCGAGCGUCCGAGCUCGCGGUGGCUAUUGAAAAUGCCAAGUCUGCCAAGGCCGAAUCCCAGAAGACCCUCCAGGAGUUGGAUGAGGUGAAGAAGAUAGCGGCGGGUAAGGCAUUCUUUAUGCAAAGCAAACACAUAAACGUGAGUUACUUGUUACUUACCCGAAUCCAGAGCUCUCCAGGAACGUUUGCAGAUCUUCCCCGGAGUGUGUCCGAUGCCGCCGCAUUCUAUCGAGCCGAGGAGGGCAGCUCGACAGAGAAGGUGUUCUGGUCUCAGUAUGCUGAGGACGGACACCCCGUGCCCCUGAGCGACCAGCUGAAGCAACUAGUCGAGCUCCACAAGGCGGCUGAACAGGCCAUGAAGGGCCUCAUUGUUCGGUUGUGGCCUGGAGGGGCUCUUCCUGGGAGCUAUUUCGGGCUGGUGCGGCGGUUGGUGGAGGCCUGUCCAAGGCUCGAAGUCAUCAAGCGCUCCGUCUGCAUUGAAGGUGCCCGUAGGGCCCUUGCCCAUGCUAAGGUGCACUGGGGCAAGCUGGAUGCUGAGAAGCUGGUGAAGGACGGGCCACCGCCGGGGAAAGAGCAUCGCAAGCCCGAGAAUUACUAUAAGGAUGUUCUAAAGGGUGCCUGCCUUGUGGCGGAUGAAUGUUCUAGGGAUGUAAUUUUUGAGUGAGACUUGCUCGUUUUGUCCUAUGCGCUGAAAACUUGUUUAUAUGCGCUAAGCAAUGCUGUUGGAAUUUAAAAUAUUACCUUAUGUGCGGCUGUUUAUCAAUUCUGAGAGAUGGCGAGUCGUCGGCUUCUGCCCCCGUGCCGCUAGUGCUGGGGUGUUCGGGGAUAAACCUGAGCGCUCUUUUUCCCAUGUUUGGGUCCUUCGAGGGAGGCGCUCAGCCCAACCAACAAGGCAAUCAGACUAUAAUGUGUGAACACUCUCACUUAGCGAUAGAAUUCUAUAAUUUUAAAUUUCGGCGAAGCCCCUGGUAUUUGCAAGACCAAGUUCCGGGCGCUAUCCACGCCCUGGCCGGACAGAGCCGGCUCCUCACCCUAAGCGGCAUAUGUCUUUAGGGACUCUAAAAACCUCUCGAACAGCGACCAACUCUCGCUUCAUCAUGACAGUCAGUUUUAGCUUUCUCCACUAAAGUGCUCGACCCAGCUCAACUGGGGCACAAUGGUAGUGGUUCUCCUAGUGCUACCUUAGCCGAUAUAGCGGAACGUAAGGCACCAAAACAUAGGAGCCGGGCAAACCCAACUAUUGACCCAAGACAUGAUUCGGAGCCGAUGCAUAUAAUGCUAUAAGUUCGGGGUGCCGCACUUGUUAAAGUGUUCUGACUUCUCACACCAUAUUGAGGGGUACUAAAGCCCCUGGCGUAUUUUGGCCGUACCAACGUGUACGGGUGCAACAUGUCGUUAAGGAACAUAUAUAAAGAAAAAAGGUAAUGCAAAAAUAGACGAAAGCUAUGCAUUGUUUAUUAAAAAGGGCUGCGAUCAAAGCAGAACGAUACAAAUAAUGCGAUAAGUGGAAGGUUGGACUAGUUAACAUGUCCGUUCCAGGGGCAAGCUGCGGAAUAGUAUGCGGAACAGGUAUACCGCUCGUGAUAGAGACCACCUGGGAGUUCUGUACUGCGGCGUGGCUUGUCUGCUUCCCUGGUUCUUGCAUCGUUUGUGCGGCAAUUGAACUGGCGAACAGGCCUUCCGAAGGAUGGAGUCCUGAAAGUAAGAUAAAAUUAAAAAAAUCGGCAGCCCCUGGUAUGGUUUAAGCCGUAUUUUUGGCCGUGACGUCAUGGUGCCCCUCCCCCUGUACCCAUGGUAUCUCUAGAGCGUAGUUAUGUACGCGAAGUACUGGCGUCGCCUUUUUGCGAGGGUUGGGGUUGGGGCCGCAUUGCUACGCCUGCUCGGAUCGUGCCAGGAGGUCUUGUUGUAGGUUACUCUGGGCGCGCUUCACGGUGUCCGGUCGUUUAGUGGCUGGACAGGAGAACUGCCUGCAGAGGCUGCUCUGUACUUGCGCUGCAAGGGCCGCCGUGUGCUCCUCCGUUCGGAGGGAGCGUUCGGUGUUUCCAUUGACCAUAAUUACUCCUCGAGGGCCUGGCAUCUUGAGCUUAAGGUAUGCAUAGUGCGGUACCGCAUUGAACUUAGUGAAUGCGGUUCGCCCGAGCAGUGCGUGAUAACCACCGCGAAACGGGACUAUGUCGAAGAUUAACUCCUCGCUUCAGAAAUUAUCCGGAGAUCCGAAGACCACUUCAAGUGUGACUGAGCCUGUACAGUUGGCCUCUACACCUGGUAUUAUGCCUUUAAAGGUCGUUUUGGUGGGCUUAAUCCUCGAGGGAUCUAUGCCCAUUUUCCGCACUGUAUCCUGGUAAAGCAGGUUCAGGAUGCUGCCGCCGUCCAUAAGGACUCUGGUGAGAUGAAAUCCGUCAAUAAUUGGGUCUAGGACCAAUGCGGCGAAUCCGCCAUGACGGAUGCUAGUGGGAUGGUCCCUUCGAUCAAAGGUGAUCGGGCAGGAGGACCAUGGGUUGAACUUUGGCGCGACUGGCUCUACCGCGUAUACGUCCCUUAACGCGCACUUCCGCUCCCUUUUCGGGACGUGGGUUGCGUAUAUCAUGUUCAGCGUCCGCACUUGUGGGGGAAAACCCUUCUGUCCACUGUUGUUCGGUGGCCGGGGCUCCUCGUCGUCAUCGCUAUGCAGCCCCUUGUCUUCAUUUUCGGCGUUCAACUUGCCUUCCUGCUUGAACACCCAACAAUCCCUGUUGGUGUGAUUGGCCGGCUUUUCGGGGGUGCCAUGUAUCUCGCACAAGUGGUCGAGUAUUCAGUCCAAACUGGACGGGCCCCUAGGAUUCCUUUUGAAUGGCUUUUUCCGCUGACCGGAUUUAGAGCCUCUGAAUCCGGCAUUGACUGUUGUAUCCUCCGCAUUGUCGCCGUUAAUGCGGCGCUUCUGCUUGUUGCGACGCGACCUGCCACUACUGUCCCUGGUGUCCGAAUUACCAGGGUUCUUGGUCAUAUUGUUGUUACGAGCAAGCCAGCUGUCUUCCCCCGCGCAAAAGCGGGUCAUGCGUGUCGUGAGUGCUGCCAUAGAUUUCGGCUUUUCCUGUCCAAGGUGCCGGGCCAGCCACUCGUCACGGAUAUUGUGCCUGAAGGCUGCUAGGGCCUCAGUGUCCGGACAGUACUAUGUGAUUUUUCUUUGUUAGGAACCGUGUCCAGAAUUUCCUGGUCGAUUCCUCUGGCUGCUGAAUUACGUAACUUAGGUCGUCGGCGUCUGGGGGUCGCACAUAAGUGCCCUGGAAAUUGUCGAGGAAUGCGGCUUCUAGGUCCUCCCAACAACGGAUUGACCCUGUUGGCAAGCUGUUAAGCCACUGCUGAGCUGGUCCUUUAAGCUUGAGUGGGAGGUAUUUGAUGGCGUGGAAAUCAUCGCCACGGGCCAUGUGGAUAUGAAGGAGAUAAUCCUCGAUCCAUACCGCACGAUCUGUUGUGCCAUCAUAUGAUUCGAUGUUUACGGGUUUGAAACCCUCGGGGAUUUGAUGAUCCAUUAUUUCGUCUAUAAAGCAUAGUGGGUGUGCGGCGCCUCUAUACUGGGCGAUAUCAUGACGUAGCUCCAAUGAGCUGUGUUCGGCCCUGCCGAAUUUGUGGCCGGCGUGACGGUUAGUGUCGGUGUCAAAACCGGCGAAUCUCGGGUAGGGGGUCCCGAACUGUGCGUCUAGGCCGGAUGGUAACAGGAGGCAAGGGACAUGAAGUUUUACCCAGGUUCGGGCCCUCUCGAUGGAGGUAAAACCCUACGUCCUGCUUGAGUAAUAUUGAUGAUAUGGGUAGUACAAGAGUAGAUCUACCAUGAGAUCGGAGAGGCUAAACCCUAGAAGCUAGCCUAUGGUAUGAUUGUUGUUCUGUAUGGUGUAUCGACUAGCAUAGCCCUGGUUUAUAUAAUGCACCAGAGGCCUAGUGUUAACAAGAGUCCUAGCCGAAUAUGCCAGUGGGGAGAAGUCCUUGUCUUGAUCGCCAAGUCUUUGUGGAAUCUUCCUUGUAUGCGGCAGCUGUCUGAACUGGCCCAUGAGUAUACGGCCAUGGGGGGCCUCGGCCCAAUCUAAUAUAUCGGGAGACGACGUGGUGAGUACCCCCUAGUCCAGGACACCGUCAGUAGCCCCCUGAACCAGUCUUCAAGUUAGGGACGCUCCAUGAUUCUUUCGAGAUGUUCUUCAUCUUCGGUCGUCGGUCUUGAAAACUGGUUCAACAAAUCUUCUUUAUCUUUGAUCUUGAGGAUCGCCGAAAUGCAUUCGCCGAGUUUACACGUCGGGUAUCCGAGGAGCCCCUUUAAGUUUCCGGCCUUUACCAAUGCCUUGUUAUGUUUAUGCCACACCUCGGGUUUGAAUUUGUUCCCGGCUGGCAGCGUCCUCUUGCGUCCGAGCUCCAACGCCGGAUUGUAUUCGAGGUAUCUUUUGCAACCGAGCACCAAUGCCGGACCGCUUCCCAGCUCUAACGCCGGAAUGUAUCCGAGCUCCAACGCCGAAUGUAUCCGAGCUCCAACGCCGGACUGUAUAUCCGAGCUCCAACGUCGGACUGUAUCCGAGGUGUCGUAAAUCACCUUGGUUCAAAGAAGUUUGAAGGAGUUUAGCCGAGCUUAAUGCCGGAAAUGCCCUCUAUGGAGCCAGCCACUAGCGCCCGAGCUUUAUGCCGGGCUGCUUCCGAGGUGGUGCACCACCCCGAAUGUGGGCCGAUUUUUGUGAAUAUUUUUUAUUGGUGCAAUUUAUUCUCUGCCGAGAUAUAUAGCCAGUAGCCCUCAAGGUGUGUAUCGGUCUAAAACCCGAGAUGCACCUGAAGGAUGACAUAAGACUGCUGAUCCCAAUAGCCGCUGAGACUCAGGUUGAUUUGCAAAAUGGGCCUGAGGAUCAAGUCCAAGCUCGGCUGAAUACUUCGGGACACUAAAAGCGGUGUGCUCAGUCCUCGAGACUCAGGUUGGGUGCGGCCGACCAACCUGAGGAUCAAAAUCUCCUCGGAAACUAUAUUGCACAUAAAAUUUUCUGCAUUGGACAAGCAAUGCAGUAGCCCCCGAGACACUGGUCGGGUGGUAACACCAGAUCAGGGGAUCAAUGUGCCCCUUUAGUAUUUGUAAAUAAUAAGCCCGAAGCCCAGUAGCCCCCGAGCAUUAAUGCGGGCACGGGUGGCCGAAUUAAGUUUCAAUAUCCAUAGUAAAAUCACAAAUUAUGUGUAAUGACUCUAUGUAUCCAAGUACUUUACGUCAUUAAUGCUCAGAUCCGCAUUGUACAAAACUUUGUUGACCGACCAUCGGCUUCCACCUCCUCGGCCAGUAGCCGAGGAGUGUUUGUCCUACUUUAUAAAGCCUUUAUGAGGGCAAAGAUUUACAACAAACAAGGCAAUCUGGCUAGACGGUUUUAUAAACAAAGGUACGCAGAGAGAUAUAUUACUGUUUAACAGAAGAAAUGUCUUCCAAAGAAAAUAGUCUCGCUAUCGGUUCCUUUCUUUGGGUUGUCAUGCUAAGCAUGAUCAUUAAACCACAGCUCUAAUGUAAGAGCAAAAUAUUGAGGAUUUAGUUUGGGAGGCCAGUUAAUAGCCCCCGGUAGAGUUCGGCGACAAUCGGGGUCAAGCCGUAAACACUUCGGCCAAAGUUAUGAACGGCCCAUCAUUUAACAUAGUCAUCGGAUCGCUGACCAGUUUACGCUUAUUGUGAAAGUCAGUUUUUGGCUUUCUCCACUGAGGUGCUUAACCAUGUGAGCUGGAAGCACAAUCGCAGUGGUUCUCCCUUUGCACGCCUAGCCGAACAAAACGGAACGUAGGAAGCAACUGCAGGAGCCGGGCAACCCAACUAUUGACCGAAGACACAAUUCGAAACCGAUGCAUAUAUAGAAAUAUCUGAGAAUGUUUUUGCCGAAUCCCUAAAGGUGUUCGGCGUUGCACUGCGAGACUAAUGCUGGAAAAGCACAAAUAGUUUAAAAGUGCCAAAAAGCUUGGAAAACCAAGAAACGUCAGUAAAAACAUGACGUCCGAACAAUAUCAAGUGUUCGGUGCCAAUCCGAAAGUUGGUCUUAGAAAAAAGAAGUGUUUCUAUCGUGCUUUAACAUGAUAUAUCCUAUCUCAAGACUUCGAGCGGGUCAGCCUACGGCUUCAACCUCCUAUCCCGAGGGCGGAGUACUUCUCAUCAGGCCAGUUUAGCAAACUAAACUCUAGCGGCUUUGAGAGAGAAAUUAGGCUCCCCGGCUAGUGACCGCACACUCGUGUCGAAAAAAGGUGUGAUAAAUAAUAAUAAAAAAACUUUGCAACGACUAAGAAGAAGAACACUUAUUAUAGAACGGCUCAAAUAAACUUAAGAGCCCCCAAGUGACUUGGGUAGAAGAAUGAUUGCAUGUACCGAAGUACUUAUAUCAUAUCUAUGUUCAACCGAACUUUAAACGCGUCUUGACCGACCGUCAGCUUCUCCCUCUUUAGUCAAGGACUGAAAAGUGUUAUGUACUCCAUCGGUCGAGAAUAUCGACGGUGUUUCCAAUAACCAGGCAAUCAGGCCAUAAGGCUGUAACAAACAAAGCGCGCUCAGGGAACUUAUGCUAUAUUACCGUGAAGUGUAAGAAGCAUCUUCGAAGAAAAUAGUACCCCCACCGAUACCUUUCUUCGGUGCUCAUUGUUAUUAUGAGACUUGUGCAAUAGAUUUUUUGUACUCAUGAGUUCCGAUGUGUGCCGACCAUCAUUGAAAACUAUAAGAGCGCUAGCUUUCGGCUUCACCCAGUCUGAGGUCCGGCUCGGGUGACCCGAUCGUGACAAUCGCAGAGGUGAUCCCUUUACUCCCUAGCCGAACAAUCGGGAGCGUAGGGGUAAACGCAGGAGCGAGGCAACCCAGCUUGCAAAUCGCUUAAGUCAAUAUGGUGCAUAUUGUGGCGUAAUACACGAACAAGGAACGAAGCCGUACAAGUAUAAUCAUUUGCAAGUGGAAAAGCUUCAUAAAGGAAGCCCCCAAAUGAAUUGGGUAUUUGAAUUUAUGCGUCACAAACAAAGUUUGGACAAGGAAAUUUUUUACACGCAACUUUUUUCCAAGAAAGUAUAAUGCUUGGUCGAACCGAACACAAGUUAGAAAUUAAAGCUUUGAGCAUGAAAGCGACUUAGCUGGUUAAUGUGUUCGGUAUUGAUGAUGCGGUUUGAGCUUGAUGUGGGGCAAGGUUCCAUCCCCCAAGCUGGUCCCGAGGUGGUGGAGCGAAGAGCUCGUGUCGGGGGUUUGGUGCGACAUAUGCCAACGGAUGGCUUAUCAUGGUGGCGGCGAGUAGAACAUCGCCGGUGCCUGGAAACGGGAUGAGGCGAAGACAUGCACGCCGGUGAAUCUUACCCAGCUUCGGGGCUCUCCGGGGAGAUAAUACCCCUACUGCUGCUCUGCGUGGUGUCCGCAUGAUCACUAUGGUCAAGAGUUUACACGGUUGCUCCUUGAGCUGUGUCUGGUGGUAGGAGAGGGCAAGGCUAGCUCUCUCCUCCUAUCUGGUAUGGUAUAGAACUACUGGCAUCCAACCCUUUGCAUGGGUGCCCUGGGGGCUUAUAUAGGCCUACCCCCCAGGGGUACAAUGGUAAUUCGACUGGGCGCGGGCCCAGCCGUCAGUGCCUCCGACCUCCGACUUCUCCGCUGACUGCUGGGGCCCGCCGACUGGUGGGCCCCGCCGACUGGUCUGGUACGGAGCCGAUAGGCCGCGUCCGCCGCGGGCGUGUCUUGCCGGCUGCUGAUUACUGUAGUCGUGCUCCUGAUGACGCAAGCUUGGUCAUGGGGUCGUGGCAAUAGCCCCGCCGCCUGGCGGGCCAUCAAUCUGGCCACUCUCCAUCUCUUCUUGAUUAAUGGUGCGUGGGCCCUGGGGAAGGGCUCGGCCGACUCCCCCGGGCCGACUCCCGACGGGUCCGACUGGCGAUUCUCCUGCCGUCUCCCGAGGUCUUGCUGACUGGUGGGCCCCGCUGCCUCCAGGCCGUACAGACAAGCCGUCGUGGGCGCAGGACCCGGUACAGUGGUGCUGAUGUCAGGGCCGGCCGGGUAACAGUGCCAUGCCACAGGGAGGUCUUCCCUAGUACGGCGUGCUGUAGCCAUGCCUACCCUUGGUAAGGGGCGGGGAGUGGGCUUCAUUGUAGCCACGCCCCUGCCCCGUCCCCUUCGAUGAGGUCACGGUUUGUUGGAGUCGCCGGCCGACUCCCCAAAGCCGGCUUCUCUGGAAGUCGCCCCUGGGACUCGGCCGUGAGUGGGCAGUCGGCCAUCUUGCCGUAGACUCCCCAGGAGGCGGCUCUUCGCCCUGUGGUCUUGAGGGGCGCAGCCUACCCCGAUGUCUUGAAAGGUUUGGGGCUCGGGUUGGCCUACCCGUGGCCCAUUACUCCGACAGUAGUCCCCGAAGCUGGUGAGGCACCACGGACGAUCGGCCGAGAAGCCUCAGCAGUUUCUCUUUCCGGGUGCUCAACACAUGGUCUUGAUUGACUUCUGUCGGGCUGACUAGAAGGAGUCGAACUCGCCCAACUCGGACUCCAUCAAUUCCGACUUGCUCAGUAGUUCGAACGUCGCGGCGGGAUUUCAAGUGCCGUGCUAGCUAAGCUUCCAGGCUGCCGCCCGUUCUUGGCCUGUCACGCGAGGGCAUGUGCCAGGCCGUCCUGCCAGCCCACGCGCGCGACGGGACAGGCCCGUAGGCAGGGCCCGCCACUACCACGCCUCGGCGCCCGAGCAGAUCCGCUGCGGCCCCGGUGGACGGUUGGGAUUCCCGUGAAGUUACUACACGCAGUAACUUUACACGGAUCGUGGGGUUGCGGGCACAGUAAAUCCCCACGUCCGCCCCCUCGGCUUCGCAGCCCACGGGGCUAUAAGUAGGGGGAAGAGGGGGGCACGCGUGCCCCUCCUUCCCACUACCCCUUUCUUUCUUCCUCCUCGCAGCUCCUCGCUCUCCUGCUUCCUCUUCUCUUCUUCGCUGCGCCGCACGCCCAGGCUCCGGUGAACGCUGCGGUGACAGCUCGUGAUGAGUUCUUCCUCCACUGCCGCGCCUCCCCCAGUGCGCUCCGGCACCUGGGACGGCUCCGAAGUCCACGAAGACCAUAUCGAGUUCCUCCGCUGGACACGUCGGCUUCCCGGCGAAGAUCGUGUGCAGGUGCGUCUUGCACCGGCGGGGGAGAUUUCCCCCGCCCCGCAGGAGGGCGAGCGGGUCAUCUUUCGCUCGCACUGCCUGCACGGGCUGGGGCUGCCAGCGAGCAGCUUUUUCGGUCGUUCAUGGAGUUCUACCGCCUCUAGCCGCACCACCUCACCCCCAAGAUAGUGGUGCUGCUGUCCGCCUUCGUGGCUCUGUGCGAAGGCUUCCUCGGAGUCCUCCCCACCCUGGAGCUCUGGGGGGAGUUCUUUUUCUCCAAGCUCGGCACCCAGACCGCGGGUGUGCCGGCUCAGUGCGUCGCCUUCAUCGCCGUGCGAAGGACAGGAGCCGACAACCACUUCCCAUCCAUCUCGCUACUGAAGUCGGUGAAGAUGUGGCAGAGGUCCUACUUCUACGUCAGGAACGUCGCCACGAGGGGCGACCGGGUCAAUCUGCCGGCUUUCGAAGCUGGCCCGCCGGCUGGGAGAUUGCCCAACUGGUCGUACUGGGCCAGGUCGCUGACGCCUGCGGUUGCUUGAGGGCAAUGUUGACGUUGAGCCCCCGAGCUUCAUAGAUGAUUCCUCCGUGAUCUUGAUAGAGAUCGGAGUUGAUGUUUGAUGAAGGCCCUCGUCCGAACAUGGUGAUCCGAACACGGGGUGAAAUUCUUGGUCGAACCAAGGUGACCAGUCGAACUGGUGACGAAGACGCCGAAGUCGCAGUUGAUCUACAGGCGAGCCAUCGAUCCUUUUGUCGAUCAUACAGCGGAACUCUCAAUGAAAGCACCAAUGUCCGUGUCAAAACCGGCGGAUCUCGGUUAGGGGGUCUCGAACUGUGCGUCUAGGCCGGAUGGUAACAGGAGGCAAGAGACACGAAGUUUUACCCAGGUUCAGGCCCUCUCGAUGGAGGUAAAACCCUAUGUCCUGCUUGAUUAAUAUUGAUGAUAUGGGUAGUACAAGAGUAGAUCUACCACGAGAUCGGAGAGGCUAAACCCUAGAAGCUAGCCUAUGGUAUGAUUGUUGUUCUGUAUGUUGUAUCGACUAGCCUAGCCCUGGUUUAUAUAAUGCACCAGAGGCCUAGUGUUAACAAGAGUCCUAGCCGAAUACGCCGGUGGGGAGAAGUCCUUGUCUUGAUCACCAAGUCUUUGUGGAAUCUUCCUUGUAUGCGGUAGCUGUCCGAACUGGCCCAUGAGUAUACGACCAUGGGGGGCCUCGGCCCAAUCUAAUAGAUCGGGAGACGACGUGGUGAGUACCCCCUAGUCCAGGACACCGUCAGUUACCUUCUCGAGCCGUGGGGCGCCCACGCGAUCCGUAGAUCGAGCGUGUUUGCCUUGCCUUGUCCUCCAACAUGUCUCGUAAGUCCGGCGCAUAUUCUCGUGCCUUGAUACGGGGUGCGGCUUGAGUGGAGGGCCGGGAGGCCUCUCUGUCGCGGCCAUGAGGUGGCCGGUCGGCCGCAUCAAGUGCUUCCUCCUCUAACCGGGGUAGCAACCUGUGCUUUGGGUAGCUCUUGGAGGGGCGUUCGAGUUUAUGCUCUUCGGCCGCAAGGACUUCAGUCAAUCUGUCGACCAGCAAAUCUUGAUCAGCUCUAAGUUGUUGCUUUUUUUUCUUGAGGCUUCUUGUCGUGGCCAUAAGCCUGCGUUGAAAAUACUCUUGCUCGACGGGAUCCUCUGGCAUGAUGAAUUCAUCGUCGUCGAGGCUUGCCUCGUCUUCGGAGGGAGGCAUAUAAUUAUCGUCCUCGACCUCUCUGUCUGCCGCUCUCUCAUGAGGGUUGGUUUCUCCAUCCUCCUGUGCUAAGUCUUGCUGGAGGGGGUUUUCUUCGGCACUUUCCGGAGUAUUAUUAUCUCCCAUGCUGGAAUCGCCGUAUUUGUUUUGGCGGGAUUUUGAGCGGCUCCGCUGACGCCGGCGCUUACUCUGUUUCUUGGAGGGAUCCUCCUCCGCUGUUCCAUCGCCAUCUCCCUCUUUUGGGGUGUCCACCAUGUAUAUGUCAUAUGACGAGGUGGCUUUCCAGGGCCUAGUAGGCGCUGGUUCUUCAUCAUCUCCUUCAUCGGCAUCCAUACCGUCGAUGUCUUCGGUGUCGAAGUCGAGGAUGUCGGUUAAGUCGUCGACAGUGGCUACAAAGUGGGUGGUGGGUGGGCUUUGAAUUUCUUCAUCGUCCGUACCCCAACCUUGCUGACCGUAGUCCGGCCAGGGCUCUCCUGAUAAAGAGAGAGACUUCAGUGACUUCAGGAUAUCGCCGAAAGGCGAGUGCUGAAAGAUGUCCGCGGCAGUGAACUCCAUAAUUGGCGCCCAAUCGGAGUCGAUUGGCAGGGACGUGGAGGGUUCGGAGUCCGGCUCCUUGGAGUCACGAGUCUCGUAGAGUACGGGGCUAGUGUUCGGCUCAAUCACCAUUGGGGUCGCAGCCCCCGGGGUGGCGUCCAACCGCCCAUCCUCGAUCGGCGCAGUUGGCUCCGAAUUAAGGGUUGGAGCCGAUGCGGGUGCGGCCUCCAGGGCACUGUUCGGCGGCAGAGCUAGAUCAUGCUCGUCAUGACAGUGCGGCGCGCUCGGCAGUGGCUCGAAUCCGUCGAAGAUCAAGUCCCCGCGGAUGUCCGCCGUGUAGUUUAAACUUCCAAAUCUGACCUGACGGCCAGGGGCGUAGCUUUCCAUCUGCUCCAGACAGCCAAGAGAAUUGGCCCGCAGUGCGAAGCCGCCGAAGACGAAGAUCUGUCCGGGGAGGAAGGUCUCACCCUGGACUGCAUCGCUAUCGAUGAUCGUAGGAGCCAUCGAGCCUGACGGCGACGACACAGAGGAACUCUCAAUGAAAGCACCAAUGUCGGUGUCAAAACUGGCGAAUCUCGGGUAGGGGGUCCCGAACUGUGCGUCUAGGCCGAAUGGUAACAGGAGGCAAGGGACACGAAGUUUUACCCAGGUUCGGGCCCUCUCGAUGGAGGUAAAACCCUACGUCCUGCUUGAUUUAUAUUGAUGAUAUGGGUAGUACAAGAGUAGAUCUACCACGAGAUCGAAGAGGCUAAACCCUAGGAGCUAGCCUAUGGUCUGAUUGUUGAUGUGUAUGUUGUCCUACGGACUAAAACCCUUCGGUUUAUAUAGACACCGGAUAGGGUUAGGGUUACAUAGAGUCGGUUACAAUGGUAGGAGAUCUACAUAUCCGUAUCGCCAAGCUUGCCUUGCACGCCAAGGAAAGUCCCUCCCGGACACGGGACGAAGUCUUCAAUAUUGUAUCUUCAUAGUCCUGGAGUCCGACUGAAGGUAUAGUCCGGCUAUCCGAACACCCCCUAAUCCAGGACUCCUUCAGCCGUCAUCACGGAGGGCUUCUACAUCAUCAUCGCCCCUCCGAUGAAGUGUGAGUAGUUUACCUCAGACCUUCGGGUCCAUAGUUAGUAGCUAGAUGGCUUUUUCUCUCUUUUUGGAUCUCAAUACAAAGUUCUCCCCCUCUCUUGUGGAGAUCUAUUCGAUGUAAUCUUCUUCUUUUUGCGGUGUGUUUGUUGAGAUCGAUGAAUUGUGGGUUUAUGAUCAAGUCUAUCUAUGAAUAAUAUUUGAAUCUUCUCUGAAUUAUUUUAUGUAUAAUUGGUUAUCUUUGCAAGUCUCUUCGAAUUAUCUGUUUGGUUUGGCCAACUAGAUUGGUAGUUCUUGCCAUGGGAGAAGUGCUUAGCUUUGGGUUCGAUCUUGCGGUGUCCUUUCCCAGUGACAGAAGGGGCAGCAAGGCACGUAUUGCAUCGUUGCCAUCGAGGAUAACAAGAUGGGGUUUAUUUCAUAUUGCAUGAAUUUAUCUCUCUACAUCAUGUCAUCUUGCUUAAAGUGUUACUCUGUUUUUAACUUAAUACUCUAGAUGCAUGAUGGAUAGCGGUCGAUGAGUGGAGUAAUAGUAGUAGAUGCAGAAUCAUUUUGGUCUACUUUUCACGGACGUGAUGCUUAUAUACAUGAUCAUGCCUAGAUAUUCUCAUAACUAUGCUCAAUUCUGUCAAUUGCUCAACAGUAAUUUGUUCACCCAUCGUAGAAUACUUAUGCUCUUGAGAGAAGCCACUAGUGAAACCUAUGGCCCCCGGGUCUAUUCUCUUCAUAUCAAUCUCCAUCACUUUAAUCUUGCUUUGCUUUUUUACUUUGCCUUUUACUUUUCACUUUGCAUCUCUAUACCAAAAAUAUUAUAUCUAUUAGAUCUCACUCACAUAAGUGAUCGUGAAGGGAUUGACAACCCCUAAUCGCGUUGGUUGCGAGUAGCUAUCGUUUUGUGCAGGUACGAGGGACUUGAGCGUGGCCUCCUACUAGAUUGAUACCUUGGUUCUCAAAAACUGAGGGAAAUACUUACGCUACUCUGCUGCAUCAUCCUUUCCUCUUCGGGGAAAUCCAACGCAAGCUCAAGAGGUAGCAAUAAGGAUUUCUGGCGCCGUUGCCGGGGAGUCUACGCAAAAAGUCAAUAUACCAAGUACCCAUCACAAUCCCUAUCUCUCGCAUUACAUUAUUUGCCAUUUGCCUCUUGUUUUCCUCUCCCCCCAAUUCACCCUUGCCGUUUUAUUUGCCCUCUCUCUCUAUCCUCCCUCUCUGUUUCCUUUUUCCCUCGCCAUGUCAGAACCAAAAAGAGUUGGGGGUUUUCUCCCAAGUUCUAGUGCUUUAGACAGUCCUGCUAUCUUAUCUAAACUUAUAAAUCGGAAUGCUAUAGAACAACUUGCCGGAGUUAUCAAUGAGAACCUUAGUAAUUUUGAUGAAGAUGAUUCUGGAAUUUUCCGUUAUUUACUUGAUGAAUCUUUGAAAGAUUCUUGGGAUAGGUUGUUAAGGAUUCGGGCUAGCUAUGUACCCCAAUAUCAAAUUGAGGUUUACUUAAAAAGCUUUUAUGUUGGGCUGCCCGCUUCGUUCAAACAAGUUUUAGAUUCUAUUUGCGAGGGGGGUUUUCUUGAAGGGGACCCCAUAGAUACCUAUGAAAGGAUGAAAACUAUAUUUGGGCACCCCAUUAAUGAGAAAACUGAAAUCACAUCCCUCUUCCGGUGGAGCACCGGAAGAGGCCCCAAGAUGGGAUCUCGUGGAUAUAGAAAGUUGCGGCGGUGGAAUUAGGUUUUUGGCUCCCCUUCUGAUCGUUUGGGGGUACGUGUGUAUAUAUAGGAGGAAGAAGUACGCCGGAGGAGCAACGAGGGGCCCACGAGGCAGGGGACGCGCCCUAGGGGGGGCGCGCGCCCCACCCUUGUGACCGCCUCUUUUGUUCCUUGGAGCAGGGUCCAAGUCUCCUGGAUCACGUUCGGUGAGAAAAUCACGUUCCCGAAGAUUUUAUUCCGUUUGGACUCCGUUUGAUAUUCCGUUUCUUCGAAACACUGAAAUAAGCAAAAAACCGCAAUUCUGGGCUGGGCCUCCGGUUAAUAGGUUAGUCCCAAAAAUAAUAUAAAGUGGAAAAUAAAGCCCAAUAUAGUCCAAAACAGUAGAUAAUAUAGCAUGGAGAAAUCAAAAAUUAUUGAUACAUUGGAGACGUAUCAACCAUGAAUAAAAUGUGAACCACCAUCAGUCAUUAAAUAUCUAGGGACUCCGAAAAAUAACUCACUACAAAAAAAUACACUUCUGUGAUGAUACGUGUUUGUCACAGUAGGUCGCGUUUUCUGUCAUGCAUGUACAUCCAUGACAAAUUUAUGACAGAAUCAAGAUAGACAUACCUGUGCUGUCGUAGAAGUGUUCCAUGACAUUACCAAAAUUAUCAUCACGGAAGUGUCCACUUCCAUGACGAUAAAUCUCGCGUCACAGAAGUGCUUUCGUCAUGGGUGAUCGACACGUGGCAUCCACCGUAACGGAACACCGUUAAGCUAUCGGGUCGGGUUUUGGAUCCGAUAACCCGUUAACAGCCCCGACCAAUGGGGAUUUUCCACGUGUAAAAUCAUCAUUGGCUGGAGGAAACACGUGUCGUCUCAUCAUUGGGACAGAUGUCAACCACUCAUUGGACGGAAGGCGCCUAUGAUACGUCGACACGUGGCACGGACCAACAGAGGUCCAUUCCUGUGAAAAGGCCGGCCCGUUUGACUUGGUCAAAAGCUAGCGGGCCGGCCCAUGGAAAGCCUGUUAACGGCAUGUCCGAAUAUAGCCCAUUUACAGCCCGCUAACCCAAGGCCCGUUACACCCUAUUCGUAUUAGGCCCAGUAGCGUCAUCUGGGCCAUCCAAUAUGAUUCCAGCCCAUUUUCACUUCUGGCCCAUGUAUGGCCCAUGAUGUUUUUCGGCCCAUAUGAGGCCCUAUGUAACUCUUGGCCUACUAACGGCCCAUGGUGAAACUGGCCUGUAAUGAAUAGUGUAUCACUUUACACCCAUUAACGGCCCGUGGUGAAACUGGCCCGUAAUGAACAGUGUAUCACUUUAUACCCAUUAACGGCCUGUUAUUCCGUUGGGCCGUUUCCAGCCCAUGUUAUCUUUCGGCCUUCUCAGAGCCCAUUUAUUCUUGGGCUCAUUUUCAGCAUUCGUUUACUUACGGCCCGUUGUUGUCAUUUUCUGCUUGUGGGCCAAAUUCAGCCCGUGGUUACAGUCGGCUCAUUUGUGGCCCGUUAAUAUGUUGGGCUGACUUCAUAGCGUCAUCAAAUACGGCCUAUUAACGAUGGCCCGUUAUGGUCGGCCCAUGAAUGGACGAUUCCAUCUCUAGCCCGUUUACGGCCAUAAUGCGGUCUGUUUGGCCCAUGUUUGGCCAAUCGAUUAUACGGCCCGUAUAAGGCCCAUUGAUAAUACGGCCCGUAGAAGGCCCAUUGUUUCUACGGCCCGUAGAAGGCCCACUGUUUCUAUGGCCAGUAGGAGGCUCAGUGUCACUACAGUAAAUAUUAGCCCAUGGUUAUUGUGGCCUAGUUUUAAAAAAUAGGUUAUUGCAGCCACUAGCUAACCGCGGAAAAAGAACUGCAAUGACUACAAGCAAACAAAUAAACAAGACAACAAGGAAAUAAAUAAGCAAGCAACUAAUGCUAGGCUUCAUGGCUAUUACACAUAAUACAUCCACUGGGCAUCAAAGUUCGCCACCAGUGCAAAUAUAGGGAACAAAGCAGCAUAUCAUAUACACUGGUUGUCAAAGUUGGUGACCAACGCAAAUAAAUGCCGCAGCAAAACAAAUCCAGAACUGAAACCACUUCAGAAGAUAUCAAGAAACAAUAUCCUGGGUACCCAUAAUGCUGGCAGGAUACUUAGCAAGCUUAUUAAAUUUCUCUUGUUUGGCGCUUAAAUCCUCUAGCGCUUGCUGUUGCACCAGAAAAUAUGCAUCUGAAUUCUGCAGCGACUUCCUCAGUCCUUCAGCUUCCUGUCGCAGCACAUCUGAUCGAUGUCUUUGAACUUGAAGUUGAGACUCAAGAAGACGAACUGAUUCAAGCAGCGAGUUUGAAGAGCUUGUGCCAGCAGUAGUGGCCAGUAACUCGAACACUACAUCAAGACAGGACUUUUGGGUUCCCUCACCGUCUUCAAGAUAGUUUUUAUCAGCUUUCUUGGAGACCAACAGGGAUGUCUCACUAUCUUGAACCUUAUCUGUAUUACUUCCUUUACCAUUGGAUAACGCGCUACUGUUCUCCAAUAUUUUGUCCGCAUUCUAAAAGAGAAACAAGCAGACACAUCAUAUGUUUACCACGCGGCAUCGGAGUGAAGUGUAGCUAAAUCGGAGCAGCAUCGCAAGCAAUAGCAAGAGCGAGAGCAGCAGCGUGGGCAAGAGCAAUAGCAAGACCAGACCAGGCAGGGGACCGAGAGCAAGAGCAGAGCAGCAGCGCGAGCGAGAGCUAAAGCAGCAGCAGGUCCUACUGAUGUGGACGUCGCCGCCGAGGGAGCGACACCGUGGAGGAAGUGGCCGGUGAUGCCGCCGUGGAUGGAGCCGCGCCAUGUCGGCUCGGGACCGAGCGCCGGCAGCACCGUGAGAUCGAAUCAAGAAGAAAAUGCGACGAUUAGUGUACAACCUCUUUGGUGGCGCCGAUUAGGCCGCAACUUCAUCUGAGGAAACGGUGAUGAUGAUGCUCUUCCGGUGGUGCAGGUGAAGACGGUGGUGUGGGAAUGGAGGUGGCGCGAAAGACGAGGGGAACAUCGGGGCAGCUCCUUGGAGGUGGAGGACGGGGUGGCUGAACCGACAGGACGAUGAGAUCAAUGACGGAUCCUCAUCCGGUACGGUGGAUGAGGGACGUCGAGGUGUUGCUGUGGACGACGUCGUCGGGGAAGAGGCUCCGGCUGGGUGGCAGACGGAGCAGGGUGUGGGGUUUUGUCACGGGUUUUCGCGGCCUCGGUGUACGAAUGGGUGGACGGAUGGGAUGGUAGUGGGGAACCAUGGCUUAGAGACGCGCUUGUCCGAAAUGUGGGGUAAGUUACGGAAGUACCCCCACCGAUUUGAGGUGGUUCUUUCGGUUCAGGGGUACCACGGGCAUUUCGUGUGUCGGGAUUUCACAGGAGGUGGGAGUUUUCACACUCGUUGUAAUUUCGGAAUAGCAAGGCGCGGGUUGAUAUGGAAGGAGUUGUCGGAGCACAACGAGACAAAAAUAUAUCUUAAAUAUUUCGGGCUAAUAAGGCGCGGGUUGAAAUUUCCGGACAAGCCUAACGUGUAUUGUACCAAAUCAAUGUGCCCUACAAAUGUCAUUCAAAACUUUGAAUUCAUGUUAUGUUAAAUUAAAAUAUUUCGCUACGUGUAUAAUGCAUGCAACCUACUACUCAAAUGAACGUUUUAGUGCAUUCCAAACCUAUAUACUACCGCUUCAAUAUGAACUAAAUUUGAAUUCGUCUCUCUAUUUGAAUAAGAUCUACAAUAAUGAUUGUUGUGAAGUCAAAGCAUUUGAAUUCGUUUCUCUGUUUUAAUAAGAUCUACAAUCAUCAUUAUUGUCAAGUUAAACCAUCAUUUGUGUAUUAUCUUCACAGCACACCACAUGAUUAGUCUCGAGUUACAUAUGAACUAUGUGUACUAUAUGAACUCGAACUAAAUUUUUUGAAUCCACUUUAUUUUGAUUUGAAAUCACAUUACAUUUCUAGCUCUAGCUAGAUCUUCAUAAUCUAAACCAUGUAUCAUAUGUAUAAUGUGUUUAUCACAUUAUGUAUGGUGCCCCGCCCCCUACGCCUACAAGUAUUUAGAUGUGAGUUGCAAACACCACACAUUACCACAAAUUCAAAUAAAAUGUGAGAAUGUUCGAUAUAUAGUAUUGUUUAGAUUGUUCCAUAUUUAGUUGUAAGCUGCAAACGCCACACAUUAUCACAAAUUCAAAUAAAAUGUGAGAUUGUUUGAUGUAUAGUAUGGUUUAGAUUGUUCGGCAUUUAGCCGUGAGUUGCAAACGCCAUGCAUUAUCACAUUAUGGUAUACCGUGUGCACCACACGUGUAUCACCGCUAUAUUCAUGCAUGCAAUGUUUAAAACACUAUGAUCUCCUAUUCAAAUAUAUGAAUCCACUUCCAUAUCAAAUUAUGAUCUUUGUUAGUCUCUUACACCCACACAAUCCUCUAACCUUUGUAGCUACCACUAACUUUCUCUCGUGCAUGCACAUGCCCUCCUCGCCCCCCUCCCUCGGCAUUCUAUCCACCGGGCACAUUCAUUUUUUUUCUUUAGGUCGUUCUCCCAGAGUCUCCACAACUCCUUUCCGACACACACCACCGAUAGAUAAACUUCUCCAGCGAUGCCUGCCUACAACAUACAAACACACCUUCAAUCUCCUCCUAGGAGGUGGUUUGCGGUUUAUCCUUUUCUAUCUCUCUAUACAAAUUUUCUAACGUGCACUGCUGUACUACAACUAAAUCAAAUUUACUGAAUAUUACGUAUGUAGAAUUCCAAAAUAUCUGUCUAUGAAUUAAUGCACAAACUUCUAAGUGUCAAGAUGUUGAUUCUAUCCAAUUUUGGUAUUAGUUAUCUUAUAUUUAUUGAUCUUUGUAUUGCUGCUCAAUGUUCUAAGCAUGGAUAUAAUGACUCUGUCUCAUUUUGUUAUUAUUGCCAUGUAAAUGUUGUCUUUACCCUUUUAUUUUGUAUAGUAAGUACAUUUGAUUGAGGCUAAUAUCCUGUUACUUGACAUGGCAGUGACUAUCUCUUUAAGCUUCUGCUUAUCGGAGACUCAGGUGUUGGCAAGUCAUGCCUCCUCUUAAGAUUUGCUGUAAGAGUCCCUAUCUAAAGCAUGAUUUGUUCACUAUCUUUUAUAGGUCUUCCUUUUUUUAAUAUGCAUCUUCAUCUUAAAAGUUUGAUAUAAGUUUUCUUCGGGAUAUCAUGGAAACUGUAAAAAAAAAUUAGGCUCAGUAAACUGUAUGAUUUCCCACUACUUAAUACGAAUGAGGAGUUCAUUGUUGGUAGCUACUGUUUCUUAACAACAUGGAGAUGAUCCCUAUAACAAUCUUGUUGUUACUAGUUAAUUUACUCUGACCUCCUUAAUAUCGACUCUUUUGGCAGGAUGACUCAUACCUGGAGAGUUAUAUCAGUACUAUUGGUGUUGAUUUUUGUAAGUAUAUUUAGUUUCUUGGUCUGAGUGUUAAUGUUCUGGCUACCUUAAUUGAACUUGUAGUUUUGUUUUCUUCCAACUUUGUCGAUAGAAAAUACGUACCGUGGAGCAAGAUGGAAAGACUAUGAAGCUGCAAAUCGUGAGUCCAUUCUUUCUUUCAUUAUGUCCAGUAUGCAUGUACCAUCAAAUCCAGAUUGUACAUCGAAUCCAGAUUUGACAAAAUAGAAGACUUUAUCGGGAAACAUUUCAUUUAUAGCCCUCUUCUGUUUUGUGGAGUUUGCUGGAUUUUCCCUUUGCAUAAUAUAGCAUGCCGUUAUUCAUCAGUAUUUAUGUGGUUGUUAGUUGAGGCCAGUUUAUAGGAAACAGAAACUCCACUACUCCCUCCUUCCAUCUAUAUAGGGCCUAAUGUGUUUUUCGAGGCUAACUUUGACCAAAUACUAGAGCAAUAAUAUAUGACAUGCAACUUACACAAAGCACACCGUUAAAUUCGUGUGUGAAAAGAGUUUUCAAUGAUAUAAUUUUCACAUUGUGCAUGUCAUGUACUAUUAAUCUUGUCAAUAGUCAAAGGCGGUCCUAAAAACACAUUAGACCCUAUAUAGAUGGAAGGAGGGAGUAUGGCUGAAUAUGUAGGCAGUUGCACAACCCCCUUUUACCUUUUGGUUUUUUUAGUUCCAUCCAUUUAAAUUACCGUUGAACAUAAAGAAUAAGAGUAGUUUAGCCCAUUAAAUUAAAUGUUAUAAAGUUUCUUAGUUCGCAUAAAGAAUCGCACUUUCAAGAUGUUUUUAGAUACCAAAGUGAUGCCCAUUUUGAACAUCAUAUUUUUUUUCAAAAAUGGGGGCUCCCCGGCCUCUGCAUCAUUUGAACAUCAUAUUUAAGGGCCUGAUAGUAUGUCAUUUAAAUACUUGGGUGGUACGGUAGCUCAUGUUGCACCUACUGUUGGCAUUUGGCGAUUCUUCCUUCCUUUUGUGUGACACAUUACAUUUAGUGAUGCAAGAUAUCCUUUUCCUUUUCUUUAAACCCCUCUUUGGUACCUUUGUUUUUAUCAGUGGGACACUGCUGGGCAAGAACGCUUCAGAACUAUUUACUAGCGGCUACUAUCGAGGGGCUCACGGGAUCAUUGUAAGUUUGUUUAUGUGAAAAUCUUAUUUUUAUUUUUCACAUGCUAUUUAACAUGCAUAAAUGUCCACAUUUUUAUAUAUUUUGAAUACAUAUAUACAAAUGGGGUUGCAGAUUGUCUAUGACAUGACAGACCAGGACAGCUUCAACAAUGUGAAGCAGUGGUUGAACGAGAUUGAUCGCUAUGCUAGUGAGAAUGUUAACAAGCUUCUUGUAGGGAACAAAUCUGAUCUCACUGACAAAAGAGUUGUAUCAUAUGAGACAGUGAAGGUACCUUAUGCUUUACUCAUAUCUGCUAAAGCAUUCUUUCUGCUCUUUGUGUUCACGUUUGGUGUAUGCAGGCAUUUGCUGAUGAGAUUGGCAUCCCAUUCAUGGAGACCAGUGCAAAGAAUACCUUGAACGUUGAGCAGGCUUUCAUGGCUAUGUCUGCUUCAAUCAAGGACAGGUGUGUGUUCCCAGACGGUUUAAUUAGCACAGGCCAUCCUACUAGUCCACUUUUUUUUAACUACCAUCAUUUUACACUUUAUUUACUGCUCAUUGAUGCUCUGUUCCUGUAGUACUCCCUCUGGUCCUUUUUACUCCCCACAUUAGCUUUGUCUGAAGUCAAAGUUUGCUAAGUUUGACCAAAUUUAUAUUAAAAAAUAUUAACAUCUAUAACAUCUAAUAAAUAUAAUAUGAAAAUAUAUUCCGAGAUGGAUCUAAUAAUAAAUGCGUUGUUAUGUGAAUGUUAAUAUUUUUUUUGUAUAAACUUGAUCAAAGUUGGAUGAGAUUGACUUCAGACAAACCUAAUAUGUAGAGUAAAAAGGACCGGAGGGAGUAUCAUAACCAAAAUUGCCCUACACUCUUUAGCAUGUUGCUGUUAAUUGUUCUAUGUUAUUCCUCACGGUGUUGUUCUAUAUACACCUCAUAGAAAGAGCAUAUAAUUAUGAAUAAAAAUCUUGGUUUCCAGGAUGGCGAGCCAGCCGGCUGCAAACAGCGCUCGCCCAGCGACGGUGCAGAUACGCGGGCAACCUGUCGAACAGAAGACGAGCUGCUGCUCUUCUUGAAAUGCAGGCAGCCGUCAUCCGUGUUACCCAAAUGGAGACGCAAACUUGGCCGCGCCAUCCUUGAGUCCAUGCUUCUACAUAGGCCUACUACAUCUUACACCUUCAUUCCAUUCUUUCUAGUGUACUUAUUAGCUCUUGAAUCGUUGGACUUGUAACACCGGACGGAGUUUGGAGACAGUAUCUUCUUCUAGUUGUGUAUCUUGAAUGGUUAUAUGUUACGAUUUGCAGCUGUUGCUUUUCUUCCCUAAAUUUAAGGCGAUUUCUACUUUUACUUGAUCAAAUUGUCCCGUUC
rnacentral:lncRNA from 1 species